rnacentral:lncRNA from 1 species
CAACAAAUUUCAGGGAGAAAUUCCAAAGGUUACUGGAGAGCUUAAAUGGCUGGCAUUGCUCAACUUAUCUCAUAAUAGUCUAACAGGACCUAUCCCGUCAUUGCUGAGAAAUAUGAAAGAACUCCAAUCUUUAGAUUUGUCCUCAAAUCAACUGACGGGGGCUAUUCCACCUCAGUUAACUGCGCUGACAUUUCUAGAGGUCUUAAACCUCUCGGGAAACCAUCUUAGUGGAGAGAUUCCUCAGAAAGGACAAUUCAGCACAUUCAACAAUGAUUCGUAUCUAGGAAACUCCGCUUUAUGUGGAUCACCAUUGACGAAGAAAUGUGCAAACACAGCAUCACCUCCACAAGAAGUCGGAAAUGUUGAUGAAGAUUAUGCGGGUGAUGAAUUGACAUGGGAAGCAAUCAUGAUCGGAUAUGGAUGUCGACUGAUAUGUGGAUUGUCAUCUGCAUACAUUGUUCUCAAACUAGGAAAGCCUUGGUAGUUUGUGAGAUAUGUCGAAGUACUGCAACAGAAGUUGAUGAAAAGAUGCUUGAAGAAAGGUACUGGUCGACCAAUAAGAACUUGAAAGUUGUUGUCCUGGUAGACAUUUCUGAACCAGUAGUAUUUGGUAUUAUGUGAUAUUCUGUUUGGUCCGGACUCAUAACGAUUUCGCUUGCUUCAGGAGUAUUAAUAUUAACCUUCCUAUCUUGAUCAAUGUUAAUGCAAAUUAAAAUGAAAAGGCAAAAAAUAUGCAUCAAAUCCCCUCCUGUUGUACCAAGAUUCAUUAAUUAAGAGGCAUGGCUUUUGUCUCUCCAAGUCUUCGAGAAAUUAUUCCAAGUCUUCUUUGGAGGCCUACUGCCUCAACAACCUUUCAAAGAUGUAGCAGUUGCUCGACAGUGAUAUAUAUAUUAGAUAAAGACUAUGCAACAACCAACGUGACAGAAAAAUCAAAAUAGGACAAAAUCCGUACGAAUCAAAAUAGUUUAUUUCUAAGGGGAAUAGCUGAAUUAAAUUGUAAGAGAAGUAAAACAGAUUCUUUUAUAUUUUGGAAUAUAACUGAAAAAGAUUUUGAGAUAAUUUUCAGAAAUCAAACCAGUCAAAUAAAUAUUCGCUGAAGGAACAGAGUAAAGAUACAACGAAUAUAACAAGUUGUAAGAUGAAUAUCGCUGAAUCAAACAGGGUAGAACCCGUACAAAAACGCCAAACAGAAAGGAUCAAAACAGAGUAAUCAAAUUUACCUAACACUAAUAGAAGUAGUGCUGAAUAAAAGAGAACGAAAUCUGUACCUUAAAAAUAGCAAACGCAAACACUAACCAACCUCACAAGGGACCAUCUAAACUCCCUAACCCCGACUUUAUCUUAAACUCCAAAUAUCUCCCUGACUCCAAUAUGCCCAGAACAAUAAACGAAUGUUUUGACCUUCUAAACGAUGUUUUCUGGAAUAACGCAAAACACGAAAAUCGUAGAGAACGAAAAGACCUUUCCGAAAAGGUAAGGCUCGUCAAGAACGGAGUCAUAACGAAUCGGGAAUUAAAUAAAACGUCCGCUGAUUCAGAACUCAAAGCGAGAACAGGAUCUGAUUAAGUUUUGUAAUUUUGAGAACAGUUUGAAACAUAAUCUGAGAAAACAUUAUAAACGAAAGUAUAUGAGAUUGAAAGAGCUUUCCGAAACAUCAAGAAUCAUCAAAUUCCGAUAAGAAUUGAAUUUUCUACGAAUUUUACAAGACAGCUGAUUUGUGAGAAUAAAGCCCUACGAAUUUUUGUCAUAAAAAUGAAGAGAAGGUUGAGUAGCUCUCAAAAGUAUAUAAAAAGAAUGAGAGAACAAAUCAAUAUACUCCCUUUGUCCCUCUCGUUUAUUUACAGUGUUUGACACGCAUUUUAAAGCGCAUAUAAAACAUAGUUCUAUGAUUUAUUUUCAAAAUUUUUCUUUUUUGUAUAAAAAUUUAAACAUCAAAUUUUUAUCUAGAAAAAAAGGAAGUUCAAAAUAAUUUAUUGAACUACGUUUUACGAGAGCAUUAGAAUGCGUGCCGAGCCCCCGUCCCCCAAUGUAAACAAAUGAGAGGGACGGAAGGAGUAUAUAUACAGAGUCUUGAGACCCUAAUUCUAAACCUAUCCAUUAUCUGAAUGCAAGGCUGAUCUAUAUUUUAAGUACACUAUCCUAAUUCAAUUUUAAAUCCUAUUCAUAAUCUAAUUUUAAUCCUUUAUUAUUAUUACUAACCAAUUAAUAUUAUUUUAAAAAAAUACUGGAUAUUACAUUCCUGAUCAGACUAGUGAUCGGAUUGCAACCGCAAAGCAGCCUAUAUAUAGUGACAAUUAAAUACACAACAAAACAACUUCUUUCUUCUCUCUUGGGUUAUAAUACUCAGACGGACAAGCUAUAUCUGAGGCGAUUUUCUGGGCGAUUAAACACACAAUAAAAGCAGCUUCUUCUUCUUCAAUUAAGGUUUAUUCUACACCCAAUCACAUACACACACACACUUUAAUAUGACUAGUGAGUUCAAUUUUUGGUGGUAUUAUAUGAUUAUCAUGUUCUCUUUUUAAAUAUUAGUAACGUUAUUUUCGGAGUGGACUCUGUUGAUGUUUAAAUUUGAUAUAGAUAUUGUAAUUGAAAAUUUAUGUUGAUUUGUUGUUCAGAUUUCAAGUAUUAAUUUGUGUGUGAUCAAAAUUUUGCUUCUACAUCGAUUAUCAGGAGGAAAUAUGAGGCCGAUCUUGAUCAAAGGACACGAAAGGCCAUUAACAUAUCUAAAGUAUAACAAGGAGGGUGACCUCCUCUUCUCCUGCGCAUUAGACAGAAACCCCGCUGUUUGGUACGCUGAUAAGGGAGAGCUUUUAGGCACUUACCGUGGGCACAUUGGUUCUGUUUGGGGUUGUGAUGUUUCUAGGGAUUCAAAACUUUUAAUAACUGCAAGUGCGGAUCAAACAGCAAAGGUAUGGGAUGUUCAAACUGGGUCUGAGCUGUUCACGUUUGAAUUUAAGUCCACUGUGAAAUCAGUAGAAUUUGGUGUCGGAGACAAGCUUGCUGUCAUUGCAACAGACUCCUUUCGUGACAUGUCUUCUGCAAUUCAUGUCAAACACAUAGCCAGAGAUCCUAGUGAACAGUGCGGUGAUUCUGUGAUUGAAUUCUCACCUGGAGGAAGAAUCAAUAGAGCUGUUUGGGGACCUUUAAAUAGGACCAUAAUAAGUGGUGGUGAACAAGGCGUUGUUCGUGUGUGGGACGUUGAGACAAAGAAAGUGAUUUAUGAGUCAGACAAGGAUACUGGUCAUCAGAAGGCCAUUACAUCACUUGCAAAAUCAAGAGACGGUUCACAUUUACUUACUGCUUCCAUUGACAAAUCAGCUAAGCUUUGGGACAUCAGAUCAAUGAAACUUCUCAGGACAUACAAGGCUGAAGCCCCAGUUAAUGCAGUUGCACUCUCUCCACUACUUGAUCAUGUCGUGCUCGGAGGUGGUCAAGAUGCAUCGACUGUUACAAACGAUCCUCGUGCUGGCAAGUUUGAGGCCAAAUUUUAUUCCAAGGUCCUUGAAGAAGAAAUUGGAUCUGUGAAAGGACACUUUGGUCCGAUAAAUGCAUUGGCAUUCAACCCUGAUGGAAAAAGUUUCGCAAGUGGAGGUGAAGAUGGUUAUUUGCGAUUACAUCACUUUGAUCAUGACUACUUCAACAUGGCGAUUUAAUUCGAAUUACUUACAUUGCUACGUCUUUUUUUUUUUUUUUCCGGUUUUAUUCAAGUUAUUUUCUGGUUUUUAUGUUGAUCUUAUGUUCUUUGUUAUAAAUAGAAGUGUGGUUCCUUUUAAAACUAUUUACAUAAGUUUUUGGCUUUUCAUGUAAUUUAAUCAAAGUAAAUGCCAUGAGAUCCUGAAUAUAUCUACUUAUCUAUCUAUCUACUUAUUAAAGCAGAAUCAGGGGAAAAAUAUACCAGAAAUUGGAUGAAAAAUUUACAUACACACCCUCAAUUAUUCAUCAAUUCCGAAAUUGGCCUGUAGUUUAGCUGUUAACUUGCAGGAUUUUUGUAAAAGUAGGAAUCAGCGAUUCUUAGGUACCCCAGUGACCCCGAAUCGGUUUCUCAGAUUCUUGGAAAUCCUCGGUCAGUUGAUUUAGAUUGUGGGCAUAUAUACACCUAUAGUCAGCCUCCGGCGGUGCAAUCUUUUGGUGGUGUUUUUCAGCCUUUUCUGCUAUAGCGAUUCUUGUUAAAACAUUCAGGUGCUAGGGUUGUUUUGUUGGUAAAGGGAAUUGGAUUGUUGUAUCUGCGGUUGUGGCAAAGGUAAUUUUCUUGCCCUUGCUAUUCUUUUGGGAUGUCUGAUUAUAAAUAGCCCUUCUAACUUUGUUCACCUGUUCUGUAUGAUGUGUGUCAUUUGUGAUUGAGUCGAGCAGUAUAUCAUUUUGAUGCAUAUUGUUAAUUUCACUCUGGGAAAUUUUUAUGCUGAUGUUUGGGCAAUUAAUUCUGGUUAUUUCGUUGAUUUUGUUUGUGGUUUGUUUCCACCUGCCAUUAGAACUGUAAAGUAAAGUGUAUUUAUUGAUCAUGAUUCAAGUGUUUGUAGAUAAUCGAUGUGGGUGACAAAGAAGCUGCAAAUGAUGAUGGUUCUUCACAAAUUUUAUCUGCUUUGCUUCCUUUUGUUGUGGCUCUCACCAUGGUUGUCAAGUCGACGACUGCUGUUGCUGCUCUUGCUCAGCCCUCAACUUUCACCUGGUAACAACUUUUGUAUGUUUGGUAAAAUAUUUUGAUUUUUUUUUUUUUGUAAGGGUAAAAUAUUUUGAUUGUGAUAAGCUAAUUUAUUGUUUUUUAAUGAUUCCAACACUACAACAGAUUUAGCAUCACACAACGGUUUUUGCCCGUUGUCUGAGACCACGGAAAACCGUGGUCUAUCGAGACGCCGUCUGAUAUGCGUAUCAGACAACGGUGCGCACCGUUGUGUGAUAGUGCUAAACACGAUGGUUUACGUUAAAAAAAUUGUUGUGCAACACCCAGAACCAACAACGUUUACUCUUAAACGUGGUGUUGUUAGAAACACUCCUUAACAAUAGUCGAUUUCAAAAAUGGUGUUGUUAGAGAGACUAUCCACAACAGUUUUAUUAGCUCGCAAGACUUGUUGGAAAGAUGAUCAUACAACAGUAGUUGAAAUAGAGAAGCUCGUUCUUUCCUCUCUUGUACAACGGGUUUCGAACACCAAGCCACUUGUGUAAGGCCCCUUCUAACAAUGUUUUAAUUAGUGAGGUUGUUGUGUUUAGUUACGUCAGACAAUGGUUUUCUUUCAUAGUUGGUUGUCGUUUACAUGUUUUAACAAUUGUUUCUGUUUCAUCAUUAUUGCAAGUCAUUUGUUUGGACAAUGGUUUUGUGACAAUAAAUCAUUGUUUCCAGUUUUAUGAGACAAUGUUUUUAAUGAAUAAUGAUUAUUGUAUCAUGUUCAGUAUGACAAUGGCCCUGUAUUAUCCCAUUACCUAAAUACAUAAUAGACAAUGAUUAACAUAACUCGAUUAAACUAAGCUAGAGAAUGUAAUUAAAAAGCCAAAAAUUUGUAAACAAAAAAUUUCAUUAUGCACUAAUAACCAUUGUUACAACCAAAUCAUAUAUACCAUCCAAUAUCCAGAAAUAUUUCCCCCGAGGAUGGCAAAUCUCAAAAAUAUAAAUACCUACAAUAAAUGGUAGCAUCUAGAGAGGCAUAUGUGACUACAAGAGUCUUUUGUGAGCUUUUCAACUACCCAGCCCAGGAACAAUCCUCUGAUUGCAUUCUUUUGAUUCGGAUGGAGCCCUCCUGCUAUCUCUUUUGGAAGUGACUCUACUGCAACCACCUGUAAUACAUAAAAAAGUUCUUGAUAUGCUUUUCGUACAAAGAAAUUAAUGUGGUUGAGGAGUAUGUUUCGAGUUCAAAAUAUACCAGUGUGCCAUCUUCCAUGGUUUCACGUCAUUCAUACACAAUAAAUUGUAGCAAUUGUGAGCCCUAUCAACAUACCAGUCUUUCUGUAUUUAGAGUUGGAGCAGCUAAGCCAAAAUCAGACAAAUGGGGAUUGAGUUCAUCAAGUAAAAUAUUUGCUGACUUUAAGGUACUAUUAACAACAUAAGGAACAACAUCAGCAUCUUGCUUCUAUCAUCAGUGAAGUAUAAAAACUCUUGCAAGCUACUAUUUGCAAUAUAAUCAUGGACCAGAAGACGUACCAUGUUCAGCGGAAUAUCAUUCAAAUCUCUGGCAUGGUUGUUGUGAUGGAUAAAAAUAAGUUCCUUUAUGACCUGAAUUAAACAUUAAAAGAUACCAAAUUAACCGAAAUGCGUAGAGAUGCACAAAAAGUCCAGGCCCGAAAAUAUGGUCAUAGAGAUUUAAAAAAAGUCGAAAAUAAAGACAAACCAUGUGAGUAAAAAGCAGAGUAAGGAGGAUUGAUGGUAGUGUUUGAUAUAGAUGCCAUGUGGGUAGAUCCAUAUGAGCUGCUGGAAGCAGAGAGAUUUCUUCCAAACUCUCUUACAUUAUUGACAACAUUUGUGUUAACAUAUAUGUGUUGUAUAUGAAAUUUUAAAGAUUAGAUACAUAAAUAUAAUAUUAUUCGGAAAAUAUAACAUACCAUCUCGAGUCAUUUUCUUGCUUGGUCAUUAAAAUAACCUACAGCAAGUAAUGUACCCUCACUCUAUAAGAAGAAGAUGGACAAAAAGAAGUCAGUUGUAUGGAUGCCUCGGAAUAUAUACAAGAAUGUCCCAGGGAUAUUUAUUCAGUUGAUGAAGCAUGUAUAUCUAGAAAUUAACAAACCUCAUCAGCCAAAACAAAUAUAAAAUUAAUAAAAUCAUCUGUCUCCAAACACACAGAUUAAAAUCAAAGCACAAAUGUUAUCACACAAAACCAAGACAACACAAGAUCCAUCACUAAAACACACAACUACUACUAAAAUCAAACACACAAACAAAAAUCUCAUAUAGAUUCAAACUUUAUCCCCAAAAUCAAGUAUAAUUACACAGUAAAAAGCAUUCGUUUACCUCUUCAUAAGGUGAAUUGUUGUUAAACUAAUCAGCACGGUCAACACCGGCAUCAAAAACUUGAAUGGCCUUUGGGGUUAUCGCCGACAGAACAGAUCUGAGUAAGCUUUGUAGAAAAUGAGAUAGAGACGGGGGAGGGAGGGGAGAGUUCAGAGGAGGGUGAGGGAGAGACAGAGGGCGAGAGGGAGGGGAGGGGCGAGAUGCUUUAACAAAUCAAUUGCGGCAAGAGUGGGGAAGACACAGCCGCACCAGAAGAGGAAGAGAUAGAUUCAGAAGAAGAGAGAUUUACUCUCACUUACAAAUUUUAGGUCAAAAUAGAGGGGGGGAAAUGAAAAUUUGGAUAAACAAGUAGAGAGGGAAUUGAAAAUUUUUGUAAGGUGGAAAUCAUUCGUUCAUCCCGUGUAAAUAACAAAAUCAAUGUAUUAUAAUAUCCAUAUAGUUGAAUUAUAAAUAAAUGAAUUUUUUAAAUUAUAUUUUUGUAUUUGAUUACAAAUAUUUCAUAUUAAAUAAAUUUUAAAAACAAUUUUAAUGUAGAUGUCAAUAUCUAAUUAUUUUAGUUAUUUGUGAAAAUCUUCAAAAAAUUAAAAAUUAAUCUGGUAAAUCUUUUUGACAAAAUAUAGUUGAAAUACAACUAUUUAAUAAAAAAUUAAUAAUUCUUUAAAAGUUAAAAUUCUCAUUUUCUCGAUGUAUUCCGUUUUUGUACUCUUUGUCUAAAUAAAAUAUACACAAAUUUUUAUUAUUCAUUUGUAAUAAGAAGAUAUUUGUGUGGUUCAAAUGUCAAUAUUAGUAUAAAUUUCAUAUUUACAAUAUAGGAUGUACUUAAUAGAAGUUUUGUGAUCUAUAUGAUUAACCCCGUAUUAAUUUUGAAAUAUUUUCGAUCAUCCAAACAUAUAAAGAUCUUAAUAUCUAUCAAUAUUAGUCAUGUAUAAUAUUUUUAAAUUUUUCUAUAUUUAUUUAUAUCUUGUUGUAACAAAACUAGUGAUGAUCGUUGUUUUUAUGUCAUUUCUUAUUUUUGUACUUUUUAUCAAAAAAUUAUAUUUAUAUUAUGCAUAUGUCCAAAUUUGUAUUAUUCAUUUGUAAUUGGAAGAUAAUUUUGUUGUUCGGACCUGAGUAUUACUAUGUGUUUUAUGUUCACAAUUUAGGAAGCACUAGAUAGAAUUUUUGUUAUCUACAAAAUUUGCUCUGAAUUAAUUUAUAAAUAUUUUUUUCGAUGAUAUAACCGUACGGAUGUUAAUAACUAACAAUAUUAGUCAUGCAUAAAAAAAUUAGAUUUUUUUAUGCUUAUUUUAUAUGCUUUUUUUACAAAACUAGUCAAUUGUAAAUUUUGUCUUAUUGUAAAAAGGUAAUUUUUGUCUUGUAGUGUCCAACAGACAACGGUACUUAUAGGCACGUGUGUUGUAUGAGUUAAAAUGACACAACUGUUAUGGACAUUAUACAGUCAUAACAAAAUCUAUUGUCUAAAAUAGGCUCAAACAAUGUUUCGGGAAAAACUCGUUGUGUGUAAGUAGUGUAGACAAUGGUUUCUGGGAGGCAAACCGUUGUAUAAUAAAUUUUCAUUUUUAAGAGUUAGAAAUUCACAUUUUCUUGAUUAGUUCUUGUUUUUGUACUCUUUGUCUUAACAAAUAUACUUAUAUUAUGUAUAUAUGCAAAUAUCAAUUGUCAUUUGUACUAUGAAGAUAAUUUUGUAGUUCGAACAUGAGUAUUGGUAUGUGUUUUAUAUUUACAAUUUAGAAAGUACUGAAUAGGAUCUUUGCUAUAUAUAAGAUUAGCUCCGUAUUAUUUUAUAAAUAUUGAUUUUGAUGAUCUAACCGUACGGAUGUCGAAAACUAACAAUAUUAGUCAUGUAUAAAAAAAAUCAAUUUUUUAUGUUUAUUUUGUAUGUUUUUUUUAACAAUACUAGUCAAUUGUAAAUUUUGUCUUACUGUAAAAAGGUAUUUUUUGUCAUGUAGUGUCUAACAUACAAUGGUUUUUAUAUGCACCUAUGUUGUAUAAUUGAAAAUGAUACAACUGUUACAGAAGUAUACCGUUCUAAGAAAAUCUAUUGUCUAAAUUAGGCUCAAACAACGGUUCACGGAAAAUCCGUUGUAAAAAAGUAGUGUAGACAACAGUUUAUGGGAAGGAAACCGUUGUAUAAUAAAUUUUCAUUUUUAUGAGUUAAAAAUUCGCAUUUCCUUGAUCAAUUCUUGAUCUAAUGCAAGAAAAACAUAUGACUAUCAAGAAAUUGAUUGUUUUGUUAUAACUUUGGUUAGGACUUUGAAUCUUUGCACUCUCUUAUGUACAUCCAUUUUCUUAAAAUUCAUUCAAUCAUACAACAUUUUAUUAGUUAGUAGAGGCUUGUCUAUAAUGCCAUGCUACAAUGCUAACAAAAACACUUGUAUGUUAGCUUCCCAGUCACACAACACUAUAUAAAACCCUUGUUUGAACUCCUCGUAAACAACACAACAAAUAAAACACUUGUCUAAUUACAACGACGGUUUCUUGAACUAUUGUCUGAAGUUUCUUCACACAUCGGCUCUCAAAACAGUUGUCUAACAUGCAUCAUUACACAAUACCACAGUUAAGAAACCAUUGUCUAAUUGAAUUUACUAGACAACAAUUUUUUAACCGUUGUAGGUCGUAGAUGUUAGACAAUAGUUUUUCGAGGCCGAAAAGAAAGUGUUGUGUCUUUUUUCCAAACAACGCUUUUUUCACCGUGCGUUGUCUGAUCAGUGUUGUCUAAUGGUGUUAUUGUUGUAGUGCAAGUUGGAUUUAUUUAAUGCUAAUAGGUACUUGUUCAAGUGAGGAGAUUUAACUGAGAUUCAGGUUCUGGCAUUUGUCUUGUGUUGUUAUUUGUUUAUGUACCGGUUUUGAGAGUCAUUAGAGAUAUGUAAGGUAUUUAUUCCUAUUUUUUAUUAUUAGUAUUACAUCGUUUUCGGGUAAAAUAAUCGAUGAUUGUUUGUUUUAACUGUGUAAUAGCCUUAUGAUCUGCCAACUUAUGUAGACAUGUGAUAAACAUGUUGACUGUGGUCAAUAUUUUAGAUGAGGUAGUGUGUUUGUUGUUAUUGCAAGACUUUUUGGAAUAAUCAUUGUCAAAAAGAACUAACGAUGAAUGGAAAUGAAGUUCUGAAGAAGUGAUGAUACAAUGUUAAAGAGAUUGCUUUUUGUUGAAUUUUUCUGACUCUGGAAUUAAACUGCGUUAGUAUCUUCUUCUCUGAUUUUCCUUAUUUGGUAGACCUACUACUUUCAGAAGAUACAUGUGGUAUUUGUUUGGUUGAUUAAUUUUGGUAAGAUACAGUUUCCGUUUGGAAUCAGACUAUCCAUUGAACAAUCAGACUAUCCAUUGAAGAUUUUAUGCUCGCUCUUAAAUGGUUGAUCCACUGAUCUUAUUCUUACUUCAUAUGAGCUAAAGCCAGCUCUAGGGGUGUUUCUCGCAUACAAAAAAAUUAAAAAAAAUAUUAUGAAACUAUACUUUGCAGGAGUCUCAAAAUAAAUAAGUGUAAACGAUAAACUUAAACACCUAACUUCUUAAACACCUAGCAUAACACGGGUGAGCAUAUGGUCAAUCAUACCAAAUUGAAUAAAUCGAAAUUAAAAUUUAAAUAUUUUUAGACUGGACCAAACUGAAAUAUUUUGUCCGAUCCAGUUCAGUAUGAUCGAAAAGAAUUGAUUCUUUUGGAAAAAGUAACUUAAUAUUAUAAAUAAAAUUAAGAUUUAUAAUUUAUUUAAAAACUAUCAAUGAAUCAUCAACACUUCUUCAAAAAUAGAUACAUUUGAAUUUAUACAUUAGAUAUUAUAACUUCUAAAAAGUAUAUAAAAAUAUAUAAUAUAAAUAUAAAUUUAUAGUAUAAUUUUUUUGACUAUUUAGAAUAUAUUUUUAACCCAAAUAUUUUUUUUUAAAAUCAAAUUUUAUUUCGAUGAACUUUUCUAGAAAAUUAAGAUAGAAACGAAACUCAUUCCUACAGUAAGGUUUCAGUUUUUCGGCUGCAAUACGGUUUUGCUCAUCAUUAGCAUAAAUGGAGUAUGUAGUAAAUAUGAAUGAAUGGCAUGGGAAUUCUUGGAAUGGUAUCAAGAAUUAAGAUUAAAGCACAUUAGAAGUUUAGAACCAUGAAUGUUAUUUUUGAAAAUAGUAAUCCCUCCGUUUCUUAUCACGUUUCUCGUUUGAUAUGUCGGAACGGUUCAUAAUAUGAGACAAAUUAGUAAUUUAUGUCCAAUUUAUAAAAUUAAAUAUAGUCAUGAGUGAUCUUGUUGGAUUCGUAUCUAUGAGUACUUUAAUAAGAUGAAAUUUUUAUAUUUAAUGUUAAUACAAAAUUAAAAUAUAUUAAUUAAAAAUAUAUAUUGACAAACGUGAUAAAAACAAACAGCAAAAAUAUUAAGAAACGAAGCGAGGGAGUAAUAAAUAUGCUUUAUGCUGAACUGAAUUGAGUGCGUGGAAGCUUGGGGAGGCAGCUUACUACAGUAUCUACGUGUAUCUGUAUAUGCAAUAAAGACACAAAUACUCACAGGAGAUUAUUUUUCAAACACUUAAUUUCCCCCUUUCCUUCUCGUAAUAUUCAACUCAAUUCAUCACAUCAUCUUCUUCAGACAAACAACUAUACUCACUUCAGAUCAUCACAUCAUCUUCUUCUUGACUUCAGAUCCACAUUUCAAACCCUAAUCAUUCGCUUGGUCCCCUCCCUCUCUGUAAUAAUACAAUUCUUUCUACACACAAACAAUAACAUCAUCAUCAUCGAGUGAAGCUUCAUAUCCACAUUCCAAGACCUAAUUACUCGCCAAACCACUCUCGCUCUCAUGGAGGAGGCCUUAGAAAUGGCGAGAUCGAAUGAUACCAAGAAGCGAAGGGCGGGAGUGGAUCGGCUGCAACAGCUUCUUGAAGAUUCAAGAAAGUGCUUGUCAUCGUCGGAAGUGACGGCGCUAGUCGACACGUGUCUUGAGCUUUUGAAGGACACGUGUGUUGCUGUCGUCGGCCGCGGAGUUGUUUAAGUUGCAUUCUGAUAGAAUUAUGACGGCGGUUGUUGAUAGGUUGUGGGAUGGGGAGCAGCGGGUUCGAGACUCGGCGAGGAGGCUGUUGAUUACCCUUAUGGAGGUAAUUUAUUAAUUUUCUUGGGGAAUGCCAGUUGAUUUUAUGGAAUGUGAUAUAGUAUAGUUUCUAUCAAUCGAGUAUCUUAAAUUGAUGACUACAACAAGUAUUAUCGUUUUGCACGCAAGUGGCUAAACUUUUAUGCAUGCCAAAUUGCCAAUCGGGUUUCAAUUUCAGAUCUCUGCCUUCACUUGCAUACGAACACAUUUGAGUUUAAAAAGAUGAAUCACCUCAUAAAUAUCAUUAAUAAUUAGUUGGUGUUAAUAGUGCACUGAAAAAUGGGAGAGAAUGACAAGACUAUAGACAGUAGUAGGGCUGAGCGAGAUGUUAAUUGAGUACUUAUAUGAUGCUUCACUAUGUUCAGGGAGUUAGUUUAUUGCUUCUUUCCUACACUUUCACUUGAAUUAGUACUAAUUAAUAAUUCCUUCUCUAUCUUGUAAAAUUUCUCCUUCAUUGCUAAGCAUAUCUACUCUGAUUAAUUUUCAAACAAACUUUACUACUGAGAUAGGAUUGUUUGCUGGGUAGGAGCACCAUAGAAUGAGUAGCUCUAUUGCUAUAUACUGAAGGGUGCGGUGGCAUCCUCGGUUAUAUUUUAAGUGCUACUUCGAAUUUAGUUGUUGGCUUUUGCAAUUUAUUUUCAUUCACAAUGUUUUAAUAAUGAUACCCCAUAUUAGGUGAGAGAUAUUAGUGCCAGGCUGGAGCAGAUUCAGAUUCAACCAGCAACUUCCGUCUCUUCCAUCUCUGAAGGACUUAAUAGUAAUCUUCUCCACCAUGCACCUGAUUUAGAAGUAUAAUGUAUUAAUGUGAACUUUUUAUUUAUAUUUAUUUCCAUGUGUAGUAAAACGAUCACAUCUUUUAAGAGCUUAGUACAAUGUUAUGUACAAUGUGUAAUUAAUUAAGAGGUUUGUACAUAGUUUAGUAUGAAAUGGAAAAAGUUUGUACAGAAGUUUAUUUGUUCACAUUACAGCUGAGACGAGCAAGCAAAAACCAUCAGAGAAUUCAAAGGAUAAUGAUAAAGGAAUUGAGCCCCUACUGGAACUGCCGGAAGAUAUUAUCUUUCUACAAAUUCUGCCUAAGUUGAACAGCCUAGAUGUUCUUCCCCUGGUUUUGGUGGCUAGGAGUUGGGCCUCCUUUCUUUUGCAUGAGGGACCCAGACUGAUGUUAUUCAACCCACCUAAAAAUCCUACACCUAAACACACUUCAAUUUUAUUUGAUGUAAGCCCGAUUCCGUACUCUGUUUCAGUUUUGUUAUCCCCAGAGAGCCGCCAACUGUGUCAGUCUAGGUGUAUAAUUGUUCCAAUCUUGAAUUCUGGUAUAAAACAUGCUGUUCCAAUUUUCACUGACUACCCAGAUUUUUUAAAGCAGGGGGAAGUCCCAACUGUAGUGGGAUCUUCCAGUGGUAUUAUAUGCCUCUAUAUCACCAGUUCUCCCUCUAGAUACAUCCUGCUAAACCCCUUAACAAAACAUUAUAAAGAGGUUGGGGCCCCUUAUAUUUUUGUACCAGAUUGUGAGCAAGCUUCUGUAACUUCUGGAUUCUUUUAUGAUGAAUGGACUGAUGACUUAAAGAUCGUACAAUUGUUGAGAUGGGAUCAAAGGCUUACGAGCUUGGAUGCUCCGGGACCCAAAAAGAUACAUGCGCUUCGCGUUUGUUCUGUAAAUUCUGCAAAUUGGGAAGUUGUUGACUUGGGGCCAAUGAAAGUCUCCGAUCGUCUUGGUGGUGUGUUAUUUUUGCCGAAAGCUCUCGUCACAUUUGUAGAUGCGUUUGCUACAGAGCCGGAGAUUAACUUUUGGUUGGAUUUUCGUGAUUGCCGUCUAAAGGCAGUUCCGGAAUUAGAAGGGGCUGAACUCAGUAUGAAAUCGGUUUGGUGGAAUAACCAGGUUGGUGUUAUUGUUGGAACUGACAGCAUUUAUGUCCUUGAUGAGGAGUUUGCAGCCUGGUAUUACUGCACAGUGCUUCCGGACGUGGGAAAUUGUGUAUUCUGUUUAGAUGAGAACAAAAUUGUGGGGAUGGGGGCUGGGGAAAGCGGAAGCGUAAAUGAUUACAAUAUUCUUAAUUCCACAAGCGGCGAAAUCCAACAUAUAAUCUCGUUGCCUUCUUGCAGGGUUUUUCCGUAUGUUCCUACAUUCUACUAUAUCGAGGGAAUGGCUAAUUUUUAGACUUUUGCAAGUCACAAUGUAAUAAAAGAAUGUAAACAGUACAUAGCAGCAAUACCUCUCUAUAGCAUAUAGUUUCAGAUACAACAUGUAUUGUGAUGCCAGCUUGUAGAGUACAAGUAUUAUUCUAGGUGAUUGAUUGUUGAGAAUAAUAGAGGCAACCGGUUGCAUGAUGGUAUCCUUGAAACUUUCAUAAUUACUAAUAUCGAACUCAGAUAGCAUGCAAUUUUUCCGGAGAUCAUAUUCUUUAGCUAUCAACUAACUCUACAUUAUAUAUUAUGUCCCAGAUCAAUGAGUUUGUUUGCUAUAAUGUCCUAUUUUAUAUGUGAUUUAGGAAUAUGUUCCAUUAACUUGUUAUCACCCUCAAAUCUAAAAUCUAAGACUACCAUGUCCUUAGUUUAUUUUGUUUAAUAUUUGUGAAUAGACUCUAAUCUGAUCAUAUCAAUUAUAUUUUAGUAACAGAUGUUUAAAUGCAUAUGUUUUUGUUAUCUAGUUAUUUCAAUGAUGAUGGGAUUAAAUUUUUUUAUUCUUGUAAUAUGUACAAUGAUUGGUUUAGCUUUAAUAUUUAUUUUUAUUUUUAUUUACCAAUUUUAAUGUAGGUAAAGUUUUAUCAGCAAAUUUUAUUUUUUGUAUGCAGUAAUCUGUUCUAAUAUCAAAUUUUGAUUUAGAUCGAGUAUUAGUAUGUUGAAUUUGCAUUCAUCUAGUUAGAUGAGUGAAACUGGCUAAUUAAUGGAAAAUCAUAAGUACCUGAGUUGUUUUCAAAUUUUUUUCCCAAAUUUUAAUUGUUUGAUUGGUUUCUUCAAAUUAAUAUUAAUGGAAUCAUGAACGCACAUAAAUAAUUUAAUUAAAAAUUAUUUAUUUAUGUGUCAUUUAGAAAAAAUUGGGGACAAAAUUUGGGAUAGUAAUGGGGACGAAAUAUGUGUUAGCGUUAAUGGUUUAGCGGCAGUGGAGAACGCAAUUUAAGAGCAAAUCCAAUAGUGUCCUAAACUAGUAUCCUAAAUUAAAAAUUAAGGUAUUUAUAUAAAUGAGUGCUCCACCUAAUGAGUGCUCCACCAAUGUCCAGUGAUACCUUAAAAUACUAGGAAAUCCAUCAAGCGUCUCGUUUUUAAGACAUCACUAGGCAUGCCCUAUUUCACUUCUAUCAAUAAAAUAUAUCUUUCCCUCGUUUUUUACAGAUCUCUUCUCUCUCAUUUUUUCCAUUUAUGCCCAAUUAUAAUUCAAAUAUAAUACACCUUCAGUCCCUUUUUAGUUGUGAAAUUUACAAAAAUAAUUUGUCCUUAAAUAAUAUUCUCAUCCUUGUUCCAAUACAUAUUUAUACAUAUUUUUUCAUGUUUACCCCUUGAUUGUUGGUUCAAAUGUUUGACUGUACUACUAAUAUAUACAGUUUUGACUUAGUAUUUAAUAUAAUAAAUAAGGGCAUGCGUGGAAACAACUUACAACAUUUAAUUUUCUUUAAUAUAUGUAUUUUUGCAAAUGUGACAACUAAAAAGGAACAGAGAGAGUAUUAUUUUAAUCAUAAAACAUAUUGUUGGAGUUAAUAUAAAAAAAUCAUGUCUUAAAUCAUAAGAUUACUAUAUUUAAUUAUAUUUAUAAGGCAUCUAAUAGUACAAUAUUGGAUUUGCUCUGAUCACAGAUCAAUCAAAUGAUCGGCAACUUAAGCGAUCAAAUGAGAUGACUCGCAUAGUCCACGCUAAUCGAUAUCCUUAAGAGGAUGUUUGCCUGGGCUUAAAGCCCUUGCUUUAAGCCAUCUUUGGCUUUAAGCUGAAAAAUGUCUGUUUGUGUAAUAAGUCAGAAGCCAGCCUAAAGUCAGAAAUAAGCCAGAAGCUGACUUAAAGCCAGAAGUUAAUUUGAGGUACUUUUUUCAGUGGCUAAAUUUUUUUGAACUUUUUUUUUGAUAAAAAUUACUCCUAAAUCAUAAGUUUCUUAUAAAUCACUUUUAUUUUUAUUAUUAUAUUUUUAAUAACUCAUAAGUCAUUCAUAAGCCAAAAUUACCCAAACAGACAUUUUAAGCUAUCAGCUUAUCAGAUAAGACACGUUAAGUCACAAGUCACAUUAAGUCAUAAGCCAUAAGCUCAGCCAAACGGGCAAGUUUUCUAAGAGACAUUCCUGCUUAGUGCAUUUUUAAUAGGGUUGCCUAAAUCGUUGACGAAAUUGGACAUGUGAGACAUUAUAUAAAAUUUGUUAAACAUGUAAGUGAUUGUGUUUCAAUAAUGUUAACUACAUUGAUAGAUUAUAACUUAAAAAUAGUAUGUUAUUAAUAUUUAGAUUGUUAUAAAAAAAUAUAUGAGUUUAAUAUGAUAGGAAAUGAUGUGUAAAUUACCCCGAUUAUAUAUAUAUAUAAAUAAUAAUAUAUUUAUAUAUAUUAUACUAAAUAUAUUAUUAAAAAUAGAUAAAUUUUAUAAUAUAAUCAAAAGUAAAAAAUAAUCUUUAUUUUUAUUGAUUGAUUAUAAAUAUAUUGUAAUAUAAUAUAUUUUAUAAUUUUAAAUUGUUGUUUAUUUAUAUUAUAAAUCAAUUUUAAUAUGAUUUGAGGUUGAAAAUAUAAGAUAAUAUUAUUUUAUUAUUAUAUUAGGAGUUUGUAGUUUGUUUUUUAAUUAAAAAAAUAUAUUAUAUAUUAUAAAAUUAUUAUGUUUUUAUUAAAAAAUAAAAUUCCCCGAAACCCCGCGGGGAUCCCCGUUCCCCGUUCGGGGCGGGGAUCGGGGCGGAAAAUAAUCCCCGUUCGAGGUUCGGGGCGGGGUCGGGUAGGGCCGUAGGGGUAUUGAAUUCGGGGAUCGGGGUCGGGGAUAGCACUCCCCGCCCUCGAAGUCUCCCCGUGCCCAUCCCUAGUCGAACCUCUAGAGGUCCGUAAAAAAUCUCCAAGAAGAUUACACUAUGUAAUCUUCUUGGAGAUUUUUUACGGACCUCUAGAGGUUCGACAAAUAUAGUGGCCGGUAGGAUGUUGGUUAAAAUUAUAGAUAAGUGGUGUCUAUGGUUGAGUGUGAUUUUUUUGAAUAGAAUGGCUAUAUAUUUUAUUUUUGGGAUGCCAACUCAAUUUUUAAACUAAGGACUUCUCAUAUUUGGAGAUGCUAUAUGAUGGCAAAUCCCGCAAAUCUUCAAUUUUGACAUAUAUUAUCCUAAAUUCUCUUUCAACAAUGAUUGAUUCAAAUUUGGAUCAAGAUUGUUGGAUCCCGCUGACGUGGCAGUGACGUCAUGUUGACGUGGCGCCCUGGGGUGGACCCCGGUGCUGACGUGGCAGAUGACGCGGCGGUGACAUGGCGCCUGGUUGGGGUCCCAUUACUAACGUGGCAUUUGGGUAGAAAGUAUAAAUUACGGAAAAUUGAUGACAAACUGAGAGGUGCAUAUUAUAAGUUUUAAAAAGUAUGAGGAGAUAUUUGAUCAGUUUAAAACUAGUUUUUAGGUUUUUAGGCUAACCGUGGUUUGUAUAUUCGAGCAUCCCCGUGUAUAUUGACAUAUAGGUAAACUCCUUGCAAUACUUUGAGCUGCAAAAUCCAUCAAAAUUUUGAUUUAUCAUGUAACUGUUUGACAGAGUACUUCCAACUUUCAAGCGUAAGUAUCAAAAUCACUACCUUCAUAUGUUCCAUUAAGCGUGAAAGGUACAGAAUAAGAAGUGAAAGAAAUCCUUUAUAUUUACACGGCCAUUGAUCUUAUAGGAUCACCUAGCCCAUCAGUGCUAGGGAAUACGGAACCAUCUUAUCAAUUAACGAAGAAAUGUAUGCAUGCAGUGUCACCACCACAAGUCAGAAAUGGUGAUGAUGCUAAUGAUAAUGAACUCAAUUGGGAGUGAUCCUAAUGGGAUAUGGAUGUGGAUUGGUAUGCGGAUUCUUUGGGGUUUAUUGUUCUUACAAUGGGAAAGCCUUGGUGGUUUAUGAGAUACAUUGAAGUAAGUUGAUAAUGACAUGCACGGCUUAAUUAAGAUUAAUUAAGACAAACACCUUGACAAAAUGUUGUCUUAGAAUGAUAUGUAUUCUGAUUUUUCCUAAUUUAAAAUCAAAUUUAUUACAAUUAAAGUUAAAAUCUGCGUAGCACAUACUAUACUUUGAUUAAAUUUUUAUUGAAGUUGUCCAUAUUAACCUAGUGGCCGAAAGUGAAUAAAUUAAAUUAGUGGGGUCUAAUAUAAAAAUUGCAUUAAUUAAAAUUUGUAAUGUAUAGAUUAUGCUAAAGCUAUUCAUUAUAAAGAACAUAGGAAUGUUAAUCUCUUUAUAUGUUUGCAUGCGGAUAGUCUCUCGGGAGUGUGGUAUAUUGUCAUGGCUGGAAAAACGGCUAAUUUCUACGGUUUUUUUUUGACAGAAAUUAAUUUUGACGGAAUACUGUCGAAAUAUCGAAAGUCGAAAAUAAGCCGCAAAAUUACUUUUUUCAAUUUUCAAUUGAAAACUGUCAAAAAAGUCUCUGGCAAAAUUAUAUUUAUUUCUACAGAUAAUGUCGAAAAUAUUUUCCUGCAAAUUUCCCGCACCUUAGUUGUGAGCGGAAAUAGAUAGUUUGGACAGAAUUCCGUCGAAAUUACGCGAGUUCUUUGUAGUGUGUUUUCACACAUACGCUGAUAAUCUUUGGGGACUGGGGUAUAUUGUUUUCGCAAAGCACUGGUAGUUUGUGAGCUUGUCCAAUUUUUCCCCCCAUGCCUAUACUGGUUGGUCUCAGUCUUAGUGGUAAUAAGCUGGCGUCAAAUUUUCCAGAAUUCAUAUAUAAUUGCUAUAACAUGAUCCGAUGCCUGAAUCAGCAGCUAACAAUUUACGUAAUCUUGAAGAACUAUAUCUUGGUGCCAAUUCUUUCGAGGGCUCAUUUCCAACGAAUAUAUUCAAGCUUUCCAAAUUAAGGGUUCUUGACCUAUCUGUGAAUAAUUUUUCAGGUUCCAUUCCCAAUGGUAUAGAGAUGCUUCCCGAUCUUGGAAUAAAUCGUAUUUAUAAUAAUUCAUUUGAAGGAAUUAUUCCUUCUUCAAUUAGUCUACUUAAAGAUCUUCAACACCUAGACUUCGGUGACGACAACCUUGUGGUUUCAAGUAUAAUGUCUUACGGGUCCAAUCUAACCGAUCAUUACAGGCAACCCCAUUGGAGAUGCUCUUAAUAACAUUUUAACUAGAGAGUAUUUUCUAUCAAUUGCAUUUGUAUUAAAUUUGAUUUAGAUGAAGAGAAACAGAAUACAUAUGAUCCCGAGACAACAUUUUGUCAAUGUUUUCGUCUUGAUUGAACAGUCUUCUUCAUGCGUGUCCUUGUCAACUUCAGUUGCAGUAAUUCAAUGUAUCUCAGGAACCACCUUGGCUUUCCCAUUUUGAUAACAAGUAUCCUGAAGAUAAUCCGCAUAUCAAUCCACAUCCGCGCGUAUCCCAGUUGAUUUAUUAAUUUAUUCAUGAAGUGUUGCGAACGACAUUCCUGCAAAAGUAAAAGUCAGUGGAAUUUGUAUGAUAGCAUGAUGAAUAUUUAAAGUUUCAGUUAAAAUUUCACCAAGUAUUUUAUUUCUGGCUUAAGUCCCGGAUUGACGAAUUCUGCUGAUCACAUUUCUAAUCGACCAAUUCUGGUCGAAUAAAUUAAAUGGCACACUUCCUGAGUUGGUGGUAGGGGCGUUCUUCUUGUGUUUCUUUCUUUUCAUUAUUGACAUUGUUAUCCAGGCCCUUGCUUCUGGGCUUUUGUAAAGCACCCAUUUACGCCAUUGUCAUGAUCAUAGCUAGUCUUCCAUAUCCAAGAUACGCGCAUUAUAGUGGAUUUAUCUUUAUUAGUGAUUUCUGUGGAAAUGCAUAAUCUUAAUUAUAAGCUCCAAUAUUAUAAAAUAAACCUAACUUAUUAGAGUUAACAGGGCAUUUGUGUUGAUAAUUUGCGCAAUGUUAAUGGGGAUCGCUCCCAAGUCUUGGACGGACUCUUUCCAAGUCUUCUGAGGACCCAUCUGCACACUAAUUUGUCCGCCAACUAAAAAUUUAUAUAUAUUUUUCCAUAGAAUAUAAAUAGUUGGGGGUACUAACAGAACCUCUAGUAAAAUUAAUUAAUACCGUUAUGAUUUCGCAAACACAGCAGACAGCAGGCAUAAGGCUUAUAAAUAGAAGUGUCGUAUUUGGUUGAUGGUCAAGUUGAGUGGAAAUAUGGCACACUUUGUAAAGCCUUGUUAUCCUCUUCUCUUUGUUUUCUUUCUCUCAUUACUUCAAUCCAUUCUAACAACACAAGAGGGAGAAGCUCUUGUGAAAUGGAAGAAUAGCCUAGCCCCUUCUUCUUUUCUCGACUCUUGGUCACUCACCAAUCUCGAUAAUCUUUGCAACUGGACUGGCAUUACUUGUAACUCUGCAGGUUCAGUCUCUGAGAUUAACCUUAGUGAGAAACAACUUGAUGGAAUGCUGUCCGAGUUUGGUUUCACUUCAUUUCCAAAUCUCAACAAUCUCACCCUCGCAAUUAACUACUUCUCGGGUCCAAUACCACCAGCCAUUGAGAAUUUAACACAGCUUCAAUAUCUUGAGUUGAGCAAUAAUUAUCUAGAUGGUCCCAUUCCUUUCCAGGUUAGCAAUCUUCAGAGGUUGCUCAUCUUAAACCUGUCAGAGAAUGAACUGCAAGCUCCAAAUUGGUCCAAUUUUUCCCCCAUGCCUUUUUUGACCAUCCUCGACCUUUAUAAAAAUAAUCUUUUGUCAGAAUUUCCCGAAUUUAUAUCUAACUCGUGUAACCUUACGUACCUUGACCUCUCAUCCAACAAGUUUAGAGGGGAUCUUGCGCGAGAAUCAGUAUUAACCAAUCUAGGUGAUCUUGAAACCCUCUAUCUUAUUAGAAAUUCUUUCAAGGGGUCAUUUCCGUCAGAUUUAUUCAAGCUUUCUAAAUUAAAACGUCUUCACCUGUCGAGCAACAAAUUUUCAGGUUCAAUUCCUAAUGCCAUAAGGUUGCUUUGUGAUCUUGAAUUCCUAUAUUUAGGCAACAAUUCCUUUGAAGGACUGCUUCCACCAAAUAUAUUUAAGCUUUCAAAAUUAAAACAUCUUGUUCUUCGGAGUAAUAAGUUUUCAGGAUCUGUUUCCAAUGAUAUAAAUUUGCUUCCUGAACUUGAAUAUCUCGAUCUUAAUUCUAAUUUUUUUGACGGGCCGCUUCCUCCAGAUGUAUUCAAGCUCUCCAAACUAAGGUUUCUUUACCUCUCGGGUAAUACCUUUUCACGUUCUGUUUCCAAUGAUAUAGGUUUGCUUUCUGAGCUUGAAACCCUCGAUCUUAACUCUAAUUUUUUGAGGGUCCGCUUCCGUCAAAUAUAUUCAAGCUCAAAUUAAAAAUUCUAGACCUCUCAAACAAUAGAAAUUUAUUUCAAAGAAGUUUUCCUAUUGGACUGGAACUCUUGAGUAACCUCAGCUACUUAGGUCUAAGUUCCAGUAAUCUCAGUGGCAAUAUUCCAUCUUACAUUGGAAACCUGAAGCUACUAAUAUCUCUUGAUCUCAGUUCUAAUCAAUUGACUGGACCGCUUUCAAAGCUCGUUUCUAAUGUCACAAAUCUUAUAUUUCUUGAUUUAAGAGAUAAUAGUCUUAGUGGAAAUAUUCAGACUGACUUGUGGAAAUAUAACGAUCAUCCAACUCUGGAAUACAUCAAUUUGAGUGGGAACUAUUUUACGGGUAUAGUUUUUCUCUAUAGAUCUUUUCUUUUGUCAUAUGUAACUAAGCUAGUAAUCUGAUUAAUUGCAGUUUUACCAAAGUUUCAACAAUCUUGACAGGUGAGCUUCCAACAACAAUUUGCAAUGUCACUUCCCUUUCGGUUCUUGAUUUGUCAAAUAAUAACUUAAGUGGUGCACUUCCAAAAUGUUACGGGAAUCUUGCUGAUGGAUUGCUUUACAUUAAUCUUGCGAAUAAUCACUUUCGAGGAACAAUACCCACUACUUUCUCCAGGAGUUGUCAGCUGAUAUAUCUGAACAUGGAUGAUAAUGAGUUUGAAGGAUUGAUGCCCCCAUCUUUGGCGAACUGUAAGCACUUGAAAAUUUUUGAUAUUGGCAAUAAUAAAAUAGGUGGUACAUUUCCGUCAUGGCUUUAUGCACUUGGAGAGCUAGAAGUCCUUGUCUUGCGAUCAAAUAAACUCUAUGGUACAAUAAGUGGAAGGAGCAUAGAAGAUCCCUUCCCCAAGUUGCGGAUUGUGGAUCUGUCCAACAAUCAAUUCACAGGCCAUUUGCCAAUUCAAUACUUUAAGAAUAUGAAAUCAACUGAUAAUUUGUAUCGUUAUCAGAAUGACACAGGAGUUUUUUCUUUCCAUUAUGAAGCAUCUGUCUCAUUAACUGUGAAGGGAACAGAGUAUGAAGUGAAAAAUAUCCUUCAUAUUUACACAACCAUUGAUCUGUCCUGCAACAAGUUUCAAGGAGAAAUUCCUGACGUUAUUGGAGAGCUUAGAUGGCUUGCAUUGCUGAACUUAUCUCAUAAUAGUCUAACAGGACAUAUCCCAUCAUUGCUGAGAAAUAUGAAAGGACUCCAAUCUUUAGAUUUGUCUUCAAAUCAACUGAAAGGGGCUAUUCCACUUCAGUUAACUGCAUUGACAUUUCUAGAGGUCUUGAACCUCUCGGGAAACCAUCUUAGUGGAGAGAUUCCUCAGAAAGGGCAGUUCAGCACAUUUAACAUUGAUUCUUAUCUAGGAAACUCCGCGUUAUGUGGUUCACCUUUGAUGAAGAAAUGUGCAAACACAGCAUCACCUCCACAAGAAGCCGGAAAUGGUGAUGAAGAUGAAGCUGGUGAUGAAUUGACAUGGGAAGCAAUCGUGAUGGGAUAUGGAUGUGGACUGAUAUGUGGAUUGUCAUCUGCAUACAUUGUUCUCAAACUAGGAAAGCCUUGGUGGUUUGUGAGAUAUAUCGAAGUACUGCAACAGAAGUUGAUGAAAAGAUAUGCAUGAAGAAAGGUACUGGUAGAUCAAGAUGAACUUGAAAGUUGUUGUCGUGGUAGACAUUUGUGAACCAGUAGUGUACUAGCUGCAUAAGUAUUUGGUAUUAUGUAAUAAUCCGUUUGGUCGGGACUCAAAAUGAUUUCUCUUGCUUCAGGGGUAUUAAUAUUAACCUUGCUAUCUUGAUCAAUGUUAGGGCAAAUUAAAAAGAAUAUAAAAGCAAAAAAUUUGCAUCAAACACCUGUUGUACCAACAUGCAUCCAUUAAUUUGCUUUCAUCUAUUAAGUAACAAUUUAAGAGCGCUUCCACUCUGUUUAAGCAUGGAGAUAACACAAAGAAGGCAAGUCCAUGGACUAAUAUAUUAACACGUAGUCCACAUCUAUGGUAUGAACAAUUCAUAUUGCUCUUCUAUCUGUUCAACAGUCUCCCGAAGAUAGGCCAAAAAUGUCAUCUGUGGUUCUUAUGUUUGUCAGUGAAGGAGAAUCUCUGAUGCCUACACAACCUGGUGUUUUUACAGAAAGGAAUGUAGGUGAAACCAGGGGCGUAAAAUGAAUCAGGACUAAAAUCUGCUAAAAUGAUAAUUAUUUACUCAUCAUUCAAGAUUAGUCGGGCUCAAAGAUUUAUAUGGAUUUUAAGAACAAACUAUGACUAAAUAUGAAAAAAUCAUUAAUUUUUCCGACUCAAUAUUUUUUAGCCUCCCCCGGCCCUGGGUGAAACCAUAAGCUUCUCUGGUGCACAUCCAAAUCAUUCAGUUGGUUCUACUUUCAGCUCACCCACAGGAACAUCAUUCUGCAGGUACUCUUUUAUCUGUACUUUCUUAUAUUGUAUGCCAGUAAAUUUUAUAUCGACAAACUGCACAAUACACCUCGAUCUCAUAUUAUUGACAGGUGAGCUCCUCUCAUAAUGCUCACAGGCGAACCCCUGCAUAUAUACUUUGUGAUGUCAUUGAUGAUCGAUAGACUUGAAAAAAAAUUAUGACAAAGAUUCAUAAAAUAUCUACUUCCAUCCUAAUUCAGUAUUCAAUAUUAUUCAUUCGUAUCAUCAUCCAAUCAAUUCUAAUAGUUCUUCUUUAAAUCAGUACAAAUAUUGUUAAAUACCUGGAUGAUGGUUGUCUUUCCGCGAACCAAUCAUGAAAUUACCUCUGUAUAAAUCCAUCGGAAAUAAGACAGUUAAUAUCCCAAUCGAAUACACCCCGUCAGUUGUCAAACUCCUCGAAACGUAUUAAUCACUUUAGAAAAUUUGUUCCACUGGCGCUAGUCAGUCCCAGAGUUGGUGGUGGGUGCUUCUGGGCUUUCGAAAAGCACCCAUUUACUCCAUUGUUUAGAGAAGUAAAACCCCACCUUCCGCUCAUUUGAUUGAUCAGCUGAAUUAGGCAGAGUUUACAUGGUCAUGAUCAUAGUCUCCCAUNUUAAUAGUCUGACAGGACCUAUCCCAACAUUGCUGAGAAAUAUGAAAUAACUCCAUUACUCCAAUCUUAGAUUUGUCCUCAAAUCAACUGACAGGGGCUAUUCCACCUCUGUUAACUGCAUUGACAUUACUUUUCUCUUUAUAUUCUUUCCUUUUGUAUGUACCUAUGCUAAUUAUCUGAUUAUUAAAAUUAUAACAAAGCUUCAAGAUUUUUAACAGGUGAGCUUCCACUAAAAAUUUGCAAAGUCACUUCCCUUUCGCGUCUCAUUAUGUUAGAUAAUGGGUCAAGUGGUGCACUUCCACAGUGUUUGGGGAACCUUUCUUUGCUUGGUUUCAAUAAUCUUGCUAAUUAUCAAUUUCAAGGACCAAUACCAACGACUGUCCAAGACUUGUCUGUGCAUAUCUAAACAUCCAUAACAAUCACUUUGAAGGUUUGUUGCUCCAAUCUUUGGCAAACUGUAAACACUUACAAAUUCUUGAUAUUGGAAACAACGUUGGAGAGCUAGAUGUCCCAGUUAGGGCGGUAAUUCGACUAGAGCAAACCGAGUUUUGAGCGGAGCCAAAUUCGAGCCAAGUUUAAUCGAGUCGAGCCGAGUCGGCUCGUUUAGCUAAUCGAGCCUAAAACUUAGCCCGAACUCGACUCAUUUAAUUUCACGAGUCGAGUCGAGCCAACUCGUUUAGCUAAAUGAGCUGAUUUUAACAAGUCGAGCGAGCGAGCUCGUAUAAUUUUAACUUAGUCGAGCCUGAAUCUCUACCCAAACUAUUGGCUCGUGUAAUUUCGCGAGUCGAAUCGAGCCGGCUCGUUUUAUUAAACAAGCCGAAAUUUUUGCCCGAAUUUGCUCGUUUAACAAGCCGAUCUGAGCCUAGUUAAAUGAGUUCGAGUUAGUCGAGCUCGCGAGCUGCGAGCUCACCUGCCAGCUCUAGUCCUAGUCUUGCAAUCAAAUAGGUUUAACGGUAUAGAAAGUGGAAGGAGCACAAGGCAUCCAUUCCCCAAGGCUAUUUACCAAUUCAGUACUUUGAGGAUACAAAAUCAUUCUGCAGGUACUCUUGUAUCUGUACUUUCUUGUACUGUAUGCCACUUUGACAGUAGAGUAAAAUUUAUAUCGACAAACUGCAUAUGUUCUGAACUACUCCUCUAUCCCAAAUUAGAUGAGCUAGUUGACUUUGAGCACGUAACUUAAGGUACAUUGACCAACUAGUUCCGAUAUUUAUUUUUUUAAUUUUUCUUUUGUAAAUGAAAAUUUCAUAUUUAAAUUUUUAUUUGCAAAACUAAAAUUUAAAAAUAUGUAAUGUGGCUAUGCGGUCAAUGUCAACGAGCUCAUCUAAUUUGGGAUUGGGAUGCAGGGAGUAUUACGUACUAUGUUAUGCAAGCUGUUUACAACUUUCAUCAAAAUUUUCAAACAUUUCUGAAUAUGUAUUUUCAAAGAAUUCUCGGGCACUCUUAAGGCCUAUAAUUAUUGGAACUCUCACGUUAUGGACCAGAGGACCACUAUGUAUUUUACAAGCACGACGAAUCAUGUGGUCAUUAUGGACUCCCCAAGCCUUAGAGGACUCAUUCCAGGUUUUAGGAGGACCACUGCCUAGCUCACCCUUUCGGAGUGAUGUAAAUUAGUUUCCAGACACUAAAAAUAAGUAAUCAGAUUAAUCAUUACAAAAUUUUGAUAUAAAAUCAGAAUAAAUCCUAAACUUUGAUGAUACAAAAAAAAUUAUAAUUGUAAAUUAUACAAUCAAAUUAAGAUCGAAUUAACUUCCCUCACACUUAAAAUUUAUAGCGAUCAAAUCAAAAUCGAAUUAACUUUCCUAUUACUAAAAUUUAAUUACAAUAUUAUUAGAUAAAGAGAAUAUAUAAUAAUCAAGAGAAAAUAGAUUUUUUUUUGCCACUCAACUUAUUGUGUUUUAAGAAACUUACCACCCAACUAAAUUUUUUUCCUUUUGCUCACUAAUGUUAGGUUUGGAUUUGUUUUUAGCCACCAAAUAAGGUUCGGAUUUGAUUACCAGCAUUAUGAUAAUUUUUUUUGUCACUAAACUUAUUGCGUCUUUAGAAACUAACCACUGAACUAAAUUUUUUUUAUUUUACUCACUAAUGUUAGAUUUAGUUUUUUUUGUCACUAUAGUUAGGUUCAGAUUUGAUUAUUAGCAUUACAUUAAUUCUGUGUAGCAUUUUUAAAAUAUGGUAGUAGUCUGUGAUAUUUAGAUGAUUUGAUAUAUGUCUGUAUUUUUAUAUAUAGUAUAUUUUAUGUCCCCAAGGUCGUUUACCUUGGGUCAUAAAAAUUUUACACUCAUUUUAUGACUUUUAAAAGAUGUAGUUUCAUAAAUAAUUUUAUUUUUUUCUUUCGAAUUAAAAUUCAGCAUUUGAAUUUUACACACAAAAAAAUCGCAAGAAUAAGAUAUGAAACUAUGCUUUACAAGAGUCUUAAAAUACGUGCUAAACGGUAGAAAAAACUGUAAACUAAUGAGAGGUACAUAGGGAGUAAUAAUAACAUAAAAUGAUGCACAAUCAUCGAAUUAAGUUUUCCUCUCUCUAUAUAUUUAUUUUGUAAAUUUUAAUAAGAUAAAGUUAUUAAAAUUUAUGAUAUAAAUUUAAGAGAUAUCUUAGAUUGAGUGGCAAAAAUUUAGUUGGGUGGUAAGUUUCUAAAAACACAAUAAAUUGAGUGGGAACAAAAUCUAUUUUCCCAAUAAUGAGUGGGAAUAAAAUCUAUUUUCCCAAUAAUCAAAGUGACGAAAAAUCAAAGUCAUCUAAUAAGUCCAGAAAAAAUAUGACCAUUAGUAUAUUGAAAUAAUAUUCACGCAUUUAUAUACGAGAAUAUAUGGUCCACAAGUUAGUGCACAAUGUCCAAGAAUCUUUAUCAAAUAACACGGCAAGCAUGCAGCAUAUAAAUAAGAGUGGGCAGUAUGGUAUUGCAUUCAUAACCCACUUGAGCAGAAAUAUGGCACACUUCCUAAAGCCUUCUCACCUUCUUCUCUUUGUUUUCUUUCUCUCGUUACUUCAAUCCAUUCUACCAACAAGACCAGAGGGAGAAGCUCUUGUGAAAUGGAAGAAUAGCCUAGCCCCGUCUUCUUUUCUCGAUUCUUGGUCACUAACCAAUCUCGAUAAUCUUUGUAACUGGACUGGCAUUACUUGUAACUCUGCAGGUUCAGUCUCUGGGAUUAACCUUUAUGAGAAACAACUUGAUGGAAUGCUGUCCGAGUUUGGCUUCACUUCAUUUCCGAAUCUCAACAAUCUCACCCUCGCAUACAACUUCUUCUCGGGUCCAAUACCACCAGCCAUUGAGAAUUUAACACAGCUUCAAUAUCUUGAUUUAAGCAUCAAUAGUCUCGAUGGUCCCAUUCCUUUCCAGGUUAGCCAUCUUCAGAGGUUGCUCGUCCUAAACCUGUCACAGAAUGCAUUGCAAGCUCCAAAUUGGUCCCAUUUCUCUUCCAUGCCUUUUUUGCGCAUCCUCAAGCUCAGUAGGAAUCAUCUUGUAUCGAAAUUUCCAGAAUUUAUAUCCAAUUCUCAUAGCUUGGCUAUCCUUGACCUUGGCCAGAACAACUUUACAGGUGAUCUUGUGCGUGAAUUUACCAAUCUACAAAAUCUUGAAACCCUCUGGCUUUAUCGUAAUUCUUUUGAGGGGCCAUUUCCGCCGGAUAUAGUCCAGCUUUCCAAACUAAAAGAUCUUGCCCUGUCAAGUAACAAAUUUUCAGGUUCAGUUCCCAAUAACAUAAGGUUGCUUUGUGAUCUUGAAUACCUAUAUUUAGGCAACAAUUCCUUUAAGGGGCCACUUCCACCAAAUAUAUUUAAGCUUUCAAAAUUAAAACAUCUUGUUCUUUGGAGUAAUAAGUUUUCAGGUUCUGUUUCCAAUGAUAUAGGUUUGCUUCAUGAGCUUGUAACCCUCAAUCUUAACUCUAAUUUUUUUGAGGGGCCGCUUCCGCCAAAUGUAUUCAAGCUCUCCAAACUAAAGUUUUUUGCCCUUCAUGAGAAUAACUUUUCAGGUUUUAUUUCUAAGGAUAUAGGUUUGCUUUCCGAACUUGAAAUCCUCUAUUUUGGCUCUAAUUUUUUUGAGGGGCCGCUUCCUCCACAUGUAUUUAGGCUCUCCAAAUUAAGAGGUCUGGACCUCUCACACAAUAGAAAUUUAUUUGAAGGAAGUAUUCCUAUUGGACUGGGACUCUUGACUAACCUCAGGUACUUAGAUCUACAUUCCAAUAAUCUCGGUGGCUAUAUUCCAUCUGACAUUGGAAACCUGAAGCUACUAGUACUUCUUGAUCUCGGUUCUAAUCAAUUGACUGGACCGCUUUCAAAGAUCGUUUCUAAUCUCACAAAUCUUAUAUGUCUUGAUGUAAGUCAUAAUAGUCUUAGUGGAAAUAUUCAGAGUGACUUGUGGAAAUAUAACGAUCAUCCAACUUUGGAAUACAUCAAUUUAAGUGGGAACCAUUUUACGGGUAUAGUUUUUCUCUAUAGAUCUUUUCCUUUUCUCAUAUGUAACUAAGCUAGUAAUCUGAUUAUUGCAGUUUCACCAAAGUUUCAACAAUCUUGACAGGUGAGCUUCCAACAACAAUUUGCAAUGUCACUUCCCUUUCGGUUCUUGAUUUGUCAAAUAAUGAAUUAAGUGGUGCACUUCCAAACUCUUUGGGGAAUCUUGCUGAUGGAAUGCUUUACCUUAAUCUUGCUAAUAAUCAGUUUCGAGGAACAAUACCAACUACUUUCUCCAGGAGUUGUCGGUUGACAUAUCUAAACAUGGAUAAUAAUGAGUUUGAAGGAUUGUUGCCCCCAUCUUUGGCGAACUGUAAGCACUUGAAAAUUCUUGAUAUAGGCAAUAAUAAAAUAGGUGGUACAUUUCCGUCAUGGCUUUAUGCACUUGGAGAGCUAGAAGUUCUUGUCUUGCGAUCAAAUAAACUCUAUGGUACAAUAAGUGGAAGGAGCAUAGAAGAUCCCUUCCCCAAGUUGCGGAUUGUGGAUCUGUCCCACAAUCAAUUGACAGGCUAUUUGCCAAUUCAAUACUUUAAGAAUAUGAAAUCAACUGAUAAUUUGUAUCGUUAUCAGAAUGACACAGGAGUUUUUUCUUUCCAUUAUGAAGCAUCUGUCUCAUUAACUGUGAAGGGAACAGAGUAUGAAGUGAAAAAUAUCCUUCAUAUUUACACAACCAUUGAUCUGUCCUGCAACAAGUUUCAAGGAGAAAUUCCUGACGUUAUUGGAGAGCUUAGAUGGCUUGCAUUGCUGAACUUAUCUCAUAAUAGUCUAACAGGACAUAUCCCAUCAUUGCUGAGAAAUAUGAAAGGACUCCAAUCUUUAGAUUUGUCUUCAAAUCAACUGAAAGGGGCUAUUCCACUUCAGUUAACUGCAUUGACAUUUCUAGAGGUCUUGAACCUCUCGGGAAACCAUCUUAGUGGAGAGAUUCCUCAGAAAGGGCAGUUCAGCACAUUUAACAUUGAUUCUUAUCUAGGAAACUCCGCGUUAUGUGGUUCACCUUUGAUGAAGAAAUGUGCAAACACAGCAUCACCUCCACAAGAAGCCGGAAAUGGUGAUGAAGAUGAAGCUGGUGAUGAAUUGACAUGGGAAGCAAUCGUGAUGGGAUAUGGAUGUGGACUGAUAUGUGGAUUGUCAUCUGCAUACAUUGUUCUCAAACUAGGAAAGCCUUGGUGGUUUGUGAGAUAUAUCGAAGUACUGCAACAGAAGUUGAUGAAAAGAUAUGCAUGAAGAAAGGUACUGGUAGAUCAAGAUGAACUUGAAAGUUGUUGUCGUGGUAGACAUUUGUGAACCAGUAGUGUACUAGCUGCAUAAGUAUUUGGUAUUAUGUAAUAAUCCGUUUGGUCGGGACUCAAAAUGAUUUCUCUUGCUUCAGGGGUAUUAAUAUUAACCUUGCUAUCUUGAUCAAUGUUAGGGCAAAUUAAAAAGAAUAUAAAAGCAAAAAAUUUGCAUCAAACACCUGUUGUACCAACAUGCAUCCAUUAAUUUGCUUUCAUCUAUUAAGUAACAAUUUAAGAGCGCUUCCACUCUGUUUAAGCAUGGAGAUAACACAAAGAAGGCAAGUCCAUGGACUAAUAUAUUAACACGUAGUCCACAUCUAUGGUAUGAACAAUUCAUAUUGCUCUUCUAUCUGUUCAACAGUCUCCCGAAGAUAGGCCAAAAAUGUCAUCUGUGGUUCUUAUGUUUGUCAGUGAAGGAGAAUCUCUGAUGCCUACACAACCUGGUGUUUUUACAGAAAGGAAUGUAGGUGAAACCAGGGGCGUAAAAUGAAUCAGGACUAAAAUCUGCUAAAAUGAUAAUUAUUUACUCAUCAUUCAAGAUUAGUCGGGCUCAAAGAUUUAUAUGGAUUUUAAGAACAAACUAUGACUAAAUAUGAAAAAAUCAUUAAUUUUUCCGACUCAAUAUUUUUUAGCCUCCCCCGGCCCUGGGUGAAACCAUAAGCUUCUCUGGUGCACAUCCAAAUCAUUCAGUUGGUUCUACUUUCAGCUCACCCACAGGAACAUCAUUCUGCAGGUACUCUUUUAUCUGUACUUUCUUAUAUUGUAUGCCAGUAAAUUUUAUAUCGACAAACUGCACAAUACACCUCGAUCUCAUAUUAUUGACAGGUGAGCUCCUCUCAUAAUGCUCACAGGCGAACCCCUGCAUAUAUACUUUGUGAUGUCAUUGAUGAUCGAUAGACUUGAAAAAAAAUUAUGACAAAGAUUCAUAAAAUAUCUACUUCCAUCCUAAUUCAGUAUUCAAUAUUAUUCAUUCGUAUCAUCAUCCAAUCAAUUCUAAUAGUUCUUCUUUAAAUCAGUACAAAUAUUGUUAAAUACCUGGAUGAUGGUUGUCUUUCCGCGAACCAAUCAUGAAAUUACCUCUGUAUAAAUCCAUCGGAAAUAAGACAGUUAAUAUCCCAAUCGAAUACACCCCGUCAGUUGUCAAACUCCUCGAAACGUAUUAAUCACUUUAGAAAAUUUGUUCCACUGGCGCUAGUCAGUCCCAGAGUUGGUGGUGGGUGCUUCUGGGCUUUCGAAAAGCACCCAUUUACUCCAUUGUUUAGAGAAGUAAAACCCCACCUUCCGCUCAUUUGAUUGAUCAGCUGAAUUAGGCAGAGUUUACAUGGUCAUGAUCAUAGUCUCCCAUAUAUCCCUGAUACGCACAUUAUAGUGGAUUUAUCUUUAUCAGUGAUUUCUGUGGAGAUGCAUAAUCAUUAUAAGCUCCAAUAUAAAAUUUUAAAGUUAGUAUGGGAAUUUGUGUUGAUAAUUUGCGCAAUGUUAACAGGAUUGCUCCCAAGUCUUGGACGGACUCUUUCAAAGUCUUCUCAGGACCCAUCUGCACACUAAUUUGUCUGCCAACUAAAAAAUCAACAAUAUGUUACUCCCUCCGUUUUUCUUAAACUGAGGUUAAAAUUUUUGACACAAGAUGGGUUGACAGUAUAAAAUUAAAAUAUUUGUGAAUAAAAAUUUUGGUUAUAUUUUUUAUUUAAAAAGAAAAUCUUGAAAAUAAUAUUAUUAACUACCAGUCAGAUCACUUAAGUGUAUGUCCAAAAUUAAAGCGGCAUAUAAAAAAAAGGGAGGAAGCAUGUACUAACUGUUUCCAUAACAGUUUACAAGUAUAAGCUAUACCCCCUCUCUAUUUUUUUCUAUGACAGCUUUGAUUUUGGGCACACAUUCUUAAGUGUUUUGACCGGAUAGUUAAAAAUUUAUCUUCUAAAAUUUUUAAAAAAAGUAAAAUCGCAAAAAAAAUUAGAAAGCUGGUAUUUUUGAUAAAUUUCCAAAUAUGUAAUCAAGAAAAAUAACUUUUACUAUCCAAUCAACUCAUUUAAAGAUGUGUGUCAAAAAUCAAAAUAUCAUACAAAAAAUAGGUAUACAUUUUUUUAAUAGAUUAUACUCCCUCUGUUCCAAAAUAAGUGUCAGCUGGGGGUAAUAACAAGACCUUAGUCAACCCAAGCACAGCAGACAGCAGGCAUAAGGCAUCAGGAAUUUCACAGGACCAUUAUCUUUCUCUUAUUAACUGUGAAGGGAACAGCGUAUGAAGUAGCAAGAACCUUCAUAUUUACACAGCCAUUGAUCUGUCGUGCAACAAAUUUCAGGGAGAAAUUCCAAAGGUUACCGGAGAGCUUAGAUGGCUUGCAUUGCUCAAUUUAUCGCAUAAUUAAUAGUCUGACAGGACCUAUCCCAACAUUGCUGAGAAAUAUGAAAUAACUCCAUUACUCCAAUCUUAGAUUUGUCCUCAAAUCAACUGACAGGGGCUAUUCCACCUCUGUUAACUGCAUUGACAUUACUUUUCUCUUUAUAUUCUUUCCUUUUGUAUGUACCUAUGCUAAUUAUCUGAUUAUUAAAAUUAUAACAAAGCUUCAAGAUUUUUAACAGGUGAGCUUCCACUAAAAAUUUGCAAAGUCACUUCCCUUUCGCGUCUCAUUAUGUUAGAUAAUGGGUCAAGUGGUGCACUUCCACAGUGUUUGGGGAACCUUUCUUUGCUUGGUUUCAAUAAUCUUGCUAAUUAUCAAUUUCAAGGACCAAUACCAACGACUGUCCAAGACUUGUCUGUGCAUAUCUAAACAUCCAUAACAAUCACUUUGAAGGUUUGUUGCUCCAAUCUUUGGCAAACUGUAAACACUUACAAAUUCUUGAUAUUGGAAACAACGUUGGAGAGCUAGAUGUCCCAGUUAGGGCGGUAAUUCGACUAGAGCAAACCGAGUUUUGAGCGGAGCCAAAUUCGAGCCAAGUUUAAUCGAGUCGAGCCGAGUCGGCUCGUUUAGCUAAUCGAGCCUAAAACUUAGCCCGAACUCGACUCAUUUAAUUUCACGAGUCGAGUCGAGCCAACUCGUUUAGCUAAAUGAGCUGAUUUUAACAAGUCGAGCGAGCGAGCUCGUAUAAUUUUAACUUAGUCGAGCCUGAAUCUCUACCCAAACUAUUGGCUCGUGUAAUUUCGCGAGUCGAAUCGAGCCGGCUCGUUUUAUUAAACAAGCCGAAAUUUUUGCCCGAAUUUGCUCGUUUAACAAGCCGAUCUGAGCCUAGUUAAAUGAGUUCGAGUUAGUCGAGCUCGCGAGCUGCGAGCUCACCUGCCAGCUCUAGUCCUAGUCUUGCAAUCAAAUAGGUUUAACGGUAUAGAAAGUGGAAGGAGCACAAGGCAUCCAUUCCCCAAGGCUAUUUACCAAUUCAGUACUUUGAGGAUACAAAAUCAUUCUGCAGGUACUCUUGUAUCUGUACUUUCUUGUACUGUAUGCCACUUUGACAGUAGAGUAAAAUUUAUAUCGACAAACUGCAUAUGUUCUGAACUACUCCUCUAUCCCAAAUUAGAUGAGCUAGUUGACUUUGAGCACGUAACUUAAGGUACAUUGACCAACUAGUUCCGAUAUUUAUUUUUUUAAUUUUUCUUUUGUAAAUGAAAAUUUCAUAUUUAAAUUUUUAUUUGCAAAACUAAAAUUUAAAAAUAUGUAAUGUGGCUAUGCGGUCAAUGUCAACGAGCUCAUCUAAUUUGGGAUUGGGAUGCAGGGAGUAUUACGUACUAUGUUAUGCAAGCUGUUUACAACUUUCAUCAAAAUUUUCAAACAUUUCUGAAUAUGUAUUUUCAAAGAAUUCUCGGGCACUCUUAAGGCCUAUAAUUAUUGGAACUCUCACGUUAUGGACCAGAGGACCACUAUGUAUUUUACAAGCACGACGAAUCAUGUGGUCAUUAUGGACUCCCCAAGCCUUAGAGGACUCAUUCCAGGUUUUAGGAGGACCACUGCCUAGCUCACCCUUUCGGAGUGAUGUAAAUUAGUUUCCAGACACUAAAAAUAAGUAAUCAGAUUAAUCAUUACAAAAUUUUGAUAUAAAAUCAGAAUAAAUCCUAAACUUUGAUGAUACAAAAAAAAUUAUAAUUGUAAAUUAUACAAUCAAAUUAAGAUCGAAUUAACUUCCCUCACACUUAAAAUUUAUAGCGAUCAAAUCAAAAUCGAAUUAACUUUCCUAUUACUAAAAUUUAAUUACAAUAUUAUUAGAUAAAGAGAAUAUAUAAUAAUCAAGAGAAAAUAGAUUUUUUUUUGCCACUCAACUUAUUGUGUUUUAAGAAACUUACCACCCAACUAAAUUUUUUUCCUUUUGCUCACUAAUGUUAGGUUUGGAUUUGUUUUUAGCCACCAAAUAAGGUUCGGAUUUGAUUACCAGCAUUAUGAUAAUUUUUUUUGUCACUAAACUUAUUGCGUCUUUAGAAACUAACCACUGAACUAAAUUUUUUUUAUUUUACUCACUAAUGUUAGAUUUAGUUUUUUUUGUCACUAUAGUUAGGUUCAGAUUUGAUUAUUAGCAUUACAUUAAUUCUGUGUAGCAUUUUUAAAAUAUGGUAGUAGUCUGUGAUAUUUAGAUGAUUUGAUAUAUGUCUGUAUUUUUAUAUAUAGUAUAUUUUAUGUCCCCAAGGUCGUUUACCUUGGGUCAUAAAAAUUUUACACUCAUUUUAUGACUUUUAAAAGAUGUAGUUUCAUAAAUAAUUUUAUUUUUUUCUUUCGAAUUAAAAUUCAGCAUUUGAAUUUUACACACAAAAAAAUCGCAAGAAUAAGAUAUGAAACUAUGCUUUACAAGAGUCUUAAAAUACGUGCUAAACGGUAGAAAAAACUGUAAACUAAUGAGAGGUACAUAGGGAGUAAUAAUAACAUAAAAUGAUGCACAAUCAUCGAAUUAAGUUUUCCUCUCUCUAUAUAUUUAUUUUGUAAAUUUUAAUAAGAUAAAGUUAUUAAAAUUUAUGAUAUAAAUUUAAGAGAUAUCUUAGAUUGAGUGGCAAAAAUUUAGUUGGGUGGUAAGUUUCUAAAAACACAAUAAAUUGAGUGGGAACAAAAUCUAUUUUCCCAAUAAUGAGUGGGAAUAAAAUCUAUUUUCCCAAUAAUCAAAGUGACGAAAAAUCAAAGUCAUCUAAUAAGUCCAGAAAAAAUAUGACCAUUAGUAUAUUGAAAUAAUAUUCACGCAUUUAUAUACGAGAAUAUAUGGUCCACAAGUUAGUGCACAAUGUCCAAGAAUCUUUAUCAAAUAACACGGCAAGCAUGCAGCAUAUAAAUAAGAGUGGGCAGUAUGGUAUUGCAUUCAUAACCCACUUGAGCAGAAAUAUGGCACACUUCCUAAAGCCUUCUCACCUUCUUCUCUUUGUUUUCUUUCUCUCGUUACUUCAAUCCAUUCUACCAACAAGACCAGAGGGAGAAGCUCUUGUGAAAUGGAAGAAUAGCCUAGCCCCGUCUUCUUUUCUCGAUUCUUGGUCACUAACCAAUCUCGAUAAUCUUUGUAACUGGACUGGCAUUACUUGUAACUCUGCAGGUUCAGUCUCUGGGAUUAACCUUUAUGAGAAACAACUUGAUGGAAUGCUGUCCGAGUUUGGCUUCACUUCAUUUCCGAAUCUCAACAAUCUCACCCUCGCAUACAACUUCUUCUCGGGUCCAAUACCACCAGCCAUUGAGAAUUUAACACAGCUUCAAUAUCUUGAUUUAAGCAUCAAUAGUCUCGAUGGUCCCAUUCCUUUCCAGGUUAGCCAUCUUCAGAGGUUGCUCGUCCUAAACCUGUCACAGAAUGCAUUGCAAGCUCCAAAUUGGUCCCAUUUCUCUUCCAUGCCUUUUUUGCGCAUCCUCAAGCUCAGUAGGAAUCAUCUUGUAUCNUUUUUAUUUAAAAAGAAAAUCUUGAAAAUAAUAUUAUUAACUACCAGUCAGAUCACUUAAGUGUAUGUCCAAAAUUAAAGCGGCAUAUAAAAAAAAGGGAGGAAGCAUGUACUAACUGUUUCCAUAACAGUUUACAAGUAUAAGCUAUACCCCCUCUCUAUUUUUUUCUAUGACAGCUUUGAUUUUGGGCACACAUUCUUAAGUGUUUUGACCGGAUAGUUAAAAAUUUAUCUUCUAAAAUUUUUAAAAAAAGUAAAAUCGCAAAAAAAAUUAGAAAGCUGGUAUUUUUGAUAAAUUUCCAAAUAUGUAAUCAAGAAAAAUAACUUUUACUAUCCAAUCAACUCAUUUAAAGAUGUGUGUCAAAAAUCAAAAUAUCAUACAAAAAAUAGGUAUACAUUUUUUUAAUAGAUUAUACUCCCUCUGUUCCAAAAUAAGUGUCAGCUGGGGGUAAUAACAAGACCUUAGUCAACCCAAGCACAGCAGACAGCAGGCAUAAGGCAUCAGGAAUUUCACAGGACCAUUAUCUUUCUCUUAUUAACUGUGAAGGGAACAGCGUAUGAAGUAGCAAGAACCUUCAUAUUUACACAGCCAUUGAUCUGUCGUGCAACAAAUUUCAGGGAGAAAUUCCAAAGGUUACCGGAGAGCUUAGAUGGCUUGCAUUGCUCAAUUUAUCGCAUAAUUAAUAGUCUGACAGGACCUAUCCCAACAUUGCUGAGAAAUAUGAAAUAACUCCAUUACUCCAAUCUUAGAUUUGUCCUCAAAUCAACUGACAGGGGCUAUUCCACCUCUGUUAACUGCAUUGACAUUACUUUUCUCUUUAUAUUCUUUCCUUUUGUAUGUACCUAUGCUAAUUAUCUGAUUAUUAAAAUUAUAACAAAGCUUCAAGAUUUUUAACAGGUGAGCUUCCACUAAAAAUUUGCAAAGUCACUUCCCUUUCGCGUCUCAUUAUGUUAGAUAAUGGGUCAAGUGGUGCACUUCCACAGUGUUUGGGGAACCUUUCUUUGCUUGGUUUCAAUAAUCUUGCUAAUUAUCAAUUUCAAGGACCAAUACCAACGACUGUCCAAGACUUGUCUGUGCAUAUCUAAACAUCCAUAACAAUCACUUUGAAGGUUUGUUGCUCCAAUCUUUGGCAAACUGUAAACACUUACAAAUUCUUGAUAUUGGAAACAACGUUGGAGAGCUAGAUGUCCCAGUUAGGGCGGUAAUUCGACUAGAGCAAACCGAGUUUUGAGCGGAGCCAAAUUCGAGCCAAGUUUAAUCGAGUCGAGCCGAGUCGGCUCGUUUAGCUAAUCGAGCCUAAAACUUAGCCCGAACUCGACUCAUUUAAUUUCACGAGUCGAGUCGAGCCAACUCGUUUAGCUAAAUGAGCUGAUUUUAACAAGUCGAGCGAGCGAGCUCGUAUAAUUUUAACUUAGUCGAGCCUGAAUCUCUACCCAAACUAUUGGCUCGUGUAAUUUCGCGAGUCGAAUCGAGCCGGCUCGUUUUAUUAAACAAGCCGAAAUUUUUGCCCGAAUUUGCUCGUUUAACAAGCCGAUCUGAGCCUAGUUAAAUGAGUUCGAGUUAGUCGAGCUCGCGAGCUGCGAGCUCACCUGCCAGCUCUAGUCCUAGUCUUGCAAUCAAAUAGGUUUAACGGUAUAGAAAGUGGAAGGAGCACAAGGCAUCCAUUCCCCAAGGCUAUUUACCAAUUCAGUACUUUGAGGAUACAAAAUCAUUCUGCAGGUACUCUUGUAUCUGUACUUUCUUGUACUGUAUGCCACUUUGACAGUAGAGUAAAAUUUAUAUCGACAAACUGCAUAUGUUCUGAACUACUCCUCUAUCCCAAAUUAGAUGAGCUAGUUGACUUUGAGCACGUAACUUAAGGUACAUUGACCAACUAGUUCCGAUAUUUAUUUUUUUAAUUUUUCUUUUGUAAAUGAAAAUUUCAUAUUUAAAUUUUUAUUUGCAAAACUAAAAUUUAAAAAUAUGUAAUGUGGCUAUGCGGUCAAUGUCAACGAGCUCAUCUAAUUUGGGAUUGGGAUGCAGGGAGUAUUACGUACUAUGUUAUGCAAGCUGUUUACAACUUUCAUCAAAAUUUUCAAACAUUUCUGAAUAUGUAUUUUCAAAGAAUUCUCGGGCACUCUUAAGGCCUAUAAUUAUUGGAACUCUCACGUUAUGGACCAGAGGACCACUAUGUAUUUUACAAGCACGACGAAUCAUGUGGUCAUUAUGGACUCCCCAAGCCUUAGAGGACUCAUUCCAGGUUUUAGGAGGACCACUGCCUAGCUCACCCUUUCGGAGUGAUGUAAAUUAGUUUCCAGACACUAAAAAUAAGUAAUCAGAUUAAUCAUUACAAAAUUUUGAUAUAAAAUCAGAAUAAAUCCUAAACUUUGAUGAUACAAAAAAAAUUAUAAUUGUAAAUUAUACAAUCAAAUUAAGAUCGAAUUAACUUCCCUCACACUUAAAAUUUAUAGCGAUCAAAUCAAAAUCGAAUUAACUUUCCUAUUACUAAAAUUUAAUUACAAUAUUAUUAGAUAAAGAGAAUAUAUAAUAAUCAAGAGAAAAUAGAUUUUUUUUUGCCACUCAACUUAUUGUGUUUUAAGAAACUUACCACCCAACUAAAUUUUUUUCCUUUUGCUCACUAAUGUUAGGUUUGGAUUUGUUUUUAGCCACCAAAUAAGGUUCGGAUUUGAUUACCAGCAUUAUGAUAAUUUUUUUUGUCACUAAACUUAUUGCGUCUUUAGAAACUAACCACUGAACUAAAUUUUUUUUAUUUUACUCACUAAUGUUAGAUUUAGUUUUUUUUGUCACUAUAGUUAGGUUCAGAUUUGAUUAUUAGCAUUACAUUAAUUCUGUGUAGCAUUUUUAAAAUAUGGUAGUAGUCUGUGAUAUUUAGAUGAUUUGAUAUAUGUCUGUAUUUUUAUAUAUAGUAUAUUUUAUGUCCCCAAGGUCGUUUACCUUGGGUCAUAAAAAUUUUACACUCAUUUUAUGACUUUUAAAAGAUGUAGUUUCAUAAAUAAUUUUAUUUUUUUCUUUCGAAUUAAAAUUCAGCAUUUGAAUUUUACACACAAAAAAAUCGCAAGAAUAAGAUAUGAAACUAUGCUUUACAAGAGUCUUAAAAUACGUGCUAAACGGUAGAAAAAACUGUAAACUAAUGAGAGGUACAUAGGGAGUAAUAAUAACAUAAAAUGAUGCACAAUCAUCGAAUUAAGUUUUCCUCUCUCUAUAUAUUUAUUUUGUAAAUUUUAAUAAGAUAAAGUUAUUAAAAUUUAUGAUAUAAAUUUAAGAGAUAUCUUAGAUUGAGUGGCAAAAAUUUAGUUGGGUGGUAAGUUUCUAAAAACACAAUAAAUUGAGUGGGAACAAAAUCUAUUUUCCCAAUAAUGAGUGGGAAUAAAAUCUAUUUUCCCAAUAAUCAAAGUGACGAAAAAUCAAAGUCAUCUAAUAAGUCCAGAAAAAAUAUGACCAUUAGUAUAUUGAAAUAAUAUUCACGCAUUUAUAUACGAGAAUAUAUGGUCCACAAGUUAGUGCACAAUGUCCAAGAAUCUUUAUCAAAUAACACGGCAAGCAUGCAGCAUAUAAAUAAGAGUGGGCAGUAUGGUAUUGCAUUCAUAACCCACUUGAGCAGAAAUAUGGCACACUUCCUAAAGCCUUCUCACCUUCUUCUCUUUGUUUUCUUUCUCUCGUUACUUCAAUCCAUUCUACCAACAAGACCAGAGGGAGAAGCUCUUGUGAAAUGGAAGAAUAGCCUAGCCCCGUCUUCUUUUCUCGAUUCUUGGUCACUAACCAAUCUCGAUAAUCUUUGUAACUGGACUGGCAUUACUUGUAACUCUGCAGGUUCAGUCUCUGGGAUUAACCUUUAUGAGAAACAACUUGAUGGAAUGCUGUCCGAGUUUGGCUUCACUUCAUUUCCGAAUCUCAACAAUCUCACCCUCGCAUACAACUUCUUCUCGGGUCCAAUACCACCAGCCAUUGAGAAUUUAACACAGCUUCAAUAUCUUGAUUUAAGCAUCAAUAGUCUCGAUGGUCCCAUUCCUUUCCAGGUUAGCCAUCUUCAGAGGUUGCUCGUCCUAAACCUGUCACAGAAUGCAUUGCAAGCUCCAAAUUGGUCCCAUUUCUCUUCCAUGCCUUUUUUGCGCAUCCUCAAGCUCAGUAGGAAUCAUCUUGUAUCGAAAUUUCCAGAAUUUAUAUCCAAUUCUCAUAGCUUGGCUAUCCUUGACCUUGGCCAGAACAACUUUACAGGUGAUCUUGUGCGUGAAUUUACCAAUCUACAAAAUCUUGAAACCCUCUGGCUUUAUCGUAAUUCUUUUGAGGGGCCAUUUCCGCCGGAUAUAGUCCAGCUUUCCAAACUAAAAGAUCUUGCCCUGUCAAGUAACAAAUUUUCAGGUUCAGUUCCCAAUAACAUAAGGUUGCUUUGUGAUCUUGAAUACCUAUAUUUAGGCAACAAUUCCUUUAAGGGGCCACUUCCACCAAAUAUAUUUAAGCUUUCAAAAUUAAAACAUCUUGUUCUUUGGAGUAAUAAGUUUUCAGGUUCUGUUUCCAAUGAUAUAGGUUUGCUUCAUGAGCUUGUAACCCUCAAUCUUAACUCUAAUUUUUUUGAGGGGCCGCUUCCGCCAAAUGUAUUCAAGCUCUCCAAACUAAAGUUUUUUGCCCUUCAUGAGAAUAACUUUUCAGGUUUUAUUUCUAAGGAUAUAGGUUUGCUUUCCGAACUUGAAAUCCUCUAUUUUGGCUCUAAUUUUUUUGAGGGGCCGCUUCCUCCACAUGUAUUUAGGCUCUCCAAAUUAAGAGGUCUGGACCUCUCACACAAUAGAAAUUUAUUUGAAGGAAGUAUUCCUAUUGGACUGGGACUCUUGACUAACCUCAGGUACUUAGAUCUACAUUCCAAUAAUCUCGGUGGCUAUAUUCCAUCUGACAUUGGAAACCUGAAGCUACUAGUACUUCUUGAUCUCGGUUCUAAUCAAUUGACUGGACCGCUUUCAAAGAUCGUUUCUAAUCUCACAAAUCUUAUAUGUCUUGAUGUAAGUCAUAAUAGUCUUAGUGGAAAUAUUCAGAGUGACUUGUGGAAAUAUAACGAUCAUCCAACUUUGGAAUACAUCAAUUUAAGUGGGAACCAUUUUACGGGUAUAGUUUUUCUCUAUAGAUCUUUUCCUUUUCUCAUAUGUAACUAAGCUAGUAAUCUGAUUAUUGCAGUUUCACCAAAGUUUCAACAAUCUUGACAGGUGAGCUUCCAACAACAAUUUGCAAUGUCACUUCCCUUUCGGUUCUUGAUUUGUCAAAUAAUGAAUUAAGUGGUGCACUUCCAAACUCUUUGGGGAAUCUUGCUGAUGGAAUGCUUUACCUUAAUCUUGCUAAUAAUCAGUUUCGAGGAACAAUACCAACUACUUUCUCCAGGAGUUGUCGGUUGACAUAUCUAAACAUGGAUAAUAAUGAGUUUGAAGGAUUGUUGCCCCCAUCUUUGGCGAACUGUAAGCACUUGAAAAUUCUUGAUAUAGGCAAUAAUAAAAUAGGUGGUACAUUUCCGUCAUGGCUUUAUGCACUUGGAGAGCUAGAAGUUCUUGUCUUGCGAUCAAAUAAACUCUAUGGUACGAUAAGUGGAAGGAGCAUAGAAGAUCCCUUCCCCAAGUUGCGGAUUGUGGAUCUGUCCCACAAUCAAUUGACAGGCUAUUUGCCAAUUCAAUACUUUAAGAAUAUGAAAUCAACUGAUAAUUUGUAUCGUUAUCGGAAUUCCACAGGACCAUUAUCUUUCUCUUAUGAAGCAGCAGUCUCAUUAACUGUGAAGGGAACAGAGUACGAGGUAGCAAAGAACCUUCAUAUUUACACAGCCAUUGACCUGUCGUGCAACAAAUUUCAGGGAGAAAUUCCAAAGGUUACUGGAGAGCUUAGAUGGCUUGCAUUGCUGAAUUUAUCUCAUAAUAGUCUGACAGGACCUAUCCCAUCCUUGCUGAAAAAUAUGAAAGAACUCCAAUCUUUAGAUUUGUCCUCAAAUCAACUGACAGGGGCUAUUCCACCUCAGUUAACUGCAUUGACAUUUCUGGAGGUCUUCAACCUCUCGGGAAACCAUCUUAGUGGAGAGAUUCCUCAGAAAGGGCAGUUCAGCACAUUUAACAAUGAUUCUUAUCUAGGAAACUCCGCGUUAUGUGGAUCACCUUUGACAAAGAAAUGUGCAAACACAGCAUCACCUCCACAAGAAGUCGGAAAUGGUGAUGAAGAUGAUGCUGGUGAUGAAUGGACAUGGGAAGCAAUCGUGAUGGGAUAUGGAUGUGGACUGAUAUGUGGAUUGUCAUCUGCGUACAUUGUUCUCAAACUAGGAAAGCCUUGGUGGUUUGUGAGAUAUAUCGAAGUGCUGCAACUGAAGUUGAUGAAAAGAUAUGCUUGAAAAAUUGUACUGGCCGAUCAAGACGAACUUGAAAGUUGUUGUCCUUGUGGACAUUUCUGAACCAGUAGUGUACUAGCUGCAUAAGUAUUUGGUAUUAUGUAAUAAUCCGUUUGGUCAGGACUCAUAAUGAUUUCUCUUGCUUCAGGGGUAUUAAUAUUAACCUUGCUAGUUAAUUCAAAUUAAAACAAAUAUAAAAUCAAAAAAUUUGCAUCAAACACCUGUUAUACCAACAUCCAUUAAUUUGCUUUCAUCUCUUACGUAACAAUUUAACAGCGAUUCCACACUGUUUUAGGCAUGGAGAUUACACAAAGAAGGCAAGUCCAUGAACUAAUAUAUUAACCCGUAGUCCACAUCUAUGCUACGAACAAUUCAUAUUGGUCUUCCAUCUAUUCAACCGUCUCCCGAAGAUAGGCCAAAAAUGUCAUCUGUGGUUCUUAUCUUUGUCAGUAAAGGAGAAUCUCUGAUGCCUAUACAACCUGGUUUUCUUACAGAAAGGAAUGUAGGUGAAACCAGGGGCAUAAAAUGAAUCGGGACUAAAAUCUGCUAAAAUGAUAAUUAUUUACUCAUCAUUCGAGAUUAGUCGGGCUCAAAUGAAGAUUUAUAUGGAUUUUAAGAACAAACUAUGACUAAAUAUGAAAACUAGACAACCUGGUUUUCUUACAGAAAGGAAUGUAGGUGAAACCAGGGGCGUAAAAUGAAUCGGGACUAAAAUCUGCUAAAAUGAUAGUAAUUAUUUACUCAUCAUUCAAGAUUAGUCGGGCUCAAAUGAAGAUUUAUAUGGAUUUUUAAGAACAAACUAUGACUAAAUAUGAAAAAAAUCAUUAAUUUUUCCGACUCAAUAUUUUUUAGCCUCCCCCGGCCCUGGGUGAAACCAUAAGCUUCUCUGGUGCACAUCCAAAUCAUUCAGCUGGUUCUGCAGGUACUCUUCUAUCUGUACUUUCUUAUAUUGUUUGCCAGUACAUUUUAUAUCGACAAACUGCACAAUACACCUCGAUCUCAUACACAGGUGAACUCCUGCAUAUGCUUUGUGAUGUCAUUGAUGAUCGAUAGACUUGAAAAAAAAUUAUGACAAAGAUUCAUAAAAUAUCUACUUCCAUCCUAAUUCAGUAUUCAAUAUUAUUCAUCCCGUAUCAUCAUCCAAUCAAUUCUAAUAGUUCUUCUUUAAAUCAGUACAAAUAUUGUUAAAUACCUCGAUGAUGGUUGUCUUCCCGUGAACCAAUCAUAAAAUUACCUCUGUAUAAAUCCAUCGGAAAUAAGACAGUUAAUAUCCCAAUCGAAUACACCCCGUCAGUUGUCAAACUCCUCGAAACGUAUUAAUCACUUUAGAAAAUUUGUUCCACUGGCGCUAGUCAGUCCCAGAGUUGGUGGUGGGUGCUUCUGGGCUUUCGAAAAACACCCAUUUACUCCAUUGUUUAGAGAAGUAAAACCCCACCUUCCGCUCAUUUGAUUGAUCAGCUGAAUUAGGCAGAGUUUACAUGGUCAUGAUCAUAGUCUCCCAUUUCCCAGAUACGCGAAUUAUAGUGGAUUUAUCUUUAUCAGUAAUUUCUGUGGAGAUGCAUAAUCAUUAUAAGCUCCAAUAUAAAAAUUUAAAGUUAGUAUGGGCAUUUGUGUUGAUAAUUUGCGCAAUGUUAACAGGAUUGCUCCCAAGUCUUGGACGGACUCUUUCAAAGUCUUCUCAGGACCCAUCUGCACACUGAUUUGUCUGCCAACUAAAAAAUCAACAAUAUGUUACUCACUCCGUUUUUCUUAAACGAGGUUAAAAUUUUUGACACAAGAUGGGUUGACAGUAUAAUAAAAUUAACAUUUUUGUGAAUAAAAAUUUUGGUUGUAUUAUUUUAUUUAGAAAAAGAAAAUCUUGAAAAUAAUAUUAUUAACUACCCAGUCAAAUCACUUAAAAGUAUAUGUCCAAAAUUAAAGCGGCAUAUAAAAAAACCGAGAGAGAGUAUGUACUAACCUGUUUCCAUAACAGUUUACAAGUAUAAGUUAUACUCCCUCUCUAUUUUUUUAUAUGACGCUUUGAUUUUGGGCACAUAUUUUUAAGUGUUUUGACCGGAUAAUUAAAAAUAUUAUUUUCUAAAAUUUUUAAAAGAAAGUAAAAUUGAAAAAAAAAUAGAAAGCUGGUAUUUUUGAUAAAUUUCCAAACAUAAUCAAGAACAAUAAUUUUUACUAUCCAAUCAACUCAUUUACAGAUGUGUGUCAAAAAUCAAAAUAUCAUAUAAAAAACAACAAUAUGUUACUCCCUCCGUUUUUCUUAAACUGAGGUUAAAAUUUUUGACACAAGAUGGGUUGACAGUAUAAAAUUAAAAUUUUUGUGAAUAAAAAUUUUGGUUAUAUUUUUUAUUUAAAAAGAAAAUCUUGAAAAUAAUAUUAUUAACUACCAGUCAGAUCACUUAAGUGUAUGUCCAAAAUUAAAGCGGCAUAUAAAAAAAAGGGAGGAAGCAUGUACUAACUGUUUCCAUAACAGUUUACAAGUACAAGUUAUACUCCCUCUCUAUUUUUUCUAUGACGCUUUGAUUUUGGGCACACAUUCUUAAGUGUUUUGACCGGAUAGUUAAAAAUUUAUCUUCUAAAAUUUUUAAAAAGAAGUAAAAUCGCAAAAAAAAUUAGAAAGCUGGUAUUUUUGAUAAAUUUCCAAAUAUGUAAUCAAGAACAAUAACUUUUACUAUCCAAUCAACUCAUUUAAAGAUGUGUGUCAAAAAUCAAAAUAUCAUACAAAAAAUAGGUAUACAUUUUUUUUAAUAGAUUAUACUCCCUCUGUUCCAAAAUAAUUGUCAGCUGUGACAUUUUGCAAAAGUAGCUGGGGGGUAAUAACAAGACCUUAGUCAACCCAAGCACAGCAGACAGCAGGCAUAAGGCAUCAGGAAUUUCACAGCACCAUUAUCUUUCUCUUAUUAACUGUGAAGGGAACAGAGUAUGAAGUAGCAAGAACCUUCAUAUUUACACAGCCAUUGAUCUGUCGUGCAACGAAUUUCAGGGAGAAAUUUCAAAGGUUACUGGAGAGCUUAGAUGGCUUGCAUUGCUCAAUUUAUCUCAUAAUAGUCUCACAGGACCUAUCCCAUCAUUGCUGAGAAAAAUGAAAGAACUCCAAUCUUUAGAUUUGUCCUCAAAUCAACUGACAGGGGCUAUUCCACCUCAGUUAACUGCAUUGACAUUACUUUUCUCUUUAUAUCCUUUCCUUUUGUAUGUACCUAUGCUAAUUAUCUGAUUAUCAAAAUUAUAACAAAGCUUCAAGAUUUUUAACAGGUGAGCUUCCACUAAAAAUUUGCAAAGUCACUUCCCUUUCGCGUCUCAUUAUGUCAGAUAAUGGGUCAAGUGGUGCACAUCCACAGUGUUUGGGGAACCUUUCUUUGCUUGGUUUCAAUAAUCUUGCUAAUUAUCAAUUUCAAGGACCAAUACCAACGACUGUCCAAGACUUGUCUGUGCAUAUCUAAACAUCCAUAACAAUCACUUUGAAGGUUUGUUGCUGCAAUCUUUGACAAACUGUAAACACUUACAAAUUCUUGAUAUUGGAAACAACAAAAUAGGUGGUACAUUUCGGUCAUGGCUAUUUAUUUUGGAGAGCUAGAUGUCCUAGUUAGGGCGGUAAUUCAACUAGAGCAAACCGAGUUUUGAGCGGAGCCAAAUUCGAGCCAAGUUUAAUCGAGUCAAGCCGAGUCGGCUCGUUUAGCUAAUCGAGCCUAAAACUCUGCCCGAACUCGACUCGUUUAAUUUCACGAACGAGUCAAGCGAGUGAGCUCGUAUAAUUUUAACUUAAUCGAGCCUAAAUCUCUACCCGAACUAUUGGCUCGUGUAAUUUCGCGAGUAGAAUCGAGCCGGCUCGUUUUAUUAUAGAAGCCGAAAUUUUUGCCCGAAUUUGGCUUGUUUAACAAGCCGAUCUUUCAUCAAAAAUUUCAAACAUUUCUGAAUAUGUAUUUUCAGAGAAUUUCUCCAGCACUCUUAAGGCCUAUAAUUAUUGCAACUCUCACGUUAUGGACCACUGUGUAUUUUACAAGCACGACGAAUCAUGUUGUCAUUAUGGACUCCCCAAGCCUUAGAGGACUCAUUCCAGGUCUUAGGAGGACCACUGCCUAGCUCACCCUUUCGGAGUGAUGUAAAUUAUUUUCCAAACAUUAAAAAUAAAUAAUCAGAUUAAUCAAUACAAAAUUAAAGAUAUAAAAUCAGAAUAAAUCCUAAACUUUGAAUAUACAAAAAAAAUUAUAAUUGUAAAUUAUACAAUCAAAUUAAAAUUGAAUUAACUUCCCUCACACUUAAAAUUUAUAGCGAUCAAAUCAAAAUCGAAUUAACUUUCCUAUUACUAAAAUUUAGUUACAAUAUUAUUAGAUAAAGAGAAUAUAUAAUAAUCAAGGGAAAAUAGAUUUUUUUUUUUUGCCACUCAACUUAUUGUUUUUUAAGAAACUUACCACCCAACUAAUUAUUUUUUCCUUUUGCUCACUAAUGUUAGGUUUGGAUUUGUUUUUAGCCACCAACUAAGGUUCGGAUUUGAUUACUAGCAUUAUGAUAAUUUUUUUUGUCACUAAACUUAUUGUGUCUUUAGAAACUAACCACUCAACUAAUUUUUUUUUAAUUUACUCACUAAUGUUAGGUUCAGUUUUUUUUUGUCACUGAAGUUAGGUUCGGAUUUGAUUAUUAGCAUUACAUUAAUUCUGUGUAGCAUUUUUAAAAUAUGGCUCAUAAGAAUUUUACACGCAUUUUAUGACUUUUAAAAGAUGUAGUUUCAUUAAUAAUUUUAUUUUUUUCUUCCGAAUUAAAAUUUAGCGUUUGAAUUUUACACACAAAAAAUCGAAAGAAUAAGUUAUGAAAGUAUGCUUUAUAAGAGUCUUAAAAUACGUGCUAAACGGUAGAAAAAACUGUACACUAAUGACAGGUAAAUAGGGAGUAAUAAUAACAUAAAAUGAUGCACAAUCAUCGAAUUAAGUUUUCCUCUCUCUAUAUAUUUAUUUUGAAAAUUUUAAUAAGAUAAAGUUAUUAAAAUUUAUGAUAUAAAUUUAAGAGAUAUCUUAGAUUGAGUGGCAAAAAUUUAGUUGGGUGAUAAAUUUCUAAAAACACAAUAAAUUGAAUGGGAACAAAAUCUAUUUUCCCGAUAAUCAAAGUGACGAAAAAUCAAAGUCAUCUAAUAAGUCCAGAAAAAAUAUGACCAUUAGUAUAUCGGAAUAAUAUUCACACAUUUAUAUACGAGAAUAUAUGGUCCACAAGUUAGUGCACAAUGUCCAAGAAUCUUUAUUAAAGUAACACGGCAAGCAUGCAGCAUAUAAAUAAGAGUGGGCACUGGGCAGUAUGGUAUUGCAUUCAUAACCCACUUGAGGAGAAAUAUGGCACACUUCCUAAAGCCUUCUCACCUUCUUCUCUUUGUUUUCUUUCUCUCGUUACUUCAAUCCAUUCUACUAACAAGACCAGAGGGAGAAGCUCUUGUGAAAUGGAAGAAUAGCCUUGCCCCUUCUUCUUUUCUCGAUUCUUGGUCACUCACCAAUCUCGAUGAUCUUUGUAACUGGACUGGCAUUACUUGUAACUCUGCAGGUUCAGUCUCUGAGAUUAACCUUUAUGAGAAACAACUUGAUGGAAUGCUGUCCGAGUUUAGUUUCACUUCAUUUCCAAAUCUUAACAGUCUCACUCUCGCAUACAACUUCUUCUCGGGUCCAAUACCACCAGCCAUUGAGAAUUUAACACAGCUUCAAUAUCUUGAUUUAAGCAUCAAUAGUCUCGAUGGUCUCAUUCCGUUCCAGGUUAGCCAUCUUCAGAGGUUGCUCGUCUUAAACCUGUCACAGAAUGCAUUGCAAGCUCCAAAUUGGUCCCAAUUCUCUCCCAUGCCCUUUUUGUGCAGCCUCAACCUCAGUAGCAAUCCUCUUGCGUCGAAAUUCCCAAAUUUCAUAUCCAAUUCUCAUGGCCUGACUCACCUUAGCCUUGAUCAAAACGAGUUUACAGGUGAUUUAGCGCGUGAAUCAAUAUUUGCCAAUCUGCAUAAUCUUGAAGUCCUCAGUCUUGUUGGCAAUUCUUUUGAGGGGCCAUUUCUGCCAAAUAUAUUCAAGCUUUCCAAAUUAAAACGUCUCACCCUGUCAAGUAACAAAUUUUUAGGAUCAAUUCCCAAUGACAUAAGGUUGCUUUGUGAUCUUGAAUUCCUGUAUUUAGGAAACAAUUCUUUUGAAGGACCGCUUCCACCAAAUAUAUUCAAGCUUUCAAAAUUAAAACAUCUUGUUCUUUGGAGUAAUAAGUUUUCAGGUUCUGUUUCCAAUGAUAUAGGUUUGCUUUCUGCGCUUGAACUUUUGAAUCUUCACUCUAAUUUUUUUGAGGGGCCGCUUCCGCCAAAUGUAUUCAAGCUCUCUAAACUAAGGUUUCUUAACCUCUGGGGUAACAACUUUUCAGGUUCUGUUUCCAAUGAUAUAGGUUUGCUUCCGGAGCUAGAAAUCCUCAAUCUUCACUCUAAUUUUUUUGAGGGCCGCUUCCGCCAAAUAUAUUCAAGCUCUCUAAACUAAGGUUUCUUAACCUUUGGGGUAAUAACUUUUCAGGUUCUGUUUCCAAUGAUAUAGGUUUGCUUCCUGAGCUAGAAUUCCUCAAUCUUCACUCUAAUUUUUUUGAGGGUCCGCUUCCGCCAAAUGUAUUCAAGCUCUCUAAACUAAAGUUUCUUCAUCUUCGAGGUAAUAAGUUUUCAGGUUCUGUUUCCAAUGAUAUAGGUUUGCUUCCUGAGCUUGAAAUCCUCAAUCUUCGCUCUAAUUUUUUUGAGGGGCCGCUUCCGCCAAAUGUAUUCAAGCUCUCCAAACUAAGGUUUCUUUCCCUUAAGGAAAAUAAAUUUUCAGGUUCUGUUUCCAAUGAUAUAGGUUUCCUUUCUGAGCUUGAAUACCUAUAUCUUGACUAUAAUUUAUUUGAAGGAAGUAUUCCUAUUGGACUGGGACUCUUGACUAACCUCAGCUACUUAGAUCUAAGUUCCAAUAAUCUCAGUGGCUAUAUUCCAUCUGACAUUGGAAACCUGAAGCUACUAGUAUUUCUUGAUCUCAGUUCUAACCAAUUGACUGGACCGCUUUUAAAGAUCGUUUCUAAUCUCACAAAUCUUAUGAAUCUUGAUGUAAGUGAUAAUAGUCUUAGUGGAAAUAUUCAGAGUGACUUGUGGAAGAACUCUAUAUCCUUACGUUACAUUAAUUUUGCAAAUAAUUAUUUGUCUGGGAACAUUCCUAAGGAAUACAACGAUCAUCCAACUUUGGAAUACAUCAAUUUAAGUGGGAACCAUUUUACAGGUAUAUUUUUCUCUAUAUAUCUUUUCCUUUUCUCAUAUGUAACUAAGCUGGUAAUCUGAUUAUUGCAGUUUUACCAAAGUUUCAACAAUCUUGACAGGUGAGCUUCCAACAACAAUUUGCAAUGUCACUUCCCUUGCGGUUCUUGUUUUGUCAAAUAAUGGAUUAAGUGGAGCACUUCCAAAUUGUUUCGGGAAACUUGCUGAUAGAUUGCUUUCCAUUAAUCUUGCUAAUAAUCAGUUUCGAGGAACAAUACCAACUACUUUCUCCAGGAGUUGUCAGGUGAAAUAUCUAAACAUGGAUAAUAAUGAGUUUGAAGGAUUCUUGCCCCCAUCUUUGGCGAACUGUAAGCACUUGAAAAUUCUUGAUAUUGGCAAUAACAAAAUAGGUGGUCCAUUUCCGUCAUGGCUUUAUGUACUUGGAGAGAUAGAAGUCCUUGUCUUGCGAUUAAAUAAACUCUAUGGUACAAUAAGUGGAAGGAGCGUAAAAGAUCCCUUCCCCAAGUUGCGGAUUGUGGAUCAAUAGACAUCGGCUAAAAAGCGAUGUCUAUGUAAAAUCAGACCGAUGUCUUCGUGGGUGAUGAGAAAAGUAAGUGCAUUACACAUCGCUUUCUAGCCGAUGUCUAUAACCUAUUUACACAUCGUUUAAUAUGACAAUCUGAUGUAUUUUUUAACAGUAGAUACCUUCACUAUAAUUUCAGUUCCUCAUUCCUAUGCCCUCUAUAUCAUUUUAAACUUGUCACAUGCUUAAUAAAAUGAUACUUUAACAUCUUAAAACUUGUAAAAUAGAUGUAUAUGAUAACCUUUUACAUCAUGCUUUUAUAGGAAGUGAUGUGGUACCCUUCUUUUCUUUAAGAAAGCGAUGUCUUUGUUCUUGUUUUACAUCAGUGAUUUUUAUACUCUGAUAUCUAUUAUAUAGUUUAACAUCAGGCUUUUUCUUGUUAACUGAUAUGUAUUCAUUCUUAUGACAUCGCUUACUAAGUGAUGUAAAUGUUAGUUUUAAAUUGCCAUGAAUCCUCCUGUUUCUUAUGAAUCCCCCUGUUUCAUUUAAAUUUCCAACAAAUUCCAAAACAACACCAAAGCUAUACUAAUUAAACAACCAAUUACCAAUGUCUAGCCUACCAUAACAGAACUAAAACAAAACUAGCUAGCAAAACAAUACUUCCGCAAAAGCCAAAUAUAUUACCAUCAAUCAUUACCAAUCAAAUUACAUCCCACAAUCAAAGAAACUGCACAAAUCCUAAAUAUUAACCAAGCAACCAUAAUUUACAAGCAGUUCACCACGUACUCCAGCAACCAUAAUUUACCAACUACAUUUCCCUCCAUUUAUCAACAAAAUCUACUUAGCUAGCUAGUGUCACUGUCUUACAUAAACUGAACUAAUUAAAGGAAACCAAAGUUCUCCAAUAAACCAAAGGCCUGUUUAUAAGAAGGACUCGAUAUGGCUAAGUGUCUCAAACCGAACCUCGUCAAGCUCAGCCUUGGAACAAAUCACUUUUCGAUUCUUGGAUGCCCACUGAAAAAUGUAAAACAAUAACAUUGAAUUAUACCUAAAUUUAUAUGUACACCAUUUAAUUAUAUCAACAAUGGAUUAGGCAAAGAAAAAUACCCUUUUAAAAAAUGUCAUUUCAUUGUCCAUGACAAUCUCUUUCAUAUACCGCAUAAUAACAUAGCCGCAUUCAGUUCCACCGGGCUGUUUAGGACAUCCCUAUUUAACCAAAAAAAACUCAAAAUAGUAAGUAAAGUAAUGCCCCUGGUUCUAAGCAUCAGUAGCACAAAUUGUUAAAAAUAAAUACGAAAGCUUACUGUAAUAUAUUUGAAGCUUGGGGCUUUAUUUCCCCUUCCGGCCUGAACAUUGAAAGUAAUCACAGCCCUGUCAUCUUGGCAGUGUUAAUAAUGCACAUGCAUUUAUAUCUCCAUAAGAAAGAUAAUCAAUAAAAAAAUAAAUGAAAAUACCUUGAUAUUGCUUUUUCCAAGUUGGGGAAACUAGUUGAACGAGGCAGAGGAUUAAGUAUGAAAACCUCGCCACCCCAAAACAGAACCAAUACCCAAUGGAAACUAUUUUUAACAAAUAUUUAUGAAAAACACAAUUACUAUCAAAAUCAUAUAAAUUUUAUUUUCAGUCAUGUAAAAAACUAAAUAAAAGAGAUUUAUAAUAAAUAAGAAAACACUUAAGCUACUUACUUGCUAUUAUGCGGCAUCAAAAAGAGACGAUCAGGAUUACCCUCUUUAAAUCGAUUAACCAAGUUAUCUUCAAAAGAAUUGUUCAUCAAGUUCAGCGAGGCUCCAGGAUCACAAAAAGCAAAUUGAUCCUUAGUGCCAUUUUCACGAACCACGCAAUGCAAGUAUCUACAUUGUAAAUGAAAUGAAAUUAUAUAAAAUUACACGAAUAUGAAUUAUAACUAAACAACAGUCAUGAUCUAGAAGACAGUAAUUAAAAAAAGUUUACUCACGCCAUGUAUGCAGCAAUUGCUGCUUGGCCAAUCAUAUUAAACUCCAGCAAGGCGACUAUGUUUUCAUACAAGAUGAAGAUUCUUUUCUCGAUACCAAACACCUCAGCAUCACACGGGAUUUGAAUUGAGUCUCCGGAGGAUUGCAUAAAUGUUGUUGCAUGUUUAUACAACAACCGAAAGCGUUUUGGAACAUUUUUAUUGAUCUCCAUGUUAUGAAACAAGGACUGGACUUUAUCUAAAUCGGUUUUAGGUUCCUUUACUUUCCGUUUACCUUUCUGAAAAAUGAACAAAAUUAAUUUAAAACAAAAUAUAACAAAAUAUAGGGGUAACAUAUAAUAGUACAAUCCAGUACAACAAUUAUGUUAAAGUACACACCAUAGUAGGAAUAGUAGGAGGGGCAUUUGGGAAUAUGAUCAAGUCGCGGGGCCAUGAGACGUACGAGCCAACAGCUUGCUCUACUGUUUCAAUCUCACCUGGUACCGGUUUAGGAAUCUUGGCUUGUCCUUGAAUUGGGCCAUCCACUGAGACGCGAACACAUCCAGGCUCUAUCGGCACUCCAUGUAUAGAUUUGUUCAUGUUAUCAUCAUCAAACAACAAACCAAAUGCCACUUUAUUUUCUAUUGUGCCUACAGCCAACUCACAUUUUCGUGGACCGGCCUACACACAUAUAUUUAAACAAUUAUGACGAAUGCUUGAAAUAUGUUGAGCUAAAUUGAAUAAAUGUGCUAGUUAUUUUACCUUAUUCUCUGGUGGAUUAGGUUCCAAGUCAACUUCAAUCAUCUCUGGUUCCAGUUUUUUCACCACCUCUGUCUUAGCUUCUUUGACAGUGUUUGCCUCACAACUUGCUUUAUCAGAAGCAAUAGGAGAUGAAAUAUUUGCUUUGCUGAGCAAGGCCUUCAUUUCAGCCAUCUCCUGCCUUGUCUUCUCCAUUUCCAUGGCCAUCUCUUUCUUGGCUUUCUCCAGCUCCGCGUCCCUCUCUCGAUCCCUCUCCAACAACUCAGCUUUGGUGAUUCUAUUUCUUCUUCCUGGUGGUAUAUUAAAAAAAAUUGACGGGCUCACAAAGCCUCCAACUCCUCGAACCCUCCCCGAAUGUUCAGGAGUUUGUAGGGCCGUAGUCAACACAUCUCGACUCCCAGAAGGAGUGAAUUCCCCCUUACUUUGCUGCUCUAGUAAAAUAUUCUGACAUGAAAAAUAUGAACAUACAAAUCAUCAUCUAGUGAACCUCAUCAUCAAUAUUAACUUUAAUUUUACGAGCCUUUUAAUUAUAAAUACUCACAAUUCUUUUUCCUAUUUCAGCUAGGUCUGAAUCCUCAUCAUCAGCAUCAUCAGCCUCAUCAUCAUCAUCAACAUUAUCAUUAUCAUCAUCAAUUUUAAUUUUACGAGCCUUUUGCCACAUGAGAGCCCGAUCAGGUUCUUCAUCGGCAGCCAAAGUUCCUUUCUUGAUCUGAUUAAAAUCAAAAAAAAAUUAAAAAGGCCAAGAUAUGUAAAAUACAAUUAUUUAGGUUCAAUGCUUAAAAUACAACUAUUUUUAUACCUCUUCUUCCAAUAAUCCAAUGUAACCCUUUCUUGAUGUCCGGUGAGGAUAUUUUCGAUUACUCACCCUCAGCUUUUGUUUUUCACUAAAAGACUUCAAAUAUUUUAAAUAAUAUUAGAAUACUAUUUUUCAGAAUAUAAAAAGACAUUUAUAUCACAAUAAAGCAGAACAUAAAAUAUAUUUCAUACCAGAAAUUUCGAGGUAGUCCUCUCAGCAACAAAAUUUUUCCAAGCCUCCUUUCCAACAAAAGCAUACUUCUUUGGAGGCUUUCGUAAUUUCUUCUUCUGCCCAAGAUACGGCCUCACAUAAUCUCUUGUUAAAUUUGCUUUAAAAUUCCUCCACUUUGCUCCUGCAGACCUGAUCAACCCCUUCUCAAGUUGCUUAGGAACUUUAAAUGUCUCCUGCAACCAAUGUUAAUUGACAAAAUUUACAAAAUUAUACUCUAAAUGAGUAGAAGAAAAUGCAAAAUUUACAAAAUGCAUAGGAGAUUACUUAUUUUUAUACCUUCACAUCAAUCCAUAUUUUCUCCUUUAGUUCAUCAGGUACCUUUGACCAGUUAGGAUAAUCAAUCGGAAUCAUUGUCCUAGCCAACAUUCCAGUGUAGGAUUGUAGACUGUGCCUUGCAUCCCCUGUAGGAACUCCAUGUGCAUUACAUGAAACCUUUGUUUUCUUGCCCUGCGCCUUCCUCACCACCACUUUAUACAUAGCAGAAACCCCUCGGGCACCCCCACGCUUUUUCUUUGCUGUUUCAGAUGUUGUAACUGUUGCAUCCGUUUCCUCCACAGAAUUCACAUUUUCUCCCUGAGGUUCUGUUGUCAGCUCCAACCUUUUAUCUGAUGCCUCAUCCGACUUUUUGGAGUCUUCAUGGAAUUGUACUUUGGUUUUUUGCUUUUUAUUUGCCAUUUAUCUUCUUCAAUCUGAAAAUGAAACAUAUAUAAUCCAUUAGUCACAGGCAUAUAUACGAGCAAUUACAGGAUAAGCAGUUAUAAAGUUACAUAAGCCUACAUAAGCCGUUACAAAAUUGUAAAAAUGCAUAACUAAACAUUUACACAGAGUGAAAAUUACAGGAGUCUAAUUACACAGAGUAAAUUACAAAGUUGCAUCACAUAUAUUACAUGACUUGAAAUAAUGUUAUCACAGAGUAAAUUACAAAGUCUCAUCACAAAAUUAACUAUUACAUGACUUGAAAUAAUGUUAUCACUUCUUAACCCAAGUGCCCUUAAUAUUUUCUCUAAUACUUUUCUCAACAUCAUCACCGACAUCACAUGUAGGAAUUUGGCAGCAGAAUGGAGGAUUUUCCAUGGUUGUGUCUCCUAAAUCAUCAUCGUUAUACACCUCUUGGUAGUCUCGAGUUGUAGAGGUUAAUACGACGGACCACUUGGCAUCCACCGGAUCUUCAAUAUAAUAAACUUGCUUUACUUGAUCUAUAGACACGUAUUUAUCUCUCUUGUGGCCUUGUCGACUUAGAUCGACAAGUGUGAACCCAAGAUCAUCCACCUUAAUUCCCUUGUCAUUGUCCGCCCAAUUACAUAAAAACAGUGGGGCUUUGAAUGCAUGAUAAUCCAGCUCCCAUAUAUCUAGGAUAACACCAUAAAAUGUCAAGUCACUUUCUACGGGGUUUAAAUCUUUAGCGCUAGACACUUGGACAGUUUUAGCAACUAAAGACACUCCGCUGUUUUGAACUACCCUCACAUUGUCUCGCUGUUUUGUAAAGUAUCGGACCCCGUCUACUAGAUAAGCUUCGUAAGUCAUAACUGAAAAUGAUGGUUUUCCAGCUAUCCAUCUUACUGUCUCUGAAACUCCUCCAGGAUUCUCCACCAUUUCACUACUGACCUACACAUUUCAUAAACAGAAAUUAUCCUAAAUUACUAUAGAGAAAAUAAAUUAGGCACAAAUGAAACUAUAAAAAUACUAACUUUUUCUAGAAACCAAUCAGCAAAACUGUUAUUGUGCUCUCUCAAGAGCCAAUGAACGCUUUUCUUUUUCCCACGAUGGAUUUCCUCUAGAUACUCCUUAUGCAUUCUGCCAAAAAUUAUAUAUUCAUUAAAGAAGUAGUUUAUACAGAAUGUAUAUAUUAAUUGAACAGCCACAAAAUUAAAAAAAUCUUACAAGAUAUAUGGCUGUACUUCAAGGUUGUUUAGAAGAACGUGUAAAUGAGCUUCAUCCCUCUCUUUUUCUUCGAUUGAUUUCAUUACCGCAACAGAUAAUGGACCACUUAACUUGCCUUCAUCUUUGCGAAGACCAGCAGUGGUGCAAGUUUGCUUGACAAACUCUUGGCAGAAUUCAAUCGAUUCUUCUCCAAGAUAACAUUCUGCUAUACAACCUUCGGGGUAGUAACGAUUGCGUACGUAACUCUUCAACACCUUAUUAAACCUCUCAAAUGCAUACAUCCAUCUAUAGAAGACUGGCCCACAUAACCGUAAUUCCCGAACCAAGUGCACUAUGAGAUGUAUCAUUACAUCAAAAAAUGAUGCAGGAAAAAUUUUUUCUAGCUCGCACAAAGUUACUAUUACAUCUGAUUGCAAUUUAUCUAGUUUAGAUACGUCGACAACUUUGCUGCAUAAAGCAUUAAAGAAGAAACACAAUCUAAUUAUUGUGACCCUGACUUUUUUUGGAAGUACCGCGCGAAUUGCAAUAGGAAGUAAUUGUUGAAGUAGGAUGUGGCAAUCGUGGGACUUCAACCCAAACAUUUUUAAUUCUUCCAUGGAAACACAGUUUUUAAUGUUUGACGCGUGUCCAUAAGGAAGUUUCAUGUGCAUUAACGAUGACAACAUCUUCUUCUUUUCUGCCUUGGACAAAUUAAAAAUCGAAGGAGGUAAAUAGGUCUUUCUUUCUCCUUUUUGUGGAGCUAGAUCAGCCCUAACCCCCAUGUCAAUCAUGUCAAGACGAGAAGCUUCACUAUCUUUAGACUUAUGUUUCAUAUUCAGUAGUGUGCCAAUCAAGCUAUCACACACGUUUUUCUCCACGUGCAUAACAUCUAGACAAUGACGGACAUGGUGAAAUUUCCAAUACUCUAACUCGAAGAAAAUUGACUUUUUCUUCCAUGGACAGUCAACCUUCUUUGACUUCCUUACUUCUUUCCCAAACUGAAAUUCAAUUUUUUCUUGCUGCAAUAAAACCUCUUCUCCCGAAAGAGGUUGACGUGCCUGCCCUAAUUCUUGUUGUCCAUUAAAAGCAGCUUUUUGCUUCCUAUAUGGAUGAUUUCUAGCCAAGUAACGUCGAUGACCUUGGUAACACAUCUUCCUACUAUGGCUUAAAUACUUUGCAACAGUAUCAUCACCACAUAUUGGACAAGACAUAUAACCUUUAUUAACACAUCCGGACAGAUUUCCAUAUGCGGGAAAGUCGUUUAUUGUCCACAAUAAAAUUGCUUUUAAAGUGAAAUACGACUUAGUGUGUGCAUCAUAGACAUUUGGUUCACCUUCCUCCCACAACUUCUUUAAAUCAUCGAUUAGAGGCUGUAAAUAUACAUCAAGGUCAUUACCAGGCUCAUGAGGACCGGGAACUAAAACUGUUAGCAUCAUAAACUUCCUCUUCAUGCAUAACCACGGAGGAAGAUUAUAAGUCACUAGUACUACUGGCCAACAAGUGUAUCUAUUGGUUAGACCGUUAUUAUGCGGGUUUAUACCAUCUGCAGACAACGCCAAGCGAAUAUUUCUUGCCUCACUACCGAAGGCAGGCCACCUAUAGUCGAUAUUUCUCCAAGAAGGAGAGUCGGCUGGAUGCCGCAUCUUUCCAUCUUCUAUUCGCUGCUUUGCGUGCCAGGUAAUCAGUUCAGAUGUAGAAGGAGAUUUAAACAUUCGCUUCAAUCUCGGAAUAAUUGGAAAAUACCACAUUAUUUUAGCAGGAACAUUAAUCCUUACUUUACCAUCCUUUCCUAACUUCCAGCGAGAUAGACUACACUUAGGACACUUAGAAGCAUCAACAUAUACCCCCCGAUAUAGUAUGCAAUCGUUUGGACAUGAGUGGUACUUUAUGUAUUCUAGGCCUAAGUUGGAUAAUGUUUUCUUGGCUUCAUAUGCAUUAGGUGGCAUCACAUUUUCCUUAGGAAGGAGAGAGCCAACAGUAGACAAUAAAUCUGUAAAGGCGCUAUCACUAAUUCCAAACCUUGCUUUCCAAUUAUGCAGUUUUAGCAUCGACUCCAAUUUGGUACAUUCACUACCCUCAUACAAAGGCUGUUGAGCAUCAGCCACAAAUCUCCUAAACUGAUACGACUCAUUAUUGUACUCACUCGAAUUAUACGCAGCAUCACAAACAUUGACUGUUUGUGAUGCAUGACCAGGGGAAUGCAUCGAUGCAGGGUCAAGCGUAGGUGCAGGGCUAGGGGCAUUGUCAUGAACUGUUGAUCCAGUGAUUCCACACCCUUGUGUGUGCCAAAUCCAAUCAAGGUAUCCCAAACUAAAACCGUAUUCAUAUAAAUGUCCCCUAAUAAUCUUAACUGCAAAUUUUUUAAAGUUAACACAUCUUUUGCAGGGGCAUGGGAUUUUUUUAGUAUCACUAGCAUUUUCCUCGGCAAAUAUUAAAAACUCUUCAACCCCGAUUUCAUAGUCAAGUGUAUCCCUAUCUUUGAAAAUCCAAGACUUGUCCAUGUUAUUCUCAAACUACCUGAUUGUCAAAUAUGAUAUCAAAUUACAUGGUAACAAAGAUCCAAACACAAUAUACAAUUACAUUUACAAACUAAACAAACACAAAUAUAUUUACACAGCUGUGCAUAAAACAUAAAAAACAAAUCCCAAGCUCUAAACAUAUAUAACACAGUACAUAAAAAAGAAACCCCAAGCUCCAAACAUAUAUAAAACAUAUAUACAACUACACGUUUAAUUUUCACAUGCAUACAUAUAACUACAAAAAGUUAUACUUGCAACCGAAACAUUUAUAUAAAUAUAAAGAAGAAUAUAGAAGAAUAUAUAUACCUAAAACCCAGCAGCUUCGAAACCCAGCACCUCCAAAAUCCAGCAGCUAUCCAGCAGCUUCGAAAACCCAGCAACUACCCUAAUCUCCAAGCUUCAAAUCUCCAAGCUUCAAAGAACCCUAAUCUCCAAGCUCCACUCGACCCUAAGCUUGAAGAUCGAACCUUAAGCUUGAACACAGCAGCUUCGAAUCGCGCACAAAUCGCACCUAGGGUUUAGAAGAGAGGGAAUCAGUUAAUAGAACAUUUGAAAGGGGGUUUAGAAGAGAGGGAAUCAGUUAUUAAACCAAGAACGAGGAUUGAAGGACUGAAGGAUUGAAGAAAAUCGCAUACCUAGGUUUAGCUGUCGAGAGAAAGGGGGAAGAGCUGCUGUCUGAAAGAAAUAUGUAUAUAUGUCCCGAUUGUUUUCUUUUGAAUGCUUUUGUUUUAAUUUUGAUUUAUUUUUAAUGUUUUUUUAUUGUUUUAUACUGAGGCGGGAGUGAAUGAUAUGUUAAAGGGGGGGAAAACAGUAGGGGGAACUAAUUAAAAAAUUGACUAAGGGCGGGGGAGCGGAGGGCGCGGGCUUUAAUAUUUUUAAAAUUGAGAUUAGACAUCGCUUAAUAAACAAUGUGAUGUGAAAAAAUUUUAAAGUGAGAGCUUAGACAUCACUUAUGUUAAGGACUGAUGUAAAGAUACCAGAAAGACAUCACAUAUAAAACGAGCGAUGUAAAAAAGGCAUUUUACAUCGGUGACACUUCCGACUGAUGUCUAAUGUGCGAUGUCUAUUGACGAAUUUCUAGUAGUCUCCAAAGGAUAUUUAUCUUUCCAUCAUGAUGCAGCAGUCUCCUUAACUGUGAAGGGAACGGAGUAUGAGGUAGCAAAGAACCUUCAUAUUUACACAGCCAUUGAUCUGUCGGGCACCUAAUUUCAGGGUCGAAUUCCAAACGUCACUGGAGAGCUUAGAUGGCUUGCAUUGCUCAAUUUAUCGCAUAAUAGUUUAACAGGACCUAUCCCAUCAUUGCUGAGAAAUAUGAAAGAACUCCAAUCUUUAGAUUUGUCCUCAAAUCGACUGACAGGGGCUAUUCCACCUCAGCUAACUGCAUUGACAUUUCUAGAGGUCUUGAACCUCUCGAAAAACCAUCUUAGUGGAGAGAUUCCUCAGAAAGGACAGUUCAGCACAUUCAACAAUGAUUCUUAUCUAGGAAACUCCGCGUUAUGUGGAUCACCUUUGACGAAGAAAUGUGCAAACACAGCAUCACCUCCACAAGAAGUCGGAAAUGGUGAUGAAGAUGAUGCUGGAGAUGAAUUGACAUGGGAAGCAAUCGUGAUGGGAUAUGGAUGUGGACUGAUAUGUGGAUUGUCAUCUGCGUACAUUGUUCUCAAACUAGGAAAGCCUUGGUGGUUUGUGAGAUAUAUCGAAGUACUGCAACUGAAGUUGAUGAAAAGAUAUGCAUGAAGAAUGGUACUGCACUACAACAAAAACAGCAUCACACAACGGUUUUUGCCCGUUGUCUGAUACCCAAGAAAACCGUGGUCUAUUGCGAUGCCGUCUGAUACGCGCCUCAGACAACGUUUUAUUAGUUAAAGGCUUGUCUAUAAGGCCAUGCUACGAUGGUAACAAAAACACUUGUAUGUUAGCUUCCUGGUCACACAACACUGUAUGGAACCCUUGUUUAAACGGCUCGUAAACAACACAACAAAUAAAACACUUGUCUAAUUACAACAACGGUUUCUUGAAAUAUUGUCUGAAGUUUCUUCACACAUCGGCUCUAAAAACAGUUGUCUAACGUGCAUCAUUACACAAUAUCACAGUUAAGAUACCGUUGUCUGAUUGAAUUUACUAGACAACACUUUUUAAACCGUUGUAGGUUGUAGGUGUUGGACAAUAGUUUUUCGAGGACGAAAAUAAAGUGUUGUGUCUUUGUUUCGGCCAACACUUUUUCCAGCGUCCGUUGUCUGACUAGUGUCGUGUGAUGCCAGUUUUGUUGUAGUGCUGGUUGAUCCAGACGAACUAGAAAGUUGUUGUCCUGGUAGACAUUUCUGAACCAUUUGUGUCCUGGCUGAAUAAGUAUUUGGUAUUAUGUAAUAAUCCGUUUGGUUGGGACUCAAAAUGAUUUCUCUUGCUUCAGGGGUAUUAAUAUUAACCUUCCUAUCUUGAUCAAUGUUAAAUCAAAUUAAAUGAAUGAAAAAACAAAAAGUAUGCAUCAAAUCCGCUCCUGCUGUACCUAACAAUUUAACAGCACCCUUCCACACUGUUCAUACCUAAUUUGCGUGUAAUAUGAAAACUAAGAGGCAUGGCUUUUGUCUUUGAGAGAACUUAUUCCAAGUCUUCUUCGGAGGCCUACUGCCUCAACAACCUUUCAAAGACUAUGCAAUAAUCCACGUGACAGAAAAACCAAAGUCCAAUUAGUAUUAUAAGUUCAUAAAAAAUACUAUAGGAUCAUUAGCAUUAGCAUUACAUUAGCAUACAGCAUAUAUAUAAAUAGAAGAAUGCAGUGUGGUAUUGGAUUCAUAAUCCAAUUGAGCAGAAACAUGGCACACUUUGUAAAGCCUUAUGACCUUCUUCUCUGUGUUUUCUUUCUCUCAUCACUUGAAUCCAUUCUUGCAACAAGACGAGAAGGAGAAGCUCUUGUGAAAUGGAAGAACAGCCUAGCCCCGUCUUCUUCUCUUGAUUCUUGGUCACUCACUCAUCUCGAUAAUCUUUGUAACUGGACUGGCAUUACUUGUAACUCUGCAGGUUCAGUCUCUGACAUUAACCUUUUCAACAAACAACUCACUGGAAAGCUUUUCGAGUUUGGUUUCACUUCAUUUCCGAAUCUCAACAAUCUCACCCUCGCAGAUAACUUCUUCUCUGGUCCAAUACCAUCAGCCAUUGGGAAUUUAACACAGCUUCAAUAUCUUGAUUUGAGCAAUAAUUAUCUCAAUGGUUCCAUUCCGUACCAGGUUAGCCAUCUUUCAAAAUUACACGUCUUAAACCUGUCAGAGAAUGAACUGCAAGCUCCAAAUUGGUCCAAUUUCUCCCCCAUGCCUUAUUUGACCAUCCUCGACCUUUAUCAGAAUAAUCUUAUGUUGGAAUUUCCAGAAUUUAUAUCUAACUCGCGUAACCUGACAUACCUUGACCUUUCAUAUAACAAGUUCACAGGCGAUCUUGUGCGCGAAUCAGUAUUAGCCAAUCCAGGUGAUCUCGAAACCCUCUAUCUUAAUGAAAAUUCUUUUGGGGGGCCAUUUCCACCAGACAUAUUCAAACUUUCCAAGUUGAGAGUUCUUGCCCUGUUCAAUAAUCUUUUUGAGGGGCCGCUUCCGUCAAAUAUAUUCAAGCUCUCUAAACUAAGAUUCCUUUUACUUUGGAGUAAUAAUUUUUCAGGUACUCUUUCGAAUGAAAUAGGUUUGCUUUCUGAGCUUGAAGACCUAGAUCUUCACUCCAAUUUUUUUGUGGGGCCGCUUCCGCCAAAUAUAUUCAAGCUCUCUAAACUAAGAACCCUUUUCCUCUUGGGUAAUAACUUCUCAGGUUCUAUUUCCAACGACAUAGGUUUGCUUUCUGAGCUUGAACACCUAUAUCUCGACUCCAAUUCUUUUGAGGGACCUUUUCCAACAAAUAUUUUCAAGCUUUCCAAAUUAAUACAACUUGGUCUCGCAAACAAUACAAAUUUAUUUGAAGGAAGUAUUCCUCCAGGACUGGGGCUCUUGACUAACCUAGAGGACUUGUCUCUUGCUUACAAUAAUCUUGGUGGCUAUAUUCCGUCUUCCUUUGGAAACCUAACACUACUAGUAUAUCUUAAUCUCGCUCGUAAUCAAUUGGUUGGAACACUAUCAAAGACCAUUUCUAAUCUCACAAAUCUAUGGUUUCUUGAUGUACAUCAUAAUAGUCUCUCUGGGAAUAUUCAGAGUGACUUCUGGAAAAACUCUACAUCACUGCGUUACAUUAAUUUGGCAGACAAUAAUUUUUCUGGGAACAUUCCUAAGGAAUAUAAUGUUCUUCCAAUCCUGGAUCACAUCAAUUUUAGGGGGAACAAUUUUACAGGUAUUUUUCUUUCCAUAUUUUUUCCUUCUGUUGUAUUCAAUUAUGCUAGAAACUACAGCCUCUGUUUUUUCAAAUACAUAUCGUUUAACUUUUUGGCACAAAACUUUAUAAUAAUUCUAACUAAAAGGUCAAUGAACUCAAAAAUGUGUGUCAAAAAGUCAAACGUCAUUUAUCUGAAAUCAGAGGGAGUAUAUAUUACUGUUUUACCAAAGUUUCAACAAUCAUGACAGGUGAGCUUCCACCAACAAUUUGCGAUGCCACUUCCCUUUCGAUUCUUGAUCUGUCAAAUAAUGGAUUUAGUGGUGCAGUUCCACAUUGUUUGGGGAAUCUUGCGGAUAAAUUGAUUUCGAUUAAUCUUGCUAAUAAUCAGUUUCAAGGACCAAUACCAACAAAUUUCUCCGAGAGUUGUCGUCUGACGUAUCUUAACAUCUAUAACAAUCACUUCAAAGGUUUGGUUCCCCAAUCUUUGGCAAACUGUAAGCACUUGCAAAUUCUUGAUUUUGGAAAAAAUGAAAUAGGUGGAACACUUCCGUCAUGGUUUUUUACUCUUGGAGAGCUAGAAGUCCUGAUCCUGCGAUCAAACAGAUUUUUCGGGAGAAUAACUAGAAGGAGCAUACCACGCCCCUUUCCCAAGUUGCGGAUUUUGGAUCUAUCCAACAAUCAGUUCACCGGCUAUCUGCCAAUUUUAUACUUCAAGAAUAUGAAACCAAAUGAUAAUAAUUAUGAUUAUUUCAACAACACAAACGAAGCCUAUUACGUUUAUCAAGUUUCUAUCACAUUAAAUGUGAAAGGAAGCGAGCAUGAAGUGACAAAUAUUCUUCAUAUUUACACGGCCAUUGAUCUGUCGUGCAACAAAUUUGAAGGAAAAGUUCCAGACAUUACCGGAGAGCUUAGAUGGCUUGCAUUGCUAAAUUUAUCUCAUAAUAGUCUUUCGGGGCCUAUUCCAUCACAACUGGGAAAAAUGAAAGAGCUCCAGUCUCUAGAUUUGUCGUCAAAUCAAUUGACAGGUGUUAUUCCGGAUCAACUUACUAGUAUGACAUUUCUUGCUAGUUUGAACCUCUCAGAAAACCAUCUUUCUGGGAAAAUCCCUCGGAAAGGACAGUUCAGCACUUUUGGCGAAGAAUCUUACUUAGGUAAAUCGGCCUUGUGUGGAGUUCCUUUGACAAAGAACUGUAUAGACGAUGUGCCACCUUCACAAGUUGGAAAUGGCAAUGAUGAAAAUGUUGAUGAAGAUGAUACCGUUGAUGAAUUCAAUUGGAAAGUGAUCCUGAUGGGAUAUGCAUGUGGAUUAAUAGGCGGAUUGUCUGCAGGAUACAUUGUCUUCACAGUCGGAAAGCCUUGGUGGUUUUUGAGAUACAUUGAGACACUGCAGCAGAAGUUGAUCUGAUGCGCAACUAGAAACAACGUUAUAAUCUUAGAAUGACUUGUGUCUUUAAACAGAGUUAGGAACUUAGGAUGACUUGUGGUGCUAUAUUUUUUUUUUGAAAAAAAAAAACAUAUUUUUGUAAUUUUUUAGAUACAGAUGUUAAGAAGGUGUUGUAUAUUCAUUUUUUACCCAAAAAAAAAAAGAGGGCUUAUUUCAUGAAAAUUAGAGUUUUAUGUAUUUUCUCCAGAAAUUAGUCCUUAUUUCUGAAAAUAAGGUUAGUCAAAACGGUCACUACACGAUUGGUAGCCUUUCAGUUCUUCCUAGUGUCCACUACAGUUUCAUUCCUUACCAGUUAUUUUAUGCUCUGCACUGCAUUAUGCAGCUUUCAUAUUACUGACAGCUAAUCUCCUUCCAACACUUUGCGAUGCGAAGCAGGGACGCAUAAGUAUUUUUAUAUGUGUAUUAGUUUUGAAGAUUAAAGUUGCAUGGACAAUUGUGUUGAUAAUUUGAGCAAUGUUAACCGGGAUAGGUCUUCUUCUCUCUCCCAAGUCUUCUGAGGACUCAUCGGCUCAGAUUAGUCUAUCCAAAAAUUAUGAUCUGACGGCUAUUGGCACACUAACGAUUUACAUAUCACUUGAAUAUUACUGGAUACCCGCAUCUUGUUUUAAAUGGCGUAUAUCGGCUAAUAGUUCAACGAUGGUGACAAAUCCCGGUGAUCCAAAUAAUUGAUUGUCGCAAAAUUUUCCGCUUACAUCCAACUAACACGUAUUAGGAAAAAAAAUUAUAUAAUUAAACACGCUCAUGUAUCUAUAUCUUUUACAAGAUUGUAAGUCCCCAAUUCUAUGUGAUAUUAGCUAUAUGUGACUAGAAGGUUUAGAAAUACUAGAUUAUCAAGAUUUCUUUUUAUUCUAGCUAGUGUUGAGUUAUAUUUAUUUUCUUCAAACAAUCAAUACUUAUUUUUUAUUAAUAUGUGAAACUCCAAUAUAUAUUAUUAUACGAUAUAUUAUGAAAACACUAUAUUUUGUAAUGUUCAUCUUAUCCUACCAGCAAAAUUACAUCGCUAACAAAAUUAUAUCAAUUUUAUUUUAUAAACUCAAAUAAUUUAAUUUAUGAAACAACUCUAUGAGAUUCUUAUCAUGAGUUAGAAUUCAAAUAAAUAAAGAGUUCAUAUUGAUAAGUGGAAUUGAUGUGCAAGUAAGGGGUAUAAAAAAAUCUCAAAAUAACUCCAAAAAGCACAUGACAUGUUUGAUUUAAUAGAACUGGUACAUAAACAGGGGGACCAUUAUAUUUAUAAGCAAGUGACCAACAAUAGUUUACUACUGAUAUUUUGUGAUAUUUUUUGUGAUAUUUUUUGAGACCUUUAACAUUAUUCUGUGAAGUGGUAUACUACUGUUACUAGUUCUGAAACUUCAAACAAAGUAGGCGCAACAUUGUAAGAGUGAUUAAUAAAGUUGAGAAACAGUGUGUACAUUGAGCAGUAUGACAAUCAGGUUCAGCAUAUAAUACAAUCAGAUUCACAAUCAGGUUCACGAGAAACAUGCUGCAUUCCAAAAAGCCUUAUUAUCUUCUUCACUAAAUAACAAGGCAAAUACAGCAUAUAAAUACAAGUUAUAAGUACAAGUGUGGUAUUAGAUUCAUAACCCAGUUGAGGAGAAACAUGGCACACUUUGUAAGGCCUUCUCACCUUCUUCUCUUUGUUUUCUUUCUCUCAUCACUAGAAUCCAUUCUUGCAACAAGACGAGAGGGGGAAGCUCUUGUGAAGUGGAAGAAUAGCCUAGCCCCUUCUUCUUUUCUCCACUCUUGGUCACUCUCCAAUCUCGAAAAUCUUUGCAACUGGACUGGCAUUACUUGUAACUCUGCAGGUUCAGUCUCUGAGAUUGACCUUUGUGAGAAACAACUUGAUGGAAUGCUGUCCGAGUUUGGUCUCACUUCAUUUCCAAAUCUCAACAAUCUCACCCUCGCAGACAACUUCUUCUCAGGUCCAAUACCACCAGCCAUUGAGAAUUUAACACAGCUUCAAUAUCUUGAUUUAAGCAUGAAAAGUCUUAAUGGUCCCAUUCCGUUCCAGGUUAGCCAUCGUCAGAGCUUGCUCAUCUUAGACCUGUCACAGAAUGCAUUGCAAGCUUCAAAUUGGUCCAAUUUCUCUCCCAUGCCUCAGUUGCGCUUCCUCAAGCUCAGUAGCAAUCAUCUUGUGUCGAAAUUCCCAAAUUUUAUAUCCAGUUCUCAUAGCCUGACUUACCUCAACCUCUCAUAUAACAUUGGAAACCUCAAAAAAUAUAUAUUUAUAUAUUUAUAAUUAAAAAAUUGAAUUACUUAAUAUAUUAAAAAAUUGAAUAAAAUUUUAUAUAUUUUAUUAAAAAAUUGAAUAAAAAUUGAAUAAAAUUGAAUAAAAUUGAAGUACACGAAAAGGUACACGACACGAAAUACACGACUGAGAAGUCGUGUCGGUUUUGUGUUUACCCUUCGGGUACACGACACGAGGUACACGAAAUAAAUAAAUAAAUAUAUAUAUAUAUAUUUACCCUUCGGAUUAAGAGUUGGUCGCGGACAAAUUCAAAGUUUCCCAAUUAUCCUUUAUUUUAUGUAACUUUGCUUAUGUUUAAGCCUAAAUUUGGACAAUAUUUGUAAAAUAUUAAUAUUUCGUGUACUAAUUCGUUACCAGUUUCGUGUAUUUUUUCGUGUAUAUUUCGUGUUUUCGUGUUUUCAUGUACUAUUUCGUAUCGUGUCGUUUUCGUGUACAUGAAAAAAUUCGUGUACUACAGUUCGUGUCGUUUUUACCUGUUUCUAAAUCGUGUCGUGUUCGUGUUUACAAUCGUGUACACGAAUUGAAUUCGUGUCGUGUUCGUGUAUACCCACCAGAUACACGAAACACGAAAGUACACGACACGUUUAUACACGACACGAACGAUUUGCCAGGUCUANGAAACACGAAAGUACACGACACGUUUAUACAUGACACGAACGAUUUGCCAGGUCUAUUCAAACCUAGCAAGUAACCAAGAGGGGGCAAACUCCACCAGAGACAAAUCAAAGACCAUACCUGAGUAUUGCCAACAUAACAUUACAAACUGGCAGGUGAAAAAUAUGUGAAUAAGGUCUUCGUCACCAGAGUUACACAUGGGACAGUCAAGAGAAAGAUUUACUCCCUUAGAUUGUAAUCGACUUUUCACAGGCACAUUAUUCCUGCAAAAACGCCAUAAAAACACUUUGAUCUUAAGAGGAACCUCCAACUGCCAGAGUUUCUUCCACCCACUAGAUUGUGUAACAGUGCCAGUGCCAAUAUUUUGGGCAUGCCAAAACUGGUAACCUGUUUUCACAGAAUUUUGGCCGUUAGUAGUCUUUGACCAAGCUAGAUGAUCCACGGUCGACCUAUAGGGAACAGAAGUUUUUAAAAAUUAUGUAAUUCAUUCAAUUCCGUAUCAGACAAUACAUCUUAUCAUCGGUGAUAAUGGAAAUAGUGUAGAUGUUUGACCUAGUCCAUGUUUGACAACCAAUAUAAUAAGAAAUAAAUUCUUAUUUUUCUAAAAAAUAUAUUUUUGUAUAUAAAUGUUAAAGAGAUAUUUCUUAUUUGUUGUUUGAAAAAAGUAAAGACUUAUUUCAGAAUAAAUAAAAAUUAUUGUACAUUCUCUUUAUUUUUAAAAAUAAGUUUGGUCAAAUCGCCCAUAAUUCUCGUAAUUCAAAAGCCCAUUAUUUUUUUUUUUCUUGCUAAUUGAUCAGCACACGCACACGUUUCCAACUUCCCGCAAAGGGUACCGGAGUACCACCACACCGACGCUUUGUUGGGCCCAAUAAUUGGCUGAAGUUGAACGGGGCUUUCUGCCUCCGCUGGACCCCAGUUGGGAGGACUCUUUCCAAGUCUUUCGGAGACUCUUUCCCAUUGACUCCAACUUUCCAGGGUGUAUACAAAUUUUUUGAAAGAGGGUGUAUACAAAUUAUUCACGGCCAUCAAAUUAACCAGCGUAGCUGGUGAACAAAUAUUAUUGUUUAUUAUAAUUUUAUUUAAUUUAAAUGUGAUUAUAAAGAACAUAAGAGGACGUUUGAAAGUGUGGGUCUUAUUUCAAACAGUAGAUUUCAAAAAAUAUGAUUUCAAUUGUUAUUUAAAAUUCUUAAAUUUAUAUUAUAUUAAAAUGUUCUUAUCUAUACUAUACUAUUAAAACCGAAACAUUAAAAGUUUGGUCGGUCGGUACUUGGGCCGAUAUAUGGGCCUAUCUAUAUAACUAAUUAUUUUUUUUUAAUUUUGGGCCGAAAUACAGGCCUGUCUAUAUAAUCAAUUAUUCUUUUUAACUAAAAUAUGUUAUCUUUUUUACUAUUAAAGCCAAAACAUUAAAAAUUUGAUCGGUCGGUACUUGGGCCGAAAUAUGAGCGUAUCUAUAUAACUAAUUAUUUUUAUUUUUUUUUAUUUUUGGCCGAAAUACAGGCCUAUCUAUAAAAUCAAUUAUUCUUUUUAACUAAAAUAUGUUAAUUUUUUUUACUAUUAAAGCCGAAAUAUUGAAAGUUUGGUCGGUCGGUACUUGGGCUUCUAGGCCGAAAUAUAGGCCUAUCUAUAUCAUCAAUUAUUCUUUUAAACUAAAAUAUGUUAUCUUUUUUACUAUUAAAAUCGAAACAUUGAAAGUUUGAUCGGUCGGUACUUGAGUCGAAAUACGGGCCUAUCUAUAUAACUACUUAUUAUUUUUAACUUGGGCCGAAAUACAGGCCAAUCUAUGUAAUCAAUUACGCGGUAUUCUUUUUAACUAAAAUAUGUUAUUUUUUUAACUAUUAAAGUUGAAAUAUUGAAAGUUUAGUCGCUCGAUACUUGAGCCGAAAUACGGAUCUAUCUAAAUAACUAAUUAAUUUUUUUUAACUUUGGAUGGAAAUACAGCCCUAUCUAUAUAAACAAAUAUCUUUUUAACUAAAAUAUGUUAUCUUCUUUAUACUUUCUAACUAAAAACUCAAUCUUCUAAAUGAACAUGGAAGAAUAUAGUAAUUAUCUUUUUAACUAAAACAAAUUAUCGUCUAUUAAAUCAAAUUAUAACAAACUAUCCAUAAACAUCCUUAAUUUAUAACAAAUUAUUAAAUAUUUUUUAUCAUCUACUAAAUCAAAACAUUAAAAAUUAGAUUACCAUUAUGGAUCAGUAUUUGAAUUACGCUUCUCUUUAACUUAUAAUAUGUUUUAUACUAUAUUAUUAACUAUUAAUAACUAAAUAUUAAAACGCUGAUUGGGUUGUUUCUAUCUGGGUUUACGGGUCUCCUCAAAUUAUAAUCCCUCCGUUCUUAAAUAUCUGCCUUUUGACUUUUUGGCACGCAUGUUAAAGUGUUUUGAAUUUAUAGUAAAAAUAUUAUUUUUAAAUUUCUUUUUCUGAAUAAAAAUUUUAUAUCAAUACUUUUAUUCAUAAAAAGAAAUAUUUGAAAAUAACAUUUCUAGCUAUGUGGUCAAAAUAUCUUAAAAUGUGUGCGAAAAAGUCAAAAGGCAUAUAUUCAAGAACGGAGGGAGUAACAUGUAAAAAAAAUUAUUUUAACAUUAUCAUUAAAAAAUUAUAUAUUUGACCUAAUUAUAAAUUAACUAUUUGAAGGAAUAAACUAUUAAGAAUUUAUUUAGCUGCUAAAUAAAAGUUUUUUUAAUAACAUUAUUCUAUCACAAUUUUACUUUCAAUAAAAUUCGUUAAAUCUAAAAUAUAUGCGAUGAAAUAACAAAUAUUAAAACCGCCCGUGCAUUGCACGGGUUUUAAGCUAGUUCUAAUUAAUGAGUCACUAUUCGUAUUCUCAAGCAUGUUAGUUUGUUAAAAUUUAAAAUUUCAAAUGAAAUUAGGCUAAAAGACCAUAAUAUCAAAUCAAAAUCUCAUUAUCCAAUAUAUUGGUGGGCAAAAAUAUUAAACCUGGCUAUUCAUUAAUAUUGGUUCUUUAUUCAAAUUAUGUCAAAUUUAUAUAAAAUUUCGAAAAUUAUUUAUGAAUAAGAGUCGGCAUUCAUAUAUUUAUUAAGGAUACAAGUGAGAAAAUGUUAUUAAAUUAAUAUUUUUUAAUAUACGUAAGUUUUUUAAAAUAAAUUUGUAGCGUGGGACGGGAGUAUUAGACUGAUUCUGGCUUGGAGUGAAUCAGCCCAUAAAGUUUACAGGGUAGAUGACCAUUCUUAAAUCUUAAAGAAUCUUACGGUGACAGCUAACUGAACGACUCGGUUUCAGAAGUGCUGAAAAGUUUCGACGUAAACUACAAUUUGCCUAGCAUGUAAUUUCCAUGCAUUUUCUCGUUACGAGUAGGUUUGUCCGGAAGUACAAUUCAAAAUAGAGUGCUGUUAAAAAAAAUUGAGUUACUUAUUCAAUAACUUUUUUGAUAUUUAUAUAUUUUUAAUUAUAAUAAAGAUACUAGUGAUUAUGGUUAGCUUUUGGAGUACUUUUGGAGUACUUGGAAAUUUUCUUUUCGAGAAAAACGAGAGUACCUAUUUCAAUUUUUUACCAAAAAUUAUAAUUGAAAACAACGGACUUUUAUACUUAUCAUAACAAUUUUUAACAUCUUGUUUAGAAAUAACCUGUUGUUGUAUUAUGCAAAAGUAAUAUCACUAGUUUCUAUAUCCGUAUUCUAAUGAUAAUAAAAACAUCUCUAAUUCAUUAAAACUCUUACAUAGAAAUUGAUAAAAAAAGAAGAUAUAAAAUAAUUUAUUAAAAAUAUAUCAAAGUUUUUGCACUCGGUUAUAAUUAUUGUGUAAUUUUUUUUUUCAAUUCCAAGAUAUUGUUAUAAGAAAAUUUUACAUCAUAUAUAUAUUACAAAAAAAAUUAAUGUAUUAUAUAUAUAUAGGGUCCUACUCUGGUACAAACCUUUUUAGCGUACAAACUACAAACCAAAAUUAAAAAGUCUCUAAAUCAAAUCAGAAUAUAGCACAUAUGGUAUGGAAAUUGAUCGUUGCGAGAUGAACAAAAAUAAUGAUUAUAAAGUUUGUAUUUGAGCCAUUAUAUAUAUACUUACAAUAAAAGUAAUAAUAUAUUAUAUUCUAAAUAUAGUUAACCACUGCAGUUGGUCGCUUAUAAAUAGAAGUGUGCAUUAUAGGAUGAAACGUACAUCAAGCUGAGGAGAAACAUGGUACACUCUGCAAAGCUAUAUCAUCUUCUUUUACUUGUUUUCUUUUCCUCCUUACUUCCAUCCAUUCUAUUGGCAACAAGACGAGAAGGAGAAGCUCUUGUGAAAUGGAAGAAUAGCCUAGCCCCGUCUUCUUUUCUUGAUUCUUGGUCACUCUCCGAUCUCGAUAAUCUUUGCAACUGGACUGGCAUUACUUGUAACUCUGCAAGUUCAGUGUCUCAGAUAAAUCUUUCCCAAAAACAGCUCGAUGGAACGCUGUCCGAAUUUGGUUUCACUUCAUUUCCGAAUCUCGAAAAUUUGACUAUAAGAGACAACAGCUUCUCCGGGCUAAUACCACCAGGCAUUGCGAAUUUAACACAGCUUCAAUACCUUGAUUUAAGCUACAAUUAUUUCAGUGGUUCCAUUCCGUACGAGGUUAGCCAUCUUCAGAGAUUACGUGUUUUAGACUUGUCGUAUAAUGAAAUGCAGGCUCCAAAGUGGUCUGACUUCUCUCCCAUGCCUUUUAUGAGCAUCCUCAACCUACGGGCCAAUCAUCUUGUGUCGAAAUUCCCAGAAUUUAUAUCCAAUUCUUUUAGCCUGACUUUCCUUGACCUUGGAGACAACAAGUUCACCGCUGAUCAUCUUGUGCUCGAAUCAGAAUUUACCAAUUUGCAAAAUCUUGAAACGCUGUUUCUUGAUGGUAAUUCUUUUGAGGGGACGUUUCCACCGAAUAUAUUCAGGCUUUCUAAAUUAAAAUACCUUUCCCUAUCUGCUAAUAAGUUUUCAGGUUCUGUGCCGGAUGACAUAGGGAUGCUUCGUGAUCUUGAAUCCCUUUAUCUUGGUAACAAUUCUUUCAAAGGGAUGCUUCCACAAAAUAUUUUCAGACUUCCCAAAUUACGGGAUCUUUCCCUCUGGGGUAACAAUUUUUCAGGUCUUAUUUCAGAUGAUAUAAGGAUGCUUUCUAACCUGGAAUCUCUUGAUCUUAAUGGUAAUUCUUUUCAGGGUCCGCUUCCACCAAAUUUCUUCAAGCUUUCCAAAUUAAGACAUCUCGCCCUCUCAAAUAAUAAAAGAGUAUUUAAAGGAAGUAUUCCUCUUGGGUUGGGGCUUUUGACUAACCUUGACUACUUAUGUCUUAAUUCCAAUUAUCUCACUGGCUACAUUCCAUCUGACAUUGGAAAUCUAAAGCUACUAGAACAUCUUGAUCUCAGUUUUAAUCAAUUGACCGGACCGCUCCCAAAGAUCAUUUCUAACCUCACUAAUCUAACGCGUCUUGGUCUGAAUGAUAAUUGGUUUUCCGGCAGUAUUCCAAGUGACUUCUUGGAAAACUCUACAUUAUUAUUUUACAUUGAUCUUUCAAACAAUGAUCUGUCUGGAAGCAUUCCUAAGGAAUUCAACGUUCAUCCGACAUUGGAUUAUAUCAAUUUAAGUGGAAACCGUUUUAGAGGUCUACUUCUCUCUUUAAAUUUUUAUGUUCGUUUUGUAUAUGCUAGUAACCUGAUUAUUACACUUUUACUGAAGCUUCAACAAUUCUAACUGCAGGCAAGCUUCCAGCAACGAUUUGCAAUGCUACAUCCCUUUCGACUCUUGUUCUGUCAAAUAAUGAAUUCAGCAAUGCACUUCCACAUUGUUUGGGGAAUCUUGCUGAUCAACUUCUUUCCAUUAAUCUUGCUAAUAAUUUGUUUCGAGGACCAAUACCAACAACUUUCUCUAAGAGUUGUCGGCUGACAUAUCUAAACAUGUACAACAAUCACUUUGAAGGGUUGUUGCCGCAAUCUCUGGCAAACUGUAAGCACCUACAAAUUCUUGAUAUUGGAAACAAUGAAAUAGGUGGUAAAUUCCCGUCAUGGCUGUUUACUCUUGGAGAGCUGGAAGUCCUAGUCUUGCGAUCAAAUAGAUUCCACGGUCCAGUCAAUGGAACAAGCUCAGCAAAUUUAUUCCCCAAGUUGCGGAUUGUUGAUCUCUCCAACAAUCAAUUUACAGGCGAUUUACCAAUUCAGUAUUUUAAGAAUAUGAAACCAACAGAUAACCACUAUAGUUAUUUUUAUACAGAAAGUGGUUUUUACUAUCAUCAAGCAUCGAUCUCAUUAACUGUGAAAGGAAGAGAGUAUGAAGUGAAAAAGAUCCUUCAUAUUUAUACAGCCAUAGAUGUGUCAUGCAACAAAUUUCAGGGAGAAAUUCCCGAGGUUAUUGGAGAACUUAAAUGGCUUGCAUUGCUCAAUCUAUCACAUAAUAGUCUUAUUGGACCUAUCCCAUCACAGCUCGGAAAUAUGGAAUCACUUUUAUCUCUAGAUUUGUCUUCAAAUCAUUUGACAGGGGGUAUUCCCGAUCAGUUGAUUAGGUUGACAUUUCUAGAGGUCUUGAACCUCUCGGAAAAUCAUCUGACAGGGCCUAUCCCCCAAAAAGGACAGUUCAGCACAUUCAACAAGGAUUCUUACCUAGGUAACUUUGCCUUGUGUGGAUUACCUUUAACUAAUAACUGUACACACACUGUGUCACCACCACAAGAAGGCGGAACUGGUGACAAUGAUGCCUAUGAUGAACCCGAUUGGGAAGUGAUCCUCAUGGGAUAUGGAUGUGGACUAAUAUGCGGAUUGUCCACAGGGUACGUUGUCUUCACAUUCAGAAAGCCUCAGUGGUUUAUGAGAUACACUGAAAGCGUGCAACAGAAGUUGAUGAGAUGAUGCAUGUUGAGUACCGUUCAAUCAUGAAGCACAACUGGAAACAAUGUUAUCUUAGGAAAACAUGUGUUCUGAACCAGUAGUGUUUGCACAAAAUUUGUGGUGCUAUGUAAUACUUAUAUAAUUGUACGUAUGAUUAUUGAUUAGUCGUUGAGAAAAUGCAUUUUAUUUCAGUGUCAAUGAUAAUCUACAUGUUUUGGAUACUUCCAGCUUCUCAUACUAAUAUAGGAACCACUUGAAAAAUUUUGGACAGGCUCUGAGGAUGCUAAUGCUGCUGUUUAGUUUCUACCGCGGAAUUGACUUUAGCAUAUACUCGUAUGACAUAUUACUAGAUAUAUGGUUGUUAAAUAAAAUUAUCUUUUUGUGGAAUAAAUAGGAAAGCAAAAUCAUAGAAUAAUGUAUGUUAUAUAGGAAGGUAUUGUCCUCUUAGAUAGGUAUCAUUUAUGCCUCAUUGGCAUGUCUCAGAAAACUUUUGGGUUAACACAAUGUUUACUUAGAGCAUUGCCAUUCCUUAAAUAUAAUAUAAAAUAUUGGAUCUUAGUGACUUAAGAUGAUAAUAGCUAUUCGCACCUCCAACAAUAUUCCUUAUAUUCAUUCCUUAUAUACUAUUUUAUUAUUAAAAGUUACCAUUAUUGCAAUAGGUGAAAAGAGAGAACAUGUUUGUAUUCAAAAUUUAUUGUAAAAUAAUAUUUAGGAGAGGAGAGAGGUUACCUAAAGAUAAGGCAUGGCUAGUUAUUUAGAGAAUCACUAGGAUACUGUUGGAGUGGAUUAUUUUCCCAUAUUACUCAUAUUUUGGUUUAAGAUUCCUAAUAGGGAAGCUGCUGGAGUUGCUCUUAGAGCAUCUCCAAGAGAUUCUUCAUUUAAGCUCCUAACUUGAGAUUUGAGUAGGGAGAGGAAAAAUGUUGCUCCAAGAGACUCUUAAGUGGCUCUUAAAUCACUAAGAGCCUCUUGUUUCUCUCUCCUCUCUCCUCAAAGUUAAGAGCCACCACAUUGCUCCUAACUUAUUUUUUCACAAUAAAAAAAUCUUUUCCUCCAAUUCAGCUCCAUCUUUCCAUCUCUUUUGUUAUAGUGGAGCCCAAUAUAUGAAUAAAAUAUGAAAUAGAGAAGAGAUGUAGAGAGUAUUGUUGGAGUUUACACUCUUAACUUUGUCUUAAAUUGCUAAGAGCUAUUUUUUUAUAUUAUAUUUAGGAGCCAAUAAGGAGGCUCUUGGAGAUGCUUUUAGUACUAAUUGUUAGAAUAUGAAAAUGCAGUUAUGAACUAUUAUGCUAGAGAGAGAAAAAUUCAACAAACUUCAUUUCUGUAAACUACAACUAUUAGUCUGUUACAUUGCUGAAAGCUACAUUUAUACAUUUACAGUUUACAACAAACUAUGAAACUGAUUUUCCCGCGUCCUCCUCACUUGUCCACGUGGCCUGACUGGCUUGGUGUCCUUGACACUCUUUAUUAUUGCUAAUAUAUACUUAACACUAAUACCUCAAAGCAGGGUAUAAAUUCAAUAGCACAGCUUCUGGAUAAUGGAAAUUUAGUUAUCCAGAGGUCUUGGUUUUACAUAUCACUUGUAUAUUAUGUCUCGGUCUCAUUGAAGCAUACCAAACGAGAUUUUGGGUUUGUUAAUAUUUUUUUAGUCCAAAUUUGAAUAAUACUGUUAUGCUUAUUCACACGGUAGACGUGUUUUUAUUAAAAUACUGCAACUGAAAUUGAUGAAAACAUGCACAAAGCAUAGCAGACGAAAGACUUGAGGAGAUAUUGUCUUAGGCGAUGCAAUACGUUCUAAUAUAAUGCUAUAUUAUGCAAUCUCGUUUAAUACUUUCAUCAUUAUUCUCCAAGAUGUCUGAACAUGUAUUUUCAAAGAAUUCUCAGUUCACCUUUAGUCUUAUAGCGACAUUUUGAAGGCACUCUCAACUUACACCCUAUAUAUACACGUACGGUUCACUUCAGUACAAAGAUUUUAUGAUACAACUCUCAUAUUAUGAACUAGUUCUGUCGAAUACAUGAAUAUUGAUCAAUCAUUUGAACUCGAGUUUCCCAGCUGGCCAGAUACCCAGAUUAUUAGCCAUGCAAAACAUGCAGAACCACUAGUAAUGCAGAAAAACAAUAUAUUAGUUUUCUCCGGUGUUACAGAAAUCAGGAAUCGGACCUAAUCGGUUUAGCUACCGAUUUAGGGAUUAAUAGGAAAUAGGGGAUUAAUCGGAGUGAAAAUCGGAUUUAUUUUAAUAUUAAAAUAUUAUUUAAUAUUUAGUUAUUAUUAUAUUAGCUAUUUAGUAACUAAUAUAUUUACUAUAUUCAUAAACUCUAUAAUUAUUCGUAUUGAAAGUAAUAUAGUAUUUUAAUUUUAAUAAUUUACUAUAUAUACUUCGAUUAAGAAAUAUAUAUAUAAGGAUUAAUCGGAUUUCAAAAAUCGAAUCGGUGGCCAACCUUGCAGAGGAUUAAUCGGGGAUUAAUUGGUUGAAUCGGGGAUGUUUAGAACACUGGUUUUCUCCAAAUAUCACUACAACAAAACUGCCAUUUUACGACGGAAAUCUAAUAUUCUAAAGGGUUACGACCAAACUAUGUCGGUGGACUUUAUUUUAAUUUACCGUUUAACAGUAGUUAAUUUUGGAUAUCUACACUUGCGAUGGAAAACAUACGACAGUCUACUUCGUGAGAGAAAAUCAUUUUAUUUUAUUUUUUAGCGCCAGAAUUUUAAUACUGAAAUAUUAUAUAUAUGAAGGAAACUGAUCUCUAAUGUUUUCAGCUUGCUCAUCCAUCGUAAGUAAUCCGUCGAAAAAGUUAGUUUGUUGUGGUGGUGUCUUAUCAUGAGAGAAAAUGAUAAUAUCGCAAAAUAUUUGCAACUGAAAGAUAAAUUAUAAUUCUAGAAACCAUUUAGGUAACGAUGCACGAAGUUAUUUUCACUCACUUAGAAUUAAUGNUGAAAACAUGCACAAAGCAUAGCAGACGAAAGACUUGAGGAGAUAUUGUCUUAGGCGAUGCAAUACGUUCUAAUAUAAUGCUAUAUUAUGCAAUCUCGUUUAAUACUUUCAUCAUUAUUCUCCAAGAUGUCUGAACAUGUAUUUUCAAAGAAUUCUCAGUUCACCUUUAGUCUUAUAGCGACAUUUUGAAGGCACUCUCAACUUACACCCUAUAUAUACACGUACGGUUCACUUCAGUACAAAGAUUUUAUGAUACAACUCUCAUAUUAUGAACUAGUUCUGUCGAAUACAUGAAUAUUGAUCAAUCAUUUGAACUCGAGUUUCCCAGCUGGCCAGAUACCCAGAUUAUUAGCCAUGCAAAACAUGCAGAACCACUAGUAAUGCAGAAAAACAAUAUAUUAGUUUUCUCCGGUGUUACAGAAAUCAGGAAUCGGACCUAAUCGGUUUAGCUACCGAUUUAGGGAUUAAUAGGAAAUAGGGGAUUAAUCGGAGUGAAAAUCGGAUUUAUUUUAAUAUUAAAAUAUUAUUUAAUAUUUAGUUAUUAUUAUAUUAGCUAUUUAGUAACUAAUAUAUUUACUAUAUUCAUAAACUCUAUAAUUAUUCGUAUUGAAAGUAAUAUAGUAUUUUAAUUUUAAUAAUUUACUAUAUAUACUUCGAUUAAGAAAUAUAUAUAUAAGGAUUAAUCGGAUUUCAAAAAUCGAAUCGGUGGCCAACCUUGCAGAGGAUUAAUCGGGGAUUAAUUGGUUGAAUCGGGGAUGUUUAGAACACUGGUUUUCUCCAAAUAUCACUACAACAAAACUGCCAUUUUACGACGGAAAUCUAAUAUUCUAAAGGGUUACGACCAAACUAUGUCGGUGGACUUUAUUUUAAUUUACCGUUUAACAGUAGUUAAUUUUGGAUAUCUACACUUGCGAUGGAAAACAUACGACAGUCUACUUCGUGAGAGAAAAUCAUUUUAUUUUAUUUUUUAGCGCCAGAAUUUUAAUACUGAAAUAUUAUAUAUAUGAAGGAAACUGAUCUCUAAUGUUUUCAGUUUGCUCAUCCAUCGUAAGUAAUCCGUCGAAAAAGUUAGUUUGUUGUGGUGGUGUCUUAUCAUGAGAGAAAAUGAUAAUAUCGCAAAAUAUUUGCAACUGAAAGAUAAAUUAUAAUUCUAGAAACCAUUUUGGUAACGAUGCACGAAGUUAUUUUCACUCACUUAGAAUUAAUGCUAAAUAUUUGCAACUGAAAGAUAAAUUAUAAUUCUAGAAACCAUUUAGGUAACGAUGAGCGGAGUUAUUUUCACUCACUUAGAAUUAAUGAUAAAUAUUUGCAACUGAAAGAUACAUCAUAGUUCUAGAAAAGGAUCCACGAAGUUAUUUUCACUCACUUAGAAUUAAUUGUAAGUUAUUGUGAGUUUUUGAAUAUGAAUUAUCUCAAAUUUUAUUAAAACACAUGUUGAUUCUUAUAUACAAAUUUGCCUAUCUAAUAUUAUAAUAUUUAUGGAGAAGGUGUAUGAACAAUUGUGUAGAUAAUUAUACUUUACAAAGCAUACUUCUGCUAGCUGAAUUUUGAUUAAAAAAAUCGAAAGGGAUAGGUCUGGGUCUCUCCAAGUCUUUGAGGACUCAUUCCAAGUCUUCUGAUGAGGACAAAAUAUAUUGCUGGAAGUCUUUCAGUCCUUCCUAGAGUAUUUUGUGCUCUGCACUGCAUUAUGCAGCUCUCAUAUAACUGACCGCUAACCUCCUUCCAACACUUUGCGAUGCAAAACAGUGGCAUGUUAUAAGUAUUUCCGUAUGUGUAUUUAUUUGGAUAUUAAAGUUGCGUAACAUUUGUGUUGAUAAUUUGCGCAAUGUUGAUGAGGAUUGCUCCCAAGUCUUGGCGGACUCUUUCCAAAUCUUCUGAGGACCUAUGGGUUCAAAUUAGUCCAUUAAAAUGAAUACCAUUGUUUUGUGAUUAAGUUGUAUGGUUAAGAGCUUAUCCUCUGUCGUCCCAGGUCCUGGGUUCGACCCUGGCUCACCCCGAGAGUUUCGUAGAACAGAUACUCAUUAUAAGGCUAUAAGCCAUAUUUGUCAAAAAAAAAGUUGUAUAGGCAAUAUGCAUUGCAAAAUCAGCAACAGAAUAUAUACUAAUUAAUUACCUGAUAUCGGUUUGAACAAAUACUUUCUAUGUAGUUGUAAUAUUAGUCUUCUUUAAAAGUUAUCAUGAGGGAAGAUAUAUAUUGUGAUGCGGGGGAAAUAUUGUAACCGAAAAUAAUUAUAAUUCUAAAAAUUUCCAUUAUACACUUUUUUUAGUGUUCGUACGUGGUAAGUACUUCAGACGACAUUUCUCGCGUAUGCCUCCAAUUAAGAAUUUGAUGUUCAGCCUAGUCCUAAACUAAAAUUAUUAUAAAUGUGUAAUUCAAAAUUAUAUUGCUGGUAGGCUCUGAGAUUAACCUUAAACAAAAACAACUCAGUGGAACGCUUUCCGAGUUUGGUUUCACUUCAUUUCCAAAUCUCAACAAUCUCAACAUAGCACGAAACAACUUUUACGGUCCAAUACCACCAGCCAUUAAGAAUUCUAUUUUAAUAUGUAACAUUCUAUUUUCUAAAAUAAUAAAUAUUUUUUUUAAUAGUUGGUCAAAAAUUAGUCAAUUUGACUUCUCAAAAAGCAGAAAGGACAUGUAAAUUGAGACGGGGGAGUAUUUAACGGAAUUCAACGAAAGGUGUGCGUAUCGUUCUUGAAAUGUAAAAAUAGGUGGUGCAAUUCGAGUUUCCAAACCUAUGGGUACAAUAUCGUUUUUAAACGUAAGCUAGGGGGUCCAAAUUACAAUUACAUGUAUAUAUAGUGACUUAACGGAGUGCAUAUAGUUAACGGAAGUUAACGGCAGGGAGUGCAUCUCGGGCUUGAAUAGUAAAGAUAAAAGGUGCGAGUUGAGUUUCUCAAAGUAUGAGUACAAUAUCGUUUUUGAAUGAUAGUUAAGGGGUGCGAUAUGCAAUUACCUCAAAAAAAUAUGAUCAUUAGUAUAUUAUAUUAGUAUCCACACACUUAUAUCUCAAAAUCUAUCCUCCAAAAUUAUCAUCUAUAUAGGCUAGCCACAUAAAAUAAAAAUUUAAAGAUAUUAGAUAUUUAGUUAUUUCAAUUAUAUAAUUUUUCCACGCAAAAUAACAAAAUAUCUUUAUCAACUUAUUAUUUAUGAGUUAAAUAUUCAACUUAUAUAAUUCGGGCAUGCUGGGUAUAAAUAGAAGUGUAACGCCUAAUUUCCGGGGUCUGGGAGUAGUUAGCGGGGUAUGAGAGAGCAGGCUAUUUAGAAGUCUUGGUCAUGAAAACUUCCAAGCUAACUUCGACAACGGAAUCUUCUGAGGCUACUAUUCUAAAGCACGCAUAAUCAUUGUAUUCAUUUUCCUCUAACACUGGCAAAAAGUCUAUUUAAGCAAAUGAAAUACAAACAACUGAGUGGAAUGCUGACCGAAAGUCUUUUUGGCUGAGCUUAUGAUUUAUUAGUACAUGAUUAAUAUGAUAAGCUAAGCUGAGAGCAUAAGAUAUCGUGUGUAUAAUUUUGUGUUUAUUAAUGACUUAUAAAUUAUUAAAAAUAUAAUAAGAAAAAUAAAAAUGAUUUAUAACUAAUUUAUGUUUUAUGAGUAAUUUUUAUUAGAAAAAAGUUUUAAAAAAUUAUUUCACUGAAAAAAAAUCCUCCAACUAACUUUUGGCUCUAAGUCAGUUUUUGAUUUAUUUAUGAUUUUAAGUCGGAUUCUGAUUUUUACACAAACAGAAAAUUUCCAGCUUAAAGUUAAAAACAACUUUAAGCUCCGGUUUUAAACCUCUGAGUUUGGUUUCACUUCAUUUACAAAUCUCAACAAUUUCACCAUCAAACACAAUGACUUCUCCAAUCUCCGGUCCAGUUCACCAGCCAUUGAGAAUUUGGCACAACUUCAAUUCCAUACCAGGUUAGUCGGCUUCGGAGGUUACACGCCUUAGACCUGUCAAAUACAAAUUUCAAUCUCCAAACUGGUCCGAUUUAUCUUCUAUGCAUUUUGUUGAGUCCGGCUCAUCUAAAACCUGAAGGUGUUAGAAGAAACCCGAAUGAAUCUUAUAUAUGAAUCUUAUAUAUGCUAUAUUUAAACAAUUCUGAGCACACUCAACCUUGGUAUUAAUAAUAUCGUGUCGAUAAUUCCAGAAUUUAUAUCUAAUUCUCAUAGCCUAACUUUCCUUGACCUUUCCAUAUAACAAAUUUACAGUUAAUCCUGUGCUUGAAUCAGUAUUUGCAACCAAAAUUAUGCAAUUAUAGUGCAGGUAGUCUUCCAGUUCUUCCUACUCUAUGCUAUAAUUUCAUUUGAUACCAAUAAUUUUACGCUCUACACUCCAGGAUGAGCUCGCAUAUUAUUGACAGCAAUAAUCCUUCCAACACUUUGUGAUGCAAAGCAGGGGGGCGCCUGUAUUUUCAUAUGUCUAUAUUAUUGGAGAUUAAAGUUGUGUGGACAAUUGUGUUGAUAAUUUGCCCAAUGUUAACAGGGAUAGGUUGGCUUAAAAAUAUAUAAGGUCACUUGUGCAUCGCUGUUCACACACUUAGACCCUGUUUGUGUAAGCUUUAAGUCCGGGCUCAAGCAAUUUCGACUUAAUCACUUCCGAGGACCAAUACCAACAGCCUUCUCAAAGAGUUGCCAGCUAAGAUAUCUAAACAUGUAUGACAAUCAGUUAGAAGGACUAUUGCCCCGAUCUUUGUCAAACUGUAAGCACUUAAAAAUUCUUGACAUCGGGAACAAUAAAAUGGGUGGUACAUUCCCUUCAUGGCUAUUUAAUCUCGGAGAGCUAGAAAUCCUAGUCUUGCGAUCAAAUAGACUGUACGGUCCUGUAAGUGGAAGGAGCACAUCACAUCCAUUCCCCAAGUUGCGGAUUCUAGAUCUCUCCAACAAACAAUUCGCGGGCUAUUUGCCAAUUCUAAACUUUAAGAAUAUGAAACCAGCUGCUGAUGAUAACGCGUAUAGUUAUAAAAAUAAGUCACAAGGACUAAUUAAUUACAUCUAUGAAGCAUCUAUCUCCUUAAAUGUGAAAGGAACAGAGUAUGAAGUGAAGAACAUUCUUCAUAUUUACACAGCCAUUGAUCUAUCGUGCAACAAAUUUCACGGAGAAGUUCCAAAGAGAGCUUAAAUGGCUUGCAUUGCUCAAUCUAUCUCAUAAUAGUCUUGCCGGACAUAUGUUCUGAAUUAUUAUUAUGCUUUCAUCAAUAUUUUCAAACAUUUCUCAAUAUGUAUUUCAAAGAAUUCUCAAGCCCUGGAACAUUUGGACCGGUCCUUUCGAAGCCAAGAUGCCCAGGUUAUCAUGGCCAUGCACAAAAAUGAAUAAAUUAUUCCAAGUCUUCCAUGACUCAUUCCAAGUCUUCGGAGGAGACCCUGAGCACAAAGAUGCUCAGGGUCUCCCCAAGCCUUCCAGGACUCAUUCCAAGUCUUCGGAGCACGGCCUCGACUCGCCCUUUCAAAGAUGUGAUAGUAGCUCGAGAGUGAUAUAAAUUAUUUUCCGGACACUAAAAAUAAAUAAUCAGAUCAAAUUAAUCAAUAAUAAAUUAAGGAUGAAAUCCAAAUUAAUCCUAAAUUUUGAUAAUAUAUAAAAAUUAUAAUUAUAAAUUAUAUAACCAAAUCAGAAUUGAAUUAACUUCCUUGGCACUAAAUUGAUAAGGAAAGUAUAAUAAUUUAAAUUUAAUUGAUGAAAAGUCAAAGUCUUCUAAUAAAUCCAUAAAGAAUAUGAUAAUCAAAAUAACGAAAAUUAUAAUUGAAAAAUCAAAAUCAUUAGUGUAUUGGAAUAGUGUUCACACACUUAUAUAUCAAAAUUUGUGGUCCAAAAACUAUAGCACAAUAUCCUAAAUACACCACAUUAAAUAUUAGUUCAAAAAUAUUCUGUAAAUAAUUGUUUUCAUUCAUCAUUUUGUUAUUUAAAAAACUAAUAAUUUGGGUUGAUGUUAACCUAUAUUUUAAUAUAUAAUUAUAUUAUUUUCGUAUUAUUUUAUUUAACUAGAAACAAUAUUUUUAUCAGACAUCAAUUAUAUUAAAAGAUAUAAUUUUAUUAAAAAAAAUUGAAUUAAAUUAAUAGGAUAACUCUACGCCUCACCAAGUCUACAAGACUCAUUUCAAGUCUACCAAGGACCACUACCUCGGUCCUCAACCAUUGGGAGAUGUGAAAGUAGCUUGAGAGUGACAAAAAUUAUUUUCCUCACAAUAAAAUUUAAUAUCUGAUAUAAAUUAAUUAAAUUAGUUAAUAAUAAAUUAAAACUAAUCAUGAAUUAUGAUAAUAAUUAAAUAAAUUAUAAUUAAAUUAUAUAAAUCAACUCCAAAUGAUACAAAUGACACUAAACCUUAGUUACUUUAUUGGUAAAUAAAUAUAAUAUAAUAAUCAAAUUGAUGAAAAAUCAAAAUCAUCUAAUAAAUUCAUAAAAAAUAUAUGAUCAUUAAUAUAUAUUAUAUUAGUAUCCACACACUUAUAUUUCAAAAUCUAUCCUCCAAACUUAUCAUCUCUGUAAACUAGCCACAUAAAAUAAAAAUUUAAAGAUAUUAGAUAUUUAGUUAUUUUCAUUAUAUAAUUUUUCCACACUAAACAACAAAAUAUCUUUAUCAAAUUAGUAUUUAUGAGUUAAAUAUUCAAGUUAUAAAUCCAGCAUGCAGCGUAUAAAUAGGAGAAACAUGGCACACUCUGCAAAGCCUUCUCACCUUCUUCUCUUUGUUUUCUUUCUCUCAUCACUUGAAUCCAUUCUUGCAACAACACGAGAAGGAGAAGCUCUUGUGAAAUGGAAGAAUAGCCUAGCCCCGUCUUCUUUUCUUGAUUCUUGGUCACUCACUCAUCUCGAUAAUCUUUGUAACUGGACUGGCAUUACUUGUAACUCUGCAGGUUCAGUCUCUGAGAUUUACCUUUAUGAGAAACAACUUGAUGGAAUGUUGUCGGAGUUUGGUUUCACUUCAUUUCCAAAUCUCAACAAUCUCACCCUCGCAUACAACUUCUUCUCCGGUCCAAUACCACCAGCCAUUGAGAAUUUAACACAGCUUCAAUAUCUUGAUUUGAGAAAUAAUUAUCUAGAUGGUCCCAUUCCUUUCCAGGUUAGCCAUCUUCAGAGCUUGCUCAUCUUAAACCUGUCAGAGAAUGCAUUGCAAGCUCCAAAUUGGUCCCAUUUCUCUCCCAUGCCUUUUUUGCGCAUCCUCAACCUCAGUCACAAUCCUCUUGCGUCGAAAUUCCCAGAUUUUAUAUCCAAUUCUCAUAGCCUGACUCACCUUAGCCUUAAUUAUAACGAGUUUACUGGUGAUUUAGCACGUGAAUCAAUAUUUGCCAAUCUGCAUAAUCUUGAAGUCCUCAGUCUUAAUGGCAAUUCUUUUGAGGGGCCAUUUCCACCAGAUAUAUUCAAGCUUUCAAGAUUAAAACGUCUCUUCCUGGCAGUUAACAAAUUUUCAGGUUCAAUUCCCAAUGACAUAAGGUUACUUUGUGAUCUUGAAUACCUAUAUUUAGGCAACAAUUCUUUUGAAGGACCGCUUCCACCAAAUUUAUUCAAGCUUUCGAAAUUAAAGCGUCUUUUUCUUUGGAGUAAUAAGUUUACAGGUUCUAUUUCCAAUGAUAUAGGUUUGCUUUCUGAACUUGAAACCCUCAAUCUUCAAUUUAAUUUUUUUGAGGGGCCGCUUCCCCCACAUAUAUUUAGGCUCUCUAAGUUAACAGGUCUAGAACUCGGAGACAAUAGAAAUUUAUUUGAAGGAAGUAAUAUUCCUAUCGGACUGGGACUCUUGACUAACCUCAGGUACUUAGAUUUACAUUUCAGUAAUCUCAGUGGCUAUAUUCCAUCUGACAUUGGAAACCUGAAGCUACUAGUACUUCUUAGUCUCGGUUCUAAUCAAUUGACUGGACCGCUUUCAAAGAUCGUUUCUAAUCUCACAAAUCUUAUAUUCCUUGAUGUAAGUGAUAAUAGUCUUAGUGGAAAUAUUCAGAGUGACUUGUGGAAAUAUAACCAUCAUCCUACUUUGGAAUACAUCGAUUUUAGUGGGAACCAUUUUACAGGUAUAUUUUUUCUCUAUAGAUCUUUUCCUUUUGUCAUAUGUAACUAAGCUAGUAAUCUGAUUAUUGCAGUUUUACCGAAGUUUCAACAAUCUUGACAGGUGAGCUUCCAACAACAAUUUGCAAUGUCACUUCCCUUUCGGUUCUUGAUUUGUCAAAUAAUGAAUUAAGUGGUGCACUUCCAAACUGUUUCGGGAAUCUUGCUGAUGGAUUGCUUUACAUUAAUCUUGCUAAUAAUCAGUUUCGAGGAACAAUACCAACUACUUUCUCCAGGAGUUGUCAGCUGACAUAUCUAAACAUGGAUAAUAAUGAGUUUGAAGGAUUGUUGCCCCCAUCUUUGGCGAACUGUAAGCACUUGAAAAUUCUUGAUAUAGGCAAUAAUAAAAUAGGUGGUACAUUUCCGUCAUGGCUUUAUGCACUUGGAGAGCUAGAAGUUCUUGUCUUGCGAUCAAAUAAACUCUAUGGUACAAUAAGUGGAAGGAGCAUAGAAGAUCCCUUCCCCAAGUUGCGGAUUGUGGAUCUGUCCAACAAUCAAUUCACAGGCCAUUUGCCAAUUCAAUACUUUAAGAAUAUGAAAUCAACUGAUAAUUUGUAUCGUUAUCAGAAUUCCACAAAAGUUUUUUCUUUCCAUUAUGAAGCAUCUGUCUCAUUAACUGUGAAGGGAACAGAGUAUGAAGUGAAAAAUAUCCUUCAUAUUUACACAGCCAUUGAUCUGUCCUGCAACAAGUUUCAAGGAGAAAUUCCUGACGUUAUUGGAGAGCUUAGAUGGCUUGCAUUGCUCAACUUAUCUCAUAAUAGUCUAACAGGACCUAUCCCAUCAUUGCUGAGAAAUAUGAAAGGACUCCAAUCUUUAGAUUUGUCUUCAAAUCAACUGACAGGGGCUAUUCCACCUCAGUUAACUGCACUGACAUUUCUAGAGGUCUUAAACCUCUCGGGAAACCAUCUUAGUGGAGGGAUUCCUCAGAAAGGACAGUUCAGCACAUUCAACAAUGAUUCUUAUCUAGGAAACUCAGCGUUAUGUGGAUCACCAUUGACGAAGAAAUGUGCAAACACAGCAUCACCUCCACAAGAAGUCGGAAAUGUUGAUGAAGAUGAUGCGGGUGAUGAAUUGACAUGGGAAGCAAUCUUGAUGGGAUAUGGAUGUGGACUGAUAUGUGGAUUGUCAUCUGCGUACAUUGUUCUCAAACUAGGAAAGCCUUGGUGGUUUGUGAGAUAUAUCGAAGUACUGCAAUUGAAGUUGAUGAAAAGAUAUGCAUGAAGAAUGGUACUAGCCGAUCAAGAUGAACUCGAAAGUUGUGGUCCUUGUGGACAUUUCUGAACCAGUAGUGUUCUAUUCUCUUUGUGGCUGCAUAAGUAUUUGGUAUUGUGUAAUGUUCUGUUUGGUCUUGAAUCAUAAUAAUUUUUCUUUCUUCAGGGGUAUUUAUAAUAUAAACCUUGGUAUUGUGUACUAGCUGUAAUAUUCUGUUUGAUCAAUGUUUAUACCAGUAAUUUUAUGCUCCGCACUGCAUCAUGCAGCUCUCAUAUUAUCUUCAUAUGUGUAUUUAUUUGGAUAUUAAAAACAUAUGGGAUAUGUGUUAACAGGGACAGCUCCCAAGUCUUGGAUAGACUCUUUCCAAGUCUUCCGAGGUCCUAUAGGUUUAAAUUAGUCCAUUAUCUGCAUACUAAUUUGUCCAACUGAAAAAUCAAGGAUAUUAUGUAUUAACUGUUUUAAUAACAAUUUACAAGUAUAAAUUUCAUAUAUUUUUUCAUAGAAUAUAAAUUAGUUGACGUACUAAAAUCACUAGUCAAAUUAAUUUAAAUAAAUAUAUUGAAAAGAUGAUAAUAAAAUUAUGGUAAUUUAUCACUACAACAAUUCUGGACAUUAAUUAUAUGUAUACUUAAAUAUAUUGAAAAGAUGAUAAUAUAGUAGAAUACAAAUGGUUAUGAUUCCGUAGUAACUACACCGUCGUAAGUUCACAUAAUUAUAUAAUUAUAGUUAUUUGAAAACGAAAAAUAAAUGAGAAAAUAUAUAGUGACCAAAUAUGAAUCAAUCUAAAAUUUUCAUUAUGGAGAUCGUAAGAAACGUGAUGAAGAACUGGAAUGAGAAUUCCUUACAAAACAUUUGGGUUAUAUUAUCAAUGAUGAAUGUUGUAUAUUAUACCUAUGAUUUCAAGUCUCAUACAAAAUUAUAUUGCUCAUAGUCUUUCGAUCAGUUCUUACUAGUGUAUGCAAUAGUUUCUCAUUCCAUACCAGUUAUUUUAUGCUCUGCACUGCCUUAUGCGCGCAGCUAUCAUAUUACUGACAGCUAACCUCCUUCCAACACUUUGCCAUGCGAAGCCUGAAGAUUAAAGUUAACAGGGAUAGGUCUUCUUCUCUCCCAAGUCUUGGACGGACUCUUUCCAAGUCUUCUGAGGACCCAUCGGCUCAGAUCCGUCCAUUAAAAAUUUAUUAUUGAUUACUUAUUAUUAUUGAUUGAUCUAAGAUUCCAAAGACAUGUUCCCGUAAUUUUCAGACUUAGCCAGUUGGUGUGGGCAGAAGUUUUAGAAAUAGUAGAUUAUGGGGAUUUUAUUUAUUCUAACCAAUUUUGAGUUAUUUAUUUUCUUCAAAAAAAUCAAUACUUAUUUUUUAUUGUUAUGCGGAAUUCCAAUAAAUAUUAAAAUAUAUAAUUUUGAUUAUUAUCAUAAAUUUAUUUAUUCAAUAAAUAUUAUUAUACUAUUAUGGAAACAUUUUAUUUUGUAAUGUAUAGUACACCCUUAUCCCACCAACAAAACUACAUCACAAACAAAUUAUAUCAUAUUUAAUUUAAUAAACUCAAAUAAUUUAAUUUAUGUAACAACUCUAUAAAAUUAGAGUGAUUGAUACUUUGCACCCCUUAUGUUUAAGCGUUUUUUCAAUUUGGUUUCAAACAAUUUUUUUGGCAGUAUGCACCCCAAAAUUUGAAAAUUGCUUCGCUUUGCACCCUUUUAAUCGCUCUCCGUUUAAUUGAUAUUGACCGUUAAAGACUUAAAGUUGACAGAUAUGGGUUUACAUUUUCAACACCACAAUUUUAAUUUUUUUUCAUGGGUAUUUUGAAAUAUUCAGACGACUGGGAUGAUUCAAGUGUCUUCAUGUUAGACAGUGCGAUAGGUCGGUCGAGGGGUUUUCAGAAACUGGGACCAAAGAUUGGCGCCAUCAGAUUGGAUUUAUAUCAUUGGAAACUCUCUGUACACCUCUAUAGAAACUGGGACCAAAGACAAGAGGGAGAAGCUCUUGUGAAAUGGAAGAAUAGCCUAGCCCCGUCUUCUUCUCUCGACUCUUGGUCCCUCACCAAUCUCGAUAAUCUUUGUAACUGGACUGGCAUUAAUUGUAACUCUGCAGGUUCAGUCUCUGAGAUUAACCUUUGUGAGAAACAACUUGAUGUAAUGCUGUCUGAGUUUGGUUUCACUUCAUUUCCAAAUCUCAACAAUCUCACCCUCGCAGCUAACUACUUCUCCGGUCCAAUACCACCAGCCAUUGAGAAUUUAACACAGCUUCAAUAUCUUGAUUUGAGAAAUAAUUAUCUAGAUGGUCCAUUCCGUUCCAGGUUAGCCAUCUUCAGAGCUUGCUCAUCUUAAACCUGUCACAGAAUGCAUUGCAAGCUCCAAAUUGGUCCGAUUUCUCUCCCAUGCCUUUCUUGCGCAUCCUCAACCUCAGUAGCAAACCUCCUGCGUCGAAAUUCCCAGAUUUUAUAUCCAGUUCUAAUAGCCUGACUCACCUUAGCCUUAAUUAUAACGAGUUUACUGGUGAUUUGGUACGUGAAUCAGUAUUUGCCGAUCUGCAUAAUCUUGAAAAGCUCAGUCUUGUUGGCAAUUCUUUCGAGGGGCCAUUUCCGCCAGAUAUAUUCAGGCUUUCCAAAUUAAAACAUCUUAGCCUGUCAGAUAACAAACUUUCAGGUUCAAUUCCCAAUGACAUAGGGUUGCUUUUUGAUCUUGAAUACCUAUAUUUAGCCAACAAUUCCUUUGAAGGACCGCUUCCACCAAAAAUAUUCAAGCUUUCAAAAUUAAAAAAUCUUGUUAUUUGGGGUAAUAAGUUUUCAGGUUCUGUUUCCAACGAUAUAGGUUUGCUUUCUGAGCUUGAAAGCCUCUAUCUUGACUCCAAUUUUUUUGAGGGGCCGCUUCCGUCAAAUAUAUUCAAGCUCUCCAAAUUAAGGAUUCUUUUCCUUUGGCAUAAUAACUUUUCAGGUUCUAUUUCUAAGGAUAUAGGUUUGCUUUCUGGACUUGAAACCCUCUAUCUUGACUCUACUUUUUUUGAGGGUCCGCUUCCCCCACAUAUAUUCAAGCUUUCCAAAUUAACAAGUCUUGACCUCGCAUACAAUAGAAAUUUAUUUGAAGGAAGUAUUCCUAUUGGACUGGGACUCUUGACUAACCUCAGAUACUUGAGUCUAUCUUCCACUAAUCUCGGUGGCUAUAUUCCAUCUGAAAUUGGAAACCUGAAGCUACUAGAAGUUCUUGAACUCAGUUCUAAUCAAUUGAAUGGACCGCUUUCAAAGAUCAUUUCUAAUCUCACAAAUCUCACAGUUCUUGAUGUAAAUGAUAAUAGUCUUCGUGGAAAUAUUCAGAGUGACUUGUGGAAAUAUGACGAUCAUCCAACUUUGGAAUACAUCGAUUUAAGUGGGAACCAUUUUACGGGUAUAGUUUUUCUCUAUAGAUCUUUUCCUAAUCUCAUAUGUAACUAAGCUAGUAAUCUGAUUAUUGCAGUUUCACCAAAGUUUCAACAAUCUUGACAGGUGAGCUUCCAACAACAAUUUGCAAUGUCACUUCCCUUUUGGUUCUUGAUUUGUCAAAUAAUGAAUUAAUUAGUGGUGCACUUCCAAACUGUUUCGGGAAUCUUGCUGAUAGAUUGCUUUUCAUUAAUCUUGCUAAUAAUCAGUUUCUCCAGGAGUUGUCAGCUGACAUAUCUAAACAUGGAUAAUAAUGAGUUUGAAGGAUUGUUACCCCCAUCUUUGGCGAACUGUAAGCACUUCAAAAUUCUUGAUAUUGGCAAUAAUAAAAUAGGUGGUGCAUUUCCGUCAUGGCUUUAUGUACUUGGAGAGCUGGAAGUCCUUGUCUUGCGAUCAAAUAAACUCUAUGGUACAAUAAGUGGAAGGAGCAUAGAAGAUCCCUUCCCCAAGUUGCGGAUUGUGGAUCUGUCCAACAAUCAAUUCACAGGCCAUUUGCCAAUUCAAUACUUUAAGAAUAUGAAAUCAACUGAUAAUUUGUAUCGUUAUCAGAAUGACACAGGAGAUAUUUCUUUCCAUUAUGAAGCAUCUGUCUCAUUAACUGUGAAGGGAACAGAGUAUGAAGUGAAAAAUAUCCUUCAUAUUUACACAGCCAUUGAUCUGUCCUGCAACAAGUUUCAAGGAGAAAUUCCUGACGUUAUUGGAGAGCUUAGAUGGCUUGCAUUGCUCAACUUAUCUCAUAAUAGUCUAACAGGACCUAUCCCUUCGUUGCUGAGAAAUAUGAAAGGACUCCAAUCUUUAGAUUUGUCUUCAAAUCAACUGACAGGGGCUAUUCCACCUCAAUUAACUGCAUUGACAUUUCUAGAGGUCUUGAACCUCUCGGGAAACCAUCUUAGUGGAGAGAUUCCUCAGAAAGGGCAGUUCAGCACAUUUACAAAUGAUUCUUAUCUAGGAAACUCCGCGUUAUGUGGAUUACCUUUGACGAAGAAAUGUGCAAACACAGCAUCACCUCCACAAGAAGUCGGAAAUGGUGAUGAAGAUGAUGCUUGUGAUGAAUUGACAUGGGAAGCAAU